rnacentral:lncRNA from 1 species
UUUAAUAAAUAUUUUGGUUUUCCUUCCGAAUCCCAUGGCCACUCCGUUGUGGCACAACUCUGGUGCCUAUCCCGCACCAAGUGUGCCUCAACAGCCGAAGCUGGAGGUGAGGGUCCGCUGGAGCUGCCUCGACAACAGUUGCCGGAGGUUGGAGGUUGCGGUGUACCCAGAAACGUCAAAAGUCAUAGUUGGAGGUUGAAUUUUGGUUUAGAUAUUUUAUCGAUCGCCUGAUGGACGAAGUAGUGCUGAGAAUUUAUGAGAACAAAUAAAGGCUGCCUUGCACAACACAAUAUCCCAAUUGUGCCCGUUUUAGAAUUUCCGCGUCCAACGAAAGACAAGGAAGAGACAUUAUUUAUAAAAAUGGAGCGGGGUCCCAUGGUUCAACGCGAGGCUUGAAUUGAAUAUCUCCACUAUCUGAGAAAAAUCUAAAAAACUUUCAUACAGCAGGUGGCGGCCCAAGGUUCUUACCACCAGUGAAGAUUCGGAGCCGUCGAAAGCGACUACCACUGCAACUGCAUCCAACGGAGGCUACGGGAGCCUCGGUGGCGGUGGGGGCACCUGCGGCAGAUCUUGGCCUAGUAUUCAGUCUAACACGAAGAGUUGUACUUGGUCCGCCGAGACCAAGGGGGAUCGAGAUCAAGUGGCAUGUAGGUCGCAACGCCGCUGCUACGGGAGCCUCGGUGGCGGUGGGGGCACCAGGGCUAGAUCUUGGCCCAGUGUUCAGUCUAAAACGCAGAGUUCUACUUGGUCCGCCGAGAUCAAGGGGGAUCGGGAUCGAGAUCGAUUGGCAUGUAGGUCGCAACGCCGCUGCUACGGGAGCCUAGGUGGCAGUGGAGUUCAACACCGAGACCAAGGGGGAAUCGAGAUGGAGAAGCAUGUUGGUCCGUCGUAGCUGGACUGUUUUAACGACCAUGGAGGCGAUUCUCAUCAGUAGGAUUUUGGUGGAAAUUUUGACAGUUACACGGCGAAAUUUAUGGAGAUUUCCAUUUGUACCCGAAUGUGAGUGAAGGGUCCGGCCCCGUACAUUUAUUGGCGUGGGGCCCGACCAUGUGAGUAGUAGUGUAGUAGGUAAUUUAACAAAUAUUGAGUCAAAAAAAUUGGGCCGAAGGAGGUGACCAAAUUACCCCUAAAAUCGAAUAGCUUCCAAAUAAACGCACAAUUAAUUCAUGACACUUUAAUUUAGUGGGUUAAUGAUAAUUUAAUGAUGAUAAAUUUAAAAUAACGUGUUAAUUAUUGAUGACAUGUCAAAAAUUAAUUAGAUAGACAGCAAAUCUCGACUCUAUUUUCCAAAAAGGUAUAUAGUAUGUCAUUUAUAUAUUUUAUUACAUAGCGUAUAACAACUUAUUUUUUCAUUAUAUUUUUAAAAAAAUAAAAAGUCCCUCACUUCAAAGCAUAGAAACAAAAUAUUUUGACAUAAAUUAUCAUCAAGAACGAAAUGUACUACUUAAUGAAAAGUUGAAAAUAAGAAUUCCAAGAAAAAAAUUAAGAAAAUAAUUACUAUAACGAGCAAAAUAAAAUGUAGUGUAAUUAAUAAAAAUUAUAGUGGCAAUACAACCAUCCUAAAAUAAAACUUGACCUCCCUUUGUGGAGACCAAACAAACCACUGGAGAGGUGAUUCUUUCAUCCUAUUUGAAGCUUUGAAACACUGUUUUUUGCUCGAAUUACAUUGGCUAUGUGCUAACAGAAAUGCUAUACAAAAGAGGCAAAUAUACUACAUCAAAACAUUAUUGUUCUUUCCAAAUUACUAUAUUUAAUUACUAACUCAAAGCUCCAGAUUUGCAUUUGGCCUAAUCUUGCUGAAUUUGUCCCCUCACCAGCGAUUCUAAGUCGGGUUCCUCGUCAAUAUUUAUUGUUGUGGUCAUAUAUAUGUUAAGAACAGGAAUUGAUGGUAGCAGAAUUUGAAAACUCAGCUUAAAACUCCUCCACAUGCUAGAGAUACAUGUAGUGCAUAAGGGAAGCAGCAUAAUUAUGGGGUACAUAAUCCAAAAAAGUCUUGUGGGAAGAAUAGAGAGGCCGAGAAACAAACCAAUAGGGAAACUGAGUAAUUCUUGACUUGAAUGCGCAUGUAUCCCAUAUCAACUUGAGGUGUCAAUGGGAUUUCAAUGGAAAUGAAGGAGAAGAGAAGGAAAAAGCUAGUGAGAAGCCAAAACUUGAUCCAAAUGAAGUUUCCAAUUGCUAUACCAAAUGGAUCCCAUUCCCAAGAUGUGGCUGUAUAUGAUUUCAAUAUGUUUAUAACGAAGAGGGCAGCGUGUCUUAGAUCAAAGUAUAACAUUAUUCUUGGGUGAGAGAAUUUAAGGAGAAGUGAUGAAUUGAAUAUGAAAAAGAUACUGGCGAGAGAAUUUAAGGAGAAGUGAUUAAUUGAAUAUGAAGAAGAUACUUGCCUAGCCAACACAAAAUAUAUAUAUAUAUAUAUAUAUAUAUAAUUCCUGAAACAUGAAAUUUGACUCCUUGUAGGCGCAGUGUACAGGCAGCUCUUGUUCCCUGGCCUGCUGGGCACAUCCUGCGAUUUACAUCCUUCACAAAGCUCUAGGGGCGGGGCGGUGGGGGUCCUCAAGGUUGGGGUUCAACCUUUUUUAUAUAUAGACACUGUGUGUAUGUCCUUUCAGGCCCUAUGAAAGCUUCAGCAGGGAUAGUGCUUUGGAAAUAUUAUGACGUCCAAUUUGUGCUUUUAUAUCUUUGGUUUAACUUUAGUACAUUUGGAUGUUUCUAGGACAUCUCUCUCUCUCUCUCUCUCUCUCUCUCUCUCUCUCUCUCUCUCUCUCUCUCUCUCUCNNNNNNNNNNNNNNNNNNUCUCUCUCUCUCUCUAUAUAUAUAUAUAUACACACACACACACACACACAUGCAAAGUCAAUAAUCCAGUAGUCUGUCUUCUCUUUAAGAAAAAUGCUACUCAAACAGGUGUAGCAUAGGUGUGGAGUCAUAAGCCAAAACUAUUGUCAUCUCUUUGUAGUUAAUUAAUUAAAUCUUCUUUCAUGUUCCAUCAUUGCUAAAGAAAUAUAUUUCCAAAAGCAAUAAUUUUGAAACAUAUCUUAUCUUCCGUCUCUCUAAUUCUCUAUUUGAAGCCAAAGAAAGAAAAUGAUGUCAACUGGUAGAUAGAAAUGGCUAAAAAUUCCCUUCAAACCCCAUCUCCGUGGACCCCGCUCCAAAUUGGGUGGGCAUUACCCUCUUAUUCAGCUAUUCAGGAAGGGAAAUUUCGUCCUGAGGCGGGUUGGGUAACACUCGCUCCCAUGCCAUUUAAUUUAAUUUUUUUUAAAAAAAUUCAAUACUUUAAAUGGAAAAUUUUACGAAAUGUCAUUAUGUAAAACAUGUUUUCAUGCUUUUAACCGAAUUUAAGUUGUGAAACUUACUUGAAAAUCCCAAAAACGAGGUUGAAUUACUUGCCUAUUGAUUGCUUGCCUCCAACACUGCUUUGUACCAGCUUCUUGGUCAAAACUCGAUUACCAAGGAAGAAGUUUGUUGUGCACAAUCCAAGAACCCAAUUAGAGAUGUAAUUUUCCCAAAAAUCAAGCCUCCACCCGCAUCCAAUUUUUACACCUUGAAAGAACCUGAAUUUUGAAUAUCCUUAUUGUUUUUUACUUUUCUGAAUAAUGAAGAAUGGAAGUUGAUAAUUGGAGUUAUGGGUGGUGGAGAGGUUAACUUUCAAAUUCAGCUUUCAACCCCUCCCUCCAAAAUUCAAUUCCAUGCAAAUCGGGUCGGGUCAGGUCAACCCACAUGGACGAUCGUUUUCUUCCAACAUCUCUUACUCACACAUGAUGGGCUUGACCUGAUUCUAAUAUAAUAUCAAUUAUAUUAAGCUCAACAUCUCCAAGUUCAUAUAGGUAAAUGGAUAGUGCGACCAGCGAAUUAAUUUAAGAGCACACAACACUAUACACCUGUAAGGGAUAUAUAACAGCUCAGAAAGAGGAAUUAUAUUUCUCGCUAUACCCCAGACAUAUUUUGUAACACUAGUUUGAGUAUUUCUGACCCCUCAAUUUAUUUUAGAACAUACUCAACUUUCUCAUUUAUGUUGUAUUCACAAUUGUGUCAUGAAACUUAAAUAAUCAACACAAUUAUCGAGUCGGUGAAUACAAGCUGAGGUGUUAGUUAAACAGUCUUCUUUUCCUACUUGAAUCCCUUCAUUUCAAAUCAACUGCUUUCCUAGACAUGUCCCAUCAAACCGAAUCAACCAUAAUUAUUGGCAACAUAUUAAAGUAGCAACACUGAAAUAAAAUUAUGAGAAAUAUUCAAAAGUCAUAAGGGUAUAUAUAAGUGAGGUCAAAUAUGCCUCAGAGACUCACACAAUGAAAAAGCAGGGAUCAAUUCUUUCAUUUCUCAUUGGUCAUUAAAGCACACGUGGUAUAAAAUACGUGUUACGAUAUUUUCUCCCUUCAUUUGGGUGUAUGUCAAAUCUCGCAAAUCAAAUACAUCGUACAGAUCAUAGUUCAGAUAUUUCUCAAUGUCUAAUCUGAGUUCUCCUCAUAUUUAUUCCUCUAGGUAAUCUCAAAUCGAGAACUCGAUCUAGCUGUAAAAACAUGUCUAAUGGAUAAAAAAAUCCAUACCAAUUACUUGUUGUAAUCUCAUCUUCAUAUCACAUCAAGGCGACUGGAUCAUGUACACAAUAUGAUCACUGUGUCUCAUCUCAGCACACCUCAAACUGUUUGAAGCGAUUGUUCAUGUGAGUGAACCAAUCUUAACCUGUUUGACAUACUUUAUGUGUGCAUAUGUAAUGGUAAUCUAAAAAUUAAAAUAAAAGAUUGCUCUUAACAUGUGAACUCAAAACAUUGUUCAUUAAUGGACAUAUAUGAAAAAGUUUACAUAGUAUACAAUUCAAAUUCUACGCAAUCCCAGAGAUUUAACAUGUGUCAUAAAAAAAUCUCUAGGGAUAGAUUUUGUAAGUAGGCCAGCUACCAUUUGGUACGUAGAAAUACACUGCAAACUCACUUCCUUCUUGCCUAUGAUGUCUCUCACAAAAUUAUAUUUUGUACCAAUGUGUUUGGUUCUACUGUGAUACUUGGGAUUCUUAGUAUAUGCAAUAGCAGCCUGACUAUCACAGUAGAUCAAUAUAGGUCCUACAUCACCACUAACGACUCUUAGAUGCUAUAAGAAUCUCCUUAACCAAACAGCUUUUUGUACUACCGAAGCACAUGCUAGGAAUUCUGCUUCCAUUGUGGACAAGGAAAUACAUGUAUGUUUCUUGCUACUCCAAGAGAUAGUGCCAUUAUUAAGCAAGAAUACAUAUCUCGAAUUUGAUUUGCGCUCAUCUAGGUCUCCACCCCAAUCAGCAUCUGUGUAUCCUUUUAAGCACAAAUCAUUUCCUUGAUAGCAUAGUGAGUAAUUAGCAGUACCCUUCAGGUAUCUCAAUAUCCUUUUAACAGCUUUCCAAUGUUCUCUUCCAGGAUUGGAUUGAUACCUGCUGACCAGACCUACGGCAUAACAAAUGUCAGGAUGAGUACACAUCAUAGCAUACAUCAAGCUCCCAACCGCACUGGAAUAUGGAACUCUAGAUGUUUCUUCUUUUUCUCGAGAGUUUUAGGACACAUGCGAAGACUUAGAGUUUCGUCUUUUGAUACAGGAGUGUCAAUGGGAUUGCAAUUCUCCAUUUUGAAACGUUAAAGAAUUUUCUUUAUAUAUGGCUCUUGUGACAGAGCAAGAAGCCUAUUUGAACGAUCUCUAUAGAUUUUAACACCUAAUAUGUAAUCUGCUUCACCCAUGUCCUUCAUUUCAAAAUUUGAAGACAACCAUUUCUUAAUAGUUUAAUAUACUUCUUAUCAUUCCCAGCCAACAAGUUAUCAUCUACGUAAAGAGAUAAAAUUACAAAUUUCUCAUUGGACCUUUUCAAAUAAAUACAGUCAUCUUCAUCCAUCAUGACAAUGUUGUAGGAGAUAAACAUUCAGUCAAAUCUCAAGUAUCAUUGUCUAGAAGACUGCUUUAGGCCAUAGAUUGAUCUAUUCAAUUUACAAACAUUAUUCUCUUAACCUGUUUUAAUGAAACCUACAAGUUGUUGCAUGUAAAUUUCUUCAUCCAAUUCUCCAUUGAGAAAUGCAGUCUUCACGUCCAUUUGAUGUAAUUCUAAAUCUAAACGUGCCACGAUAGCUAAAAGUAGGCGAAUUGAAGUAAAUCUUACUACUGGCGAAAAGGUCUUUUCAUAAUCUAUGCUUUCCUGUUGAGUAUAACCUUUUGCCACCAAGCAAGCCUUGCCUUAUACCUCUCUGUAGUCCCACCAGCUCUUCACUUUAUUUUGAGAACUCAUUUGUUCCCAAUGGCUUUUCGAUCAGAUGGAAGAUCAACCAAGUCCUAGACCUGAUUUGAUUUCAUACACUCCAUCUCUUCUUCCAUUGCAUUUUUCCAUUUUUCCUUUGCAGGACAUGAUAAAGCUUCUUGUACCGAACUUGGUUCUACACUAUCUUCAGAAGAUACUAGGAAAACUUGCCCUUCAAUCUCAAAAUGACAUUUAGGCAUACUUUUUCUAGUACUCUUACGAAGUGAAAGCUCCGAUAUGACCCUGUCACUUGGAGUUAGAGAUAAAUUACUCCCACUUGGAUCGAUGGGUGGAAGUGUUUCCUCUUGCACCUCAGUUGAUCCAUCAAGUACAACUCUAUCAUCUAAUUCAUAUAAAGGUUCUCCCUUUUUAAUUUCUCCCCUACUAGGAAAAUCACUCUCAAGAAAUGUCACAUCGCGUAACUCUAUUUCAGUUAUAGUCCCAUCUUGAUUUUCUCCUAUGAACACAUAUCCUUUAGACUGGUCUGAGUAUCUUAUAAAAAUACACUUCUUACCUCGAGCACCCAAUUUUCCAAACUUAUUUGAGGAAUCAUGGAUAUAGGCAGCUGAUCCCUAGGAUCUAAGAGAACUUAAAUCAGGGGAUCUACCUAUCCAAAGCUGAUAUGAUGUAGUAGGUAUUGAUUUAGAAGGAACUCUAUUCAGAAUGUAGGUCGCAGUUAACAAAGCGUCUCCCCUAUAGGAAAUAGGUAAGUUAGCCUGCGUCAUCACGGACUUCACCAUUUCUAGCAACGUUCUAUUCUUCCUCUCAGUAACACCGUUUUGUUGAGGUGUAUUGGGAAUAGUUAAUUGCCUAAUGAUUCCCUUAUCAUCACAUAGGUUUUUGAACUUUUCGGAUAGAUAUUCACGCCCUCGGUCAGUUCUCAAGGCUUUCACCUUUCUAUCUAUUUGAUUUUCUACCACAUUUAAAUAUCGUCUAAAACAUUCCAAUGCCUCCGACUUAUGAGAAAUCAGAUAGACAUAACUAAACCGUGUAAAAUCAUCUAUAAAAGUAAUGAAAUAAGAGGCUCCAUGUCUUGCCCUCACAUUUAUCGGGCCACAUAUAUCUGAAUGGACUAAUUGCAAUGGAAGUUCGGCUCUUAAAGCUUUACUGAAUGGUUUUCGUGUUAUUUUUCCGAUUAGGUAAUGUUAGAUUGAACCUAACAAGCCUUCUUUUGCCAACCUAUUCAUUCUCUCUUGUCCAAUAUGUCCUAAUCUAGCAUGCUAUACAGAUGUAUUAGCAUUCAAAUCCUUAGAAGAAGAAGAAGAUACGUUCAUAGAAAAACAACGAUCAACAUAAUAGUUAUAAGUGUUUGGAUCACAAUCUAACACUACAAAGCCACCUUCUACAUGUCCAGAUCCAUAAUACAUCACGAUUGUUUAUACGAACAGAAUUACCAUAAAAGUUCAAACUGAAACCUAAUCUUAAAAGAACAACAACGGAAAUUAAGUUCCUUCGUAUCCCCGGUGCAAAUAGGACAUCAUGAAGGAGAAUAGUACGGCCACCACGCAAAUGUAACUUGCAUGUACCGAUUCCUUUCACCUCCACUCUAUUAUCGUUGUCAACAUAUAUUCACUUUGUACCAACUGGAAAUCGACGGAACUCCACAAAUGCUUCUCGAUCCCUGGUUACAUGGUCUGUCGCUCCUGAGUCUACAAUCCACAUAGGAUAAGAUUCAGUUAGCAUAACAGUGCUUGAAACAUAAAUAGCACUAAAAGAAGUAUUUAUAAGAGCUACCUUCUUUGGCUCAAGGCGUUCCCGAGCAAAGUGACCCAGCACCUGACAGUUGAAGCAUUUCAGCUUGCUCUUAUCUUUCUUCUUUCCAAACCAUUUACCUUUCUUAUUGCGCUUGUGUUUGUUUUUUUUAGGUCCUUGUCCAGUUUCUUUUCCCUUCCCUUUCCUGCCUUUGAACCAGUUCUUCUUACGCUUAAAGCCUGAAAAUUUCCCAGAACUAGAAUAAGUUACAAAAGCUUGUCCUAGAGAUUUAGCUGCACCAAGGCGCUUAUCUUCUAGUUCUACAUGGCGAGCAGCAUCAGCAAAUGUUUUGAUACUAUGAUUAUGAGUUAAAUUGACUUUCAAAUGUUCCCAAUUAUCAGGAAGAGAGCAAAUCAAAGCCUGAACUUGUUGCUCAUCAAAGAGUAUAUGACCAGCUGAUUUCAAUUCCCUAAUCAUAGUUGACAUGAUUCUCACAUGUUGUGUGAUAUUGUGAUUAGGAAGUUUCUUGUAAGUGUCAAUUUUAAUAGUCAACUGCCUCAGUCUAGUCACACUAGUACCACCGUAUUUCUCUCUCAAAUAUGUCCAGAUGUCAUGAGCAGUCGGGAACUGCUCACACUCAUGUAUGAGAUCAUCCACCACAGAACUUACCAAAAUUGGACGAGUAGUGGAAUUUUUCUUUUUUCAUGUCUGGUAAGUUUCCUGAUCCCUUCAUUGUUGAGCAGACCACCACUGGGUCUUCCAUCACGUGGUUAAUGCCCUCAAGACAAUCCUGUUCCUCCAGCACGUACCAAAUUUUAUGGCGCCAAGUGUUAUAGUUAUCGCCAUUGAAUUUGUCACCUUUAUUUAGGUCAGCUAUGAUAUUCUUAGAUACCAUGGUCUGUCAAAAUAUUAGAGACAAUCAUAUAAAUGUCCAUUUAUGCACACAUCAUUUUGUGCUCAUGGAAAUUAAGUUUUAUGACAAUUUCACAUUAGACAUGGAGUCAAAAGUUUACUAAGUUCCCAAUCAUCAUCCAUUAUCCUAAUGUUACAUUAUCACAAAAUUAAUUUCAUAGCGUAAAAUCACAAGUUCUAAGUCAGAAUAACUUAAACUCUUUCACCCUUAGAACUCCCACUAAAGUAAAAGAUUAAUCAUGUACAAAAUUAGCAAGGCAUUUUGAAUAAAUCUGACAUAUAUGAAACAUAUACAUUAAUAUCAAAAUGUCAAAUAUGUACAUUCGUUCAUAUUAAACAUCUUUAAACAACUACUAAAAGUGAGAAAUAAAAUUUCACAUUCUUCAAUGAUUUUGAACUAACCAUACAUAUCUAAAUUAAUCACAAAAUUCUAAUUUUCUGAAUUCCAUUUUCUCUUCAAGAUCCUGACCAAAUAACUGUAGCAUAGAGGUGGUGAAUUAUCCAAAACUUCAAUAGUAACAUCAUGCCAAUAUUUAGGAAGCGUCCUCAUUAGAUGAUACAUACUUUCCACCUUACAUAUAUGCCGUCUCAAAUGUACCACUUCUCGAUGCAUCGCUUCGAGAUAUUUAAUGUGUUGUACUAGGUUAUGUCACGGAUCCAUUUCAUAGUUUCUAUAAGCACGUAAUUUUUCAACACGUUCCACAGCCCGUGCUCUACUAGCUGCUCCUCUAAGGAUGCUAAAAACGCAUGUGGAUCCAGUCAUAUCUGAUCAAGCACAAUAAUUGAAAAACUAGUCACAAUGGAUCGCAUAACCUAAUCGAGAUCCACUACUCAUGAAUGUAUAGAAAAUGUGGUACAUCAAAUACUUUCGGAGUAUUUUUUUCAUUUAAAAAAAUGAGAACACAAAAAAAGGGGCUCCCAUAAGGCAAAUACCACUUAACAACACUUAACAAAAAUAUUCUUGAUUUUUUUUUAAAAUUUCAAGAUUUAAUCAAGUCCCAAAAUAUUGUAUAUAAAUAUUUUUUAUUAUUUGAAAAUUAUUUUAAUUGCAUGAAAAAAAAAUUAAGAAUAUUCGAGGGACCAAUUUGUAAUCUUUUAAAUUGAAUUUGGAAUAAUCAAUUUCCAAAAAAAAAAAUAUAUCAUUUUGGGACCAACACACAACUUUUCAAAUUGGCACUGGAAUAAACAUCAUUAAAAAGUGUUGGGAAUAAAAAUUGCAUUUUGUAAGAUUUGAGGGACCAACAUGCAAUUUUUCAAAUAUGUUUAACAUUUAAAAGUGUGGGGACCAACAUGCAAUUUUCCAAAUUACAUUUGGAAUUUUAACAUUCAAAAGUAUGGGGACCAACAUGCAAUUUUUUUAAAAUUGGAUUUUGGAUUUCCCACCCUCUGCUGCAGUUUCAGUUUCAGUUUCAAUUUUUUUUUUCCGGGUUACUGUUCAUCGUCCUUAAAAAAAAACAGUUUUUUUAAGAUUUCUGGUGAAAUUUCGAAGGGCCAUAACUUCCUCAAUUUAAGGCCAAAUUUUAUGUUCUUUAUAUCGUUGGAAAGAUUUCAAGAAGAUCUAUCCAACCAUAUAAAAUAGGUAGUGUGAAACUUAACGUGCAAGAAAUUAUCAUGUGAUGAAGUUUCAAUUUUCUCAAUUAGGGUACGAUUUUUUCCCAAAAUAAAAAUCGAAAUGAAGUGAAAUUUUCUAGAUAUGUUCUCCAUAACAUCAUGAACAUACACAUGAACAUACAAUAUAAAUUUCAUCAAUUUAUAUGAAGUAUAUCAAAAUUCACCAUUAACGACAUUCAAGGUUUCAAAGAAAACGGGAAUUCAUACAUUUCAUUCAUUCUAAAACAUUUACAACAUGUAUUUAAGCAAGAAAACAACCUACUUAGGCUCUGAUACCAAUGUAAAACAUGCUUUCAUGCUUUUAACUGAAUUUAAGUUGUGAAACUUACUUGAAAAUCCUGAAAACAAGGUUGAAUUACUUGUUUAUUGAUUGCUUACCUCCAACACUGCCUUGUACCCGCUUCUUGGUCAAAACUCGAUCACCAAGGAAGAAGUUUGUUGUGCACAGUCCAAGAACCCAAUUAGAGAUGUAAUUUUUCGAAAAAUCAAGCCUCCACCCGCAUCCAAUUUUUACACCUUGAAAGAACCCGAAUUUUGAAUAUCCUUUUUGUUUUUUACUUUUCUAAAUAAUGAAGAAUGGAAGUUGAUGAUGGGAGUUAUGGGUGGUGGGGAGGUUAACUUUCAAAUUCAACUUUCAACCCCUCCCUCCAAAAUUCACUUCCAUGCAAAUCGGGUCGGGUAGGGUCGAGUCAACCCACAUGGGCGACCCGUUUUCUUCCAACAAAUUAAUUCUAAUCGAAUAUAACAAUUAAAAUUAUCUAAGGAAUAUGAUAAAUAAUAAAAAUCUUAGUUUAUCAAAUAUAUUCGAAUAAUUUAACUUUUAAAAUAAAUAAAUUAAUUUAAAAUUUUAAUAACUAUAUUAUUAUCUCACUUUAAUGAAUGGGGACAAUAAAAUGAAUUAUCAAAAACUAAAUAAAAAAAAUAAAAAGGGGUAUGUAAACGGGCCAACACCCUAUCCUGCCCUGCCUUUCAUUAUUAUUUUGUAAAUGAAUCCUAAUAAAUUAUUAAAAGGGUAUUUAACACAAAACAUCCCUAACUUUCAUUAUUAUUUUGCAAAAUGUCCUUACCUUUUAUUUUUUUUAACAUUUUCACCAUUAUUUUUAUAUUUCAUUGCAAAAAUCAUUAUUUUCAUCUAUUUUCUCAAUUAAAAGCUGCAAAAUAACAAAAAUACCCUCCUAUUUAAAUAAACAAAAAUAAAGAACAAAUUGUAACUAUACUCCCAAAUUUUCCAAAAUAAACUGCAAAUAAUUUUCAAAUAAAUAAUUAAAAAACAAAAAUCACUUUUUUAAUUAUUUAUUUGAAAUUUAUUUGAAAAUUUUGGAAAUAUAAUUGCAAUUUGUUCUUUGUCUUUCUUUAUUUUUAUUUUUAUUAAGCUUAUUUAAAGAAGAGUGUAUAUUUGUUAUUUUACAGCUUUUAAUUGAGAAGAUCGAUGCAAUGAAAAAUGAAAUAAGGGUGGAAAUGUCAAAAAAUAAAAGGUAUGAACGUUUUGUAUAAUAAUAAUGAAAGGUAUGGACUUUUUUUGUUAAUUACCCUUUUAAUAAUUUAUUUGAACUCAUUUGCACUUUUUAAAAAAGCUUAGGAGUAUUAUUUUAAUUUAUUCUUUUCUUUUUUAUUGUUUUAUUUAAAUAGGGAGUAUAUUUAUCAUAUUACAUGAGAAAUUUGAUGAAAAUGAUGAUUUACGCAAUAAAAGAUGAAGGUAAGGGUGUACCAAAAAAAUGAAAGGUAAAGACGUUUUACACAAUAACAUUAAAAGGUAAAGAUAUUUUGUGCUAAUUACCAUUCCUAGAAACAUCCAAAUGAACCAAAGAUGGUUGAUGUAAAAGCACAGAGGGAAAAAUUCAUAUAUUCUAGCGUAAGUAUAGGUGAUUUCAAAACUAAGAUGACAAGUUUGAAUUUGCAAAAAUCAGAAAUAUGGUAGUAACAAUCAAUUAGUUUUCUAAAAAUCAGCAUCCACUUACCUUCAAAAGCCGGAUUCCAUAUAUUAUCUCAUAUGGAGGGAGGGAGAUGAUUCGUUACAGUUAGUCGCUAAAAUCAAGCAUCCAAAUCCAACUCCCUAAAAUACUGAAUACAUGUUUAAAUCCCUCAACCACAUAAUUAAUUAAUUAUAUAAUUUAUUAAUUAAAUAUAUUAAGAUCACAUAGCUAUACAAUUUAGUCACAGAUUCAUAAUUUAGUUCGUCACAUAUUAUUUUCUGAUCAUAAAUCGUAAUUUUUAAAUAUUAUAAAUUAUUUUACGGUUACAAUUCAAAAUUUUAUAGGUCACAAUUUGUUCAUCGAUCACAAAUAAAAAAUUAAUAUGUCACAAUUUAUGUAUCGGUCACAGAUCACAAGAUCAUAACUUAUUAGAUGAUCAUAAAUUAAUAUUUUUUAGGUCACAUUGGUCACAAUUUAUCUUCAUCCGUCACAUAUUGUUUAUUGGUCACUGAUUAAUCAAUUCAAUCAAACAAAUAAUCUGUGACCAUCCCAACCUUUAUGAAAACCACUGCCUCCAAUAGUAUCACCAUCCUUAUUGCCUCCAGAACCACCAUGAGCACCAAUAGCAACAUCGUCUCCUCCCUGAUGUACUCCUUGCCCAAUGCUAGAUCAAACCUAGAACUUAGCCAACAUCACCAACAACUCACAUCACAGCCAUCACCAUCACCAACAUCCCGACCACCACAGUCUCACCACCAUCAUGAUUAGCACUAACGUCGUAGCCACACCACCAUAGCAAACCACCACAAAAUAAUAAUAAUAAUAAUAAUAAUAAUAAUAAUAAUAAUAAUAAUAAUAAUAAUAAUAAUAAUAAUAAUAAUAAUAAUCCCGACGAGCAGCAGCACUUUUGGGGAGGAAAAGCCGCGCUGAAACGACAUUUUCCGAAGAGAGAGAGAGAGAGAGACGACGGGUGGAGAGGAGAGAGGAGAAUCGGAGAGGGAAAGCUGUACUGAAAUGGCAUUUUUCAAAGAGAGAGAGGAAAUUGGAGAGAGAAUAUAAUUAAUUGGAGAUGAUGGGUGGGGAGAGAGGCCGGGUGAAGAGAAAGAAUACAAUUAACUGGAUAGGAGAGGAAUUGGAGAGAGAAUAUAAUUAAUUGGAGAGAGAAGACGGGUGAGGGGAGAAAUUGAUUUAUAUAAUUAAUAUUUAAAUAUAAAAAGUUUUAUUUUUGAAAUGUUAAACUGCUCAUCUUAUUUUUGAACCCUAGAUUUUAAUUCUAGGGUUUUUUGUAAUUACCACAAGCACAAAUUGGCAAUGUUGUACCGAUUCGACCAAUAAAAUGGGGAUCGGCCCAAAACAUUGCAAAUUGGACGUCAUAAAUAGUUCCAAAGCACUAUCACCUGCUGACGCUUUCAUAGGUGGGCCUGAAAAUGAUGCACAUGCAAUUAGGAGUGGAUGCGGUUCGAUUUGGCCUGAUUCCAAAGGAAAUUGAACCGAACUGAAUACUAAUGAGAAUUUUAGAAAUGGAAUCGAAUCGGAACCGAACCAAUCGGUUCCGAUUCAGUCCGGUUUGGUUCUUUACAUUGAAAAUGUCAAAAUAAAAUGUUCACUAAUAAAAACUCUAAAAAUGCUACCAAUGUGAUACUUUUAACAAAAUAUAGAAGAACCGAACAUACUAUUCAAAGAUCUAUUUAGGUAUAGAUUUACAAAAUGAAAACAAAAUAAUAAUCAUGUAAUCAAAGUGAAAACAAAAUAAAAAUUUUGUAUCUUAUAAAUGAAAUUAUAUAUUGUAAAUAAAUUUAUUUAGAUAUAGAUUUACCCAAUAUUCUAAUUUGGUUUGAAAAUCAAUUAAUCAAAGAAUUAUAAGAAGGGACAAGGAAAAGAGUCUAAAAUUAAGAAGGAACCCAAUUAUUUUUUGUAAAAGUGUUGGAGAUUGAGUUAUAUAUUUUACCAAAAAAAAGAAGGAAAAAAUCCAAUGAGAAUCGUCUGGUCCCGCAGUUCCCAAUUAUUUUUUAGAAGAUCUAGAACCGAAUCGGCUAGUUCUAAAUGGUUCCGAUCCGAUUCCACCGGUUCUGGAAAAAAGUGUCCACUCCUACAUGCAAUGUCAAUAAUCCAGUAUCCAAAAUGAUGCAGUCAAUUUUGAUUGAAAAUGGUAAAAAUUCAAAAUCAGAGUAAUUUUGGAUUGAGGAUAUGGAUUAAAGAGAGGUUGAGAUAUGUGGAAGACUAUUUCAAGGUGUGGAGUCAUAAGCCAAAACUAUUGAUGGUCGUCUUUUCAUAGUUAAUUAAAUCUUCUUUUGUUUUCCAUCAUUACUAAAGAAAUAUGUUUCCAAUAGCGUUCAUUUUGAAACAUCUUAUCUUCCAUCUCUCUAAUUCUCUAUAUGAAGCCAAAGAGUAGGGAUAGCAAAAAACUCCCUUUAAACCUGAUAUCAGCGGGCCCCGUCCCAAACUAGGUGGGUAUUACCCACUUAAUCAACUAUUCAAGUUGGGUUCGGGUCGGGAAAUUUUGCCCCGAGGCUGGUAUGGUUAACUCCCGCCUCCGUCCCACUUAUAUAUUUAUUUAAGAAUUCAGUACUUUAAAUCAAAAAUCUCACGAAAUUUCAUUAAUUUUACUAAAAGACGACAAUUAAGAUUAUCUAAGGAAUACGAUAAACAAUAAAAACCUUAAUUUAUCAAAUAUAUACUAAUAAUUAACUAUUAAAAUUAAUUAAUUAAUUAAAAAUUUAUUUACUAUAUUAUUAACUCACUUUAAUGAAUGGAGACAAUAAAAUGAAUUAUCAAAAACUAAAAAAAAAAAAAAAAGAGAGAGUACGUAAACGAGACAAGUCCCGCCCUACCUUAAACGGAUAACGGGGGGAGAAAUUACCGGGUGGGGCGGGGUUAUUGCCAUCCCUACUAGUAGAAUAGUUUCUCUUGCAGGCACAGAAAACUAGUAAUAUUAUCCACGUCAGAUUUUUUUUCCUCCUUCAAAAUUUCCUUAUGUUCUCAUUUUUUAGUAAAAUAACAAACUAAAAGCCAUAAAAAUAUUUAAUCGACUCAAUUAUUAAUUCUUUUCUCUAUUUUUUUUAUCUCAUUUAUAUUAAUAUUAGAAGUGGAUCGAAUAAAAUUUAAUUGUAAUCAAGUUUAUUAAUUAAUUUUUAUUUCUAUAUAUAAGUCAUUUUGAAAAAAUAACAUAUUUUGUCAAAAAAAAAAAUAUAAAUACAUAUAGCGGUUCAACCUCGAUUUAAUCUUUCAACCCUUGACCCUUUAACUUUUUCAGAUAUAUGGCCAGGUAUUUUUUUAGAAUAUUGGAUAUUGUAAUUUUUUUUCCCUUCCAUAAUCACCAGUAUUGUCCAACCAACACAUAAUGAACGUUGAUUCGUGGAUGCAAAGAUGCCAUUGAAUGAAAAAGAUGGGGUGGAUAGUAUGUUCUUCCAAUAAACACGGUAUUAUACAAUUCAAAGAUUCUCAUCGACCUGAUAUGAAGGCAAGCACAUGUGGCCAACUUUUUGAACUUAUAUAGGUAAAUUAACAAUCAUGCUACUUGUACAAUGAAUUUGACAAUAAAUUUGACAAUGUGAGAGUUGACAAGCAUCAUGUUCAUUGAUUUGAAAAAUUGUUUCUAAAUUCAAUUGCUGGGAUCUUUACACUUUACACAUUUUCAAACUCAUUGUAAAUAUUUAUUAUACAAAUAGAUUCAUUCGUAUACGAAUGACUACGUGGAAAUAAAACGAAAGGAAGAAACCAAGAGAAGUACCUUCAUUUUCUUGAGCAAAUCAUAACCAGCAUUCCUUUCACACGAUAAUUUGUAGAGGAGUGCUUCAGAACCCGGGAUUAAAUCCCAGGUUUCAAUCCCAGGCCGAGGUGGACCUCGGCUCUUGAUCUUCAAUCACGCGAGGCUCGCAUGAUUUCGCAUUGGGGGCCAAGGUUUUGCCACCUUGGCCCUAACUCCAAACCCGGGAUUUUAUCCCUGUUUGAGCAGCAAUUUCCUAAUUUGUAAUACAAGAUUUCUGAUUUGUAACAAAUUUAAUUGACUGAUGAUGAUUUGUCAGUAAAUAAUGUAAUUAAAACUGUAUAUUAAAGGAAGAAAAUUAUAUAAGUAAUCAAACUAAAAUUUUAAAAUAAUGUUUUAUAUUGGUUAUGUUAUAAAUAAUUUAAAUUAUAAAACGAUUUAUUGAGCAAUAGAUGAAAAAUAAAAGAAGUAAUAAAGAAUAAUUUUUUUGUCAACAAUAAACUACCAAAGUAAUGUCGAUGAUUGCCAGAGACAUCAUGAUCAAUAACUGCUUACCGAAGUGGGUUGGUGAAUUAGGAAUCACUUACGGUAUUGAUGAUAUUUUAUCUCGAAUUCUCCAUAAGUGAUCAUUAAUAUUUGACAAACUAAAUUUUUUUAUGAUAGUUUCGUCAAUAAAUAAAGUAGUUAAAAUUUAAUAUUAACAAAUAAAUAUUAUGUUGUUAAUACAAUUAAAACUUGAAAAUAACAUAAAAUUAAAAAACCAAAGAUUUCAUAAGUUACUUCAAAAUAAUAAAAGAUGUAAAAAGAUGCUUCCCUACCGCAUAAUUAAUGACCAAAGCACUGUCGAUGAUUGCCACUUACAUAAUUAUCAUCGAUAAAUAUGGACGGAAAUAGAGAUGUGCCGACAAUCAUCAAUGGUAUCGCUGUCAAAAGUUCCAUCCACAUUAUGUACGAAGUUUUUGUUGGUGAUUGUAAUUUUAUUAUUAUCAUCACGGUAAUUAUAUGUCUUUUCUUUUUUCGAAUUAUUAAAGUAGUAGAUUUGUUAUUGGGUGCUUUUAAACUUCAGUUAGCUUUUACUGUAAAAUGCGAUAUAGUGGAUGUUAUGUUAUCUGCUUGAAUUUGUAAUAAUCACAUUUGGUUUCCUUAAAGGUGAUGAAGCUGAAGUAAUUUCCCAAUGACCAUUCAAUGGUAUAUUACAUUAAAUUCCAUUAUUACGAUAUCUGGUAAACCUGUUUGUUUCUCAUUUUUUCCUCAUUAAAAUGAAAAAUAUGAUUAUUAUCCGUCACAUCAAGCCACCAAAUUUGAAUUUCUAUAUCUUGUGUGGAGUCCAUAACGACUAUAUUUUUCAUUCUCAUUCUUACAAAAAUGAGAAACAAAAGGGGCUAGAUGUCUGUUUUGCAUUGAAGUCCAGGAUUGGAUAUGAGAACACCCCCACCCCACAACAAAAACAAAAAAAAAAUAAAAACAAAAACAAAAACAAAAAAAAAACUGUUACAAAUGAAGUGGAUGUUGAGAAUUAAAAAUUCUUAUUUUAUUCUACCAAGAGCAAUCAAUUGAAGAAAUAAAAAUAAACACUCAAAAGCAAGCAAAAUUUAUAGAGUUUCGCCUCAACGUGAAACUACGUCUUCUCUUGUCGGUACAGUAACUCGCUAUGAUAAAAAAAGGUUUACAAAAGCACUCCUAUUCUCUCUCUCUCUCUCUCUCUCUCUCUCUCUCUCUCUUUAUAAUAAUUAUAAAGUCGAACCACGGCUCCCUAUUUAUAAAGCAUAUAAAGGCAAAAUCGAAUUUUACAAUAACUCCAAUUCCUUAAUAAAAUUUUACAAGAAUACAAAUAUCUAAACAAUUCUUAGAUUAAAUUUUGGUUAGGGUAUCUCCACCCCACCCCUGGGGCCUCCUGCUCCCUUCCAACUCCCACAGCAACCUCACCACAGAGAUUGAUCAAUGCCAACUUCGUGAAAUAACAAUAAUUAUAAUCGAUAAUAAUUAAACUCCCUAACUUAACAGUGAAUGAUUACUCGAAUUCGGCAAGUGAUGUGGUAAUGGUACAUGCAAGUACACUUCUACAACGAAUUUUGGUGGUGAUAUGCAAGCGGAGGUAUGUUUUUAGAUGAAUUAUAAGAAACGGAUCGAAUAUUCGAAUUUUUGUGUUGCACUGUCUUAUUCAUUAAAGCAUGUAUUUAUAGACCAAAAAAGCAGAGCGAAUUCCAUUUCAUAUUUGAUUAACUCAAUAGGUAAUGAAAUUCAUUAAUUUGAUUUUCAAAAUUAGUCCUUUGUUUAGACAAGUUGAUUCACAAAGUAACGUGUGUCAAGUACUUCUAUCAUGUGUUCAUACAUGGACCAUUGAAGGGGCGAACAAGGCAGUGGAAUGAGGGGGACCGCCAUAACAGAGGAGAAUUUGAUUUCAUAAUUUGAAAAAAAAGGGGCCGAAGUAUAAAAAAAGGUGGGCAUGAGUAAAAAUGCUUAAACGAGAAACUUAGCCACAACUGCUUUAUAUACUAGAAAAAGAUGUUACAGUUUAAAUAACAAGCUUUACAAACUACGAUAACGAGUAAAAAGUCUAUCCACCAUUUGUGCAACACAAGUAAAAUACAUUGAUAUAUCAAUAUCCAAUUAUACGAAUAGCGAAAGCUAGAACAGAGUUUGGGUUAUCUACUCUAGCUUACAUUUGGCAAUGGAUCCUUUUUGCCACACAUUGCCAAGAAAAACUUAGAGACCGACCCAGUGUGAGCGAACAUUAGAGUUGUGCAUAGAAGACGCACUGGGAGAUGUCACACGCCAUUCGUACCAAACCAGUGAUAAUUAAAUUAAAUGCAAUUAAUAUCAGGUGAGACAUAAAGAGUUAAGUAAUUCCAAACCUAUAUUCUCUGUUUCUUGCCCAGUGUUUUUAUGCAUGUCCUAGGACAAAAAGGACAUUUCAAAAUUAGAUGGAUUAAACCCACCAGCCUAAAACAAAUUCUAAUUCACUUCUUGCCUAUAGAGAAUAAUAAUAAUCAUUUUCAGCAGCAAGUAUAGAAAUUGCCCGUAUAUCCAUUACUUAAGGCUAAGCAACAUAAAAAAUUAUUUAGAUAAUUAGGAUAUAAUUUAAAUUAAACAUUGCAAACACAUUGGGACAGAUAUUAUUUAUCUUAGGAUUCCUAAGUGGAGAUGAUCAUCUGACAAGUUAAUAGCACCAACUCUACUUUAUUAUAGGUCUCUUAGUGCAACGCAUGACCGAGAAUUCUACAAGUGCAAGAUUCAAUUUAAUUUGAGCUUUUAUCUCAUUUCAAUCGCUUUAACAGUUUCAACACUACAUAAUCAAGAAUCGAUGGACCUCCAAAUGUGUAUUCUGUGUCACUCAAACUGGCGUACUCAAUAGGAAAAAUAUCGGAAACCUGCAGAAAUCGAAGCCAACCAAAAGAGAACAAUCAUCUCAUGGAUAAUAUAUUCACUCCAAUGUACAAUUUCUUUCAUGGUGCAUUUUAUGUUUUCAUAGAACUUUUUCAAUUGAAUUUUCACUUUUUCUUUAUUGUGCGGUUGGGGGAGAGUAGGAGGGUGUCUUAUAUUUUAGUGGCUUUAAAUAGUAUCUUUACUAAUGAAUAUGGGAUCAACGCAUACCAAAACCAACUGUACCUAUAGAUACGAUAAUAGGCAGAAAUAUUUGUCCAUAAUUUUGCAUGAUUAGCAUUACCUUAGAUUUUUGGAAAUAUUCAUGAAAGAAAAUAUUUGGUGUUGCUGUUGAUAGUUCAAUAAACCAUUUGAAACAAACACCAACUAAAAGAAUAUCUCAAUGGUCGCCAUCUGCUACAUGAUGUCAUUGGAAGUAUAUUUUCUUGAUUAACAAAAUCAACAAUUUACGCUUUAACCUCUCUACAUUCCAGGAUAUGUUGUUCUUGUCCAUUAUGUCAUCUUUUCCAACACCGAUUUGACUACAUGACAUGGCCUUGGCUUGGAAAAUGAAACACUUUGUCAACAAAUAUGAAUACAACGCAACUGAUAAAGCUAUUAUAUUAGCCUUCUUCAUCACUAUGGGCAAAGCUUGCAUUGAGCCCAUAAUUGGCUAUAAUCAUCAUGUGGUGACUGAUAAGUGUGUUUUUGCACACUCAUUUAAUGCCUAAAUAAAUUUAAAUAUUGAUUAAUUGAGCAAAUUUCCAUUCACAAUAAUGUAAUUAUUGCAUUUGUAAGUAAAAAUCACCCAAGGUAAUAGAAGAGGUAAAAGGAAGUGAAAAGGGACCAAAAGCGUACAAAAUUGUGAAGUUGGGGGACCAAAAUGCAUAAGUGUCAAAAGUUCAAGGACUUGGGAUUGCAAAUUUUGGAGGGCGUAAUUGAAAGAAAGUCAAAAUUUGAGGACCAAAUUGUACAGUCCAAAGUUGAGGGAUAGUGUGCAAAUAUGGGAGGACGUGAACUACAAAUAAUGAAAAAUGGGAAGUAACGCCACUGGCACCACUAUAGCAGCGCCACGGCUAUGAACAUGACCUAUUUGGCUAUAUUUUUGUAAUUGGGGACCAUUUUGCAAUUAACCAAACACGAUUUUUGGGCCUUUUAAAAGGAAAAUUCAACAGUGUUUCCCCUAUUUCUCUCUUGAACUUGAAGAGAACCCUAGCCUCCUCUUUCUCUUUCACUUUCCUUUUCAUUUUUUCUUUCUUUUUCUUUUCUUCUUCUUCUUAUCUUUUCUUUGGUAAUUUUUGGGGCACAAUCUAGAGCACAAGCAGAUUUGAUUAAGGAUUUGACAAAGCUUUGGGGAAAUCAAGAGCAAGUUCAAAAAAGGAUUUUAUCUACAACUUGUAUUUUCUCAAUUAUUUUGUCAAACUUGCAAUGUAUUGUACAAAAUAUUCUCCUUUUUAUCAUUUGUAUGAAAUGGGCAAGUUAUUUGUGUUGGGAUUUAUUGUUGUAGUUUAAUCUAGCCUUGAUUAAUUUUAAUAUUUGCCCUUUGAUAUUGAUUUGCUUAUUUUCAUGUGUUUUUCUUCUAUUGUAUUUCAUGCAUUUUCAUUUAUGUGGUCAAUGAAUGAUUAUGUUUAGUGAAUUUUAUAUCGUUCAAGAGAAGAUUGUGCAUUUUAGAUCAAAUAGUAGAAACCCUGAGUUUGUAUAGGGGAUAGAGAUAUACCCCUAACCCUAGAUGACCCAAUGAGCUAUUUUCACAAAUAUUUAAUGCAAUUGUUUAGUUUUAAUCGAUAUAGAGAUAUAAUAGGGUUAAUUUCAUUCGAGAGAAGUAAUUAAUUAAAAUUAAAACAUUGAGUCUAACAUCGUAAAUGAGUAACUUUUUAAUUGACUUGUGGUGAAAUUAAUUAGGCGACGGUUAAAUGAAACCAUGAAUCUCAACCACGUUUUCUUCCAAAAUUUUCAAGAUUUUUAUGUUUUCUUAUUUUGUAGGUUUUUAGUUAAUUUCCUUAUUUCAAAAUCAUAUUUUUAAUUAUGUGUGUUUAUUUUUAUUGUUAGAAUUAAAUUAUUAAUUACGGUUGCGUAAUCUAAAGUAUAUAUUCCUCAAGGGAUCAACAAUCCGGACUCAAAAUGUCCACUUUAUUACUUGAACGCGACUUGUGUACUUGUGAUGUAUAAUUUUAGCGAAACAGUAAAAAGUAAUCAAAAGUACAAGGAUGUUACAAGCAAAGCCUGACAAUAAUACCAUAAUCAAGGAAUAGAAAGUCUUUCCAAUUGAAACUAACGUUCAGCUUGAGCCACCAUAGCUUUGCAAUCCUAAAACAGACAUAAAUUUAGAUAAUAGUAGUUCUUAUUUUAUUAAUUCAUCAACUGCAAUCCUAAAACAGACAUAAAUUUAGAUAAUAGUAGUUCUUAUUAUAUUAAUUCAUCAGCUAACAUAUAAAUCAGUCCUUCCUAUAGAUUACUAGUUGAGUGUGAAGGGGCAAAGCAAAUCGAAAAUAAAUUGCUUUACAUAAUAAUUAUACAAAAUGGCUAAUUUUGGGCAAAAGGUUGAAAAAUACUAGGCAACCCUUCCAUUUCUGAUGAAACAGAUAUACCAUAACAGAAUAAUUGACAUUCCUUCCCCUUUCAUCAUCCAACUAAACUUUCUUUAAGAAAAAAAUAUCUCAAGUUAAAAAUCCAUGAGUAACAGAAUUUUUUUCUGUGGUUUUUUCUCCUCUUUGCCCAUUGUUUUUUCCUUCUUGGAUUUUCAUGUAAAUUUUGUGCUCUUGUUAUCAUUUUAUAUUGUCAAUUCUUGCUUUUUCUUAAUAUGUAAUUUGAAAAAAAAUAAUAAUAAUAAAAUAAAAUUAGGCUUGUAAAAUAGGUAGUCCGGGUAAAGUUAGCAGUGAACAAAUAUAAUAUGAAUGUGAAAAACCAAGUGACAUCAAGCCAAAAAGUAGCUGGAUGAACUAUGUAUAUGUAUUAUUAUUAUGAUUAUGGUUAGUAGAUCUAUAGUAUGCUACAAAUACCUAGAUAUACAAUUACCAAAUUCCCAGGUAAACGCAAUUUAUUUUCACUUGCAUUCAACUUAUAAAGUGAAUAAUUAUUCAUUGUCAACAACUUCUACAGCAUUAUAGAAAAAAUGAGAUAUCUAGGAACUAGGUAUUUGAUCAAUAAAAAUAGGGAAGGUGGCUCAAGGGAGUGACAAAAUUAUUAAUAAGAUGAGGCAAAUUAAAGAAACAAACAAAUGUUGGAAGUUGAAAUCUACUUAAGAAACAAAAAGUACUUCCCUAUCAGUCAGAAGGGACAAUAUGAUAGAUACCAAAACAAGGCAAUUGCUAAGAGAUUCAAAGAUUACAUAAUUAUAAGCAAGAAAAAAAUAAAUAUUGAUGAUUUAUUGUAGUUGAUAAUGGGGGUUGGCUAACAAACCUUACGUAGAAACUAUACCAUUCGCAAUCAAACCAUGAUCCCUGAAUUUGAAACGGGCAUAUAACGAUUUGCAAAAGAGAUAAUGGUGUUGGAUUCCCGGUGGAUAAUGCACAUGCACUAGGAUUGAACAUAGAGGAAAUCAUUGAAAAUAACCCAAUAACCCAUGUGUAUUUCCAAAGUAACCUUUGACUAGUUUUUAGAGGAAAAAACGAAAAUUGAUUUUAAAGGUCAAAAUCCCAAAAUACCCUCAGACGGUCACUUUCCCAUUUGCUUAGAGUCGGCCAAAACCAAGGAAAAGCUACAGUCAAUUUCCAAUCAGUAGACGUUUCCAGUUCAUCUCCGGCGACCUUCUUCUUGUUAAAAUAAGCUUCGAGUUGUUAAUUAACUAGAUUAAUGUUUAGAUUUUCAUAUUGUGUGUGAAUGUUGAAUUCGUGAAGGUUUUUGGAAUGUAAUAUUGGUUAUGUAGGUGUAGAAUUAUGAAUAUGGGUCUAAAUUGAAGAAUAAUAGGUGGAUUUUGAGAUUUGCAAGCUUUUCUCGUUGGAAAUGGAGAUUUUCCGACGAGAAAAGCCGAAAAAAAUGCCGGCUACCAAAGCCGGCAUUUUGGGUAAAACCCGACUAUGUUUGCAGCCGACAUUUUGGGGAAAACUCGACUGUUAACAGCCGGUUGGCCCAAUUGUCAUGGGGACUGUUUUUAUUUUUCAUGGACUGACUAUUUUAAGUGGGCCGACUAUUAUAAUCGGCCCAAUAACAAGUUUUUUUUUUUUUAAUUUGGGCUGAUUAACAGUCGUCCCAUUAUUUGGGCUGCCUGUUUAGUCAGCCCGUUGACUGUUAAGCAGGCCGAAUGUUAUGGUCGGGCCGAUGCCUUUAUUUAUUUUUUAUUUUUUUCUUACAUAUAUUUAAGAAUUUCAUUUUAAAUAAUUUUAAUUAUUAGUUUUUAAUAAAUAAUAAUUUAUUUAUUUGUAAAAUUUAAAUGUGAUAUUGAAUUUGAAUAUUUAUUUUUAUUUCCUCAUUUUUGAUAAAUAAUAAUUUUUCAUUCUCGAAUUUAAUUAGUUUUUAUAAUUUUAAUAUUUAAUAAUUCUUUUAAUUUUAAAUUUAAAUUUCAUAUUUAGUUUUAUUAAUAGUUUUUAUAAACAAUAUUCUUUUCGUUAAUCGAAUUUAAUUAAUUCUUGUCAUUGUAAUUUUGAAUAAUUAUUUAAUUUUAAAUUUUAUUUUUAUUUUUAUUAAUAGUUUUUUAUAAAUAAUAUUCUUUUCGUUAAUCGAAUUUCAUUAAUUCUUGCCAUUGUAAUUUUGAAUAAUUAUUUAAUUUUUAUAUUUCAUAUUUAUUUUUAUUAAUUGGGAUGACUGUUAACUGUAGACUGACUGCUAAUAGUCUUAGGCCGACUGUUAACCGUCAGACUAUUAACAAUUUAAUUUUUUUUAAAUAUAUAUAUUUAAUUUUUUAAUUUUUUAAAUAUAUUUUAUAAUUAAUUUAUUAAUAAUUAUGUUAUUUUUUUUAAUUGUCUUUUAUUUAUAUAAUUUAAUAAUUGAAUAUUAUCUAAAAGUAACAAUUUAUUUUCCAUGUUAUUUAUUUAAUUUAAUUUUUUUUGUAAAUAUAUUUCCCUAGUGUAAUAUACAAAAUUAAUUUUCUUUAUAAUUUUCAUUUGAUUAAAUAAUAAUUAUGUUAUUUAUUUAUUUAAUUCUUAUAUUCUUUAAUUUUUUAAAAUUUAUUUAAAUAAUAUUUAUAUUCUUUAAAUUUUUUUGAAAAUAUAUUUAAUCUUUCAUUUUUAACUUUUUUGUAUUAUUUAAAUAUUAAUAAUUUCCUUUUGCUGAAAAUCUCAUUAAUUUGUAUUUGAAUUUAAUUAAUUAUUUUUAACAUUUGUGUUGAAUUUAUUUUGUUAUUGGCGUCAAGAAUUCGGUUCCCAUUGAUUUUUUGAGAUUAUGCGUUAUUAUAUUAUCUCUUGUUCAAUGUUCUAACAUUUGAAUUUUUGCAGGAUGGAGCAUCAUUUAAAUGGGGAGUUGAGACGGAAGGCAGGGAAAGCUACUUGGAACAGUAGUUUUGAGAUUUUUACUGUUGUGUUGGAGAUGCUCAAUGAUCAUCACGGAAAUAUGCUACGACAAUCCUUCUUGUGGGCACUGUACUAGAUGCAAGAGUUGCAGUACUCAGGACUAAUCAUCGAUGCACUUCUAUGUCAGCUUCUGAGGCCAGUCGACGGCGAUUCCCUCCACUUCGACCUCGGGGGCAAGGUCGUCAGUUUCUCGAUGUCUAAGUUUAGCUUGAUCACUGGACUGAAGAUUAUGGGCGACGAUGCAGACAUUGAGAUAAGCAAUAGGUUGUACGAGACGUACUUCCAGGGACAUGGGUCGGUGCAUCUACCUGAGUUGAUGGUUUCGAUCAGGGGGUACGACUAGAUGCUAGAUAGAUUGAAGCUUGGGCUGGUCUACAUCCUCGAGAAUGUGAUAAGGUGUCAUCACAAGAAGACUGCCAUCGACAUUUUUUCAUUUGCAAGUUGUUAACGACAUCGAUGCGUUCAACAACUAUCUAUGAGGCCGGAGAUGCUACAAAGACACCGUACAUGUGCAUGUGUUUAUUAAAUGAAUAACUCAUACUUUUUUGGUGUUUCUUGAUGUAGCACAUCGACCUGGCCAUGGACUUGCUACGAGAUCAAGCUCAAAGACAUCCAAAAUCAUUUGAUGUCCAUGGUCGAGUCAUAUUAAACACUGAGUUCCUGCGUGUCGUUACCAUAGAGUAUCAGUCGCUCUAACUUAUGAGUAACGAGUACACGGUGCUAGAAUAUAUGCUCGAGUGGUCAUAUGAAUUUCACCGAGUGUCGGGGGAAAAUCAUGGGAGGGUUGUACACAUAUGUACAUUCCAACGUGCAUCAAUAAUCACUAUGUUACGCUGAAGAUCGUUUUUCCUGACACGACUAUAUAUGUGUACGAUGCAGAUUAUUCAUGUUUGACACAAGGCUAGCUGGAGCAAAACCUGGAGUCUGUAGCUGUAAUUGUUCCUAUGAUGGCCAGACGAGCGGGGAUAACUGUACAUGACAGAUUGCGGAUUGUUUGAAACACGACAACAGUGUGACAGUCCAUAAGGUAAGUGUUUGAACUUUGUUAUUUUCAUCUUUCAGAUUUAGUUUUUAGCUACACAGUACUGAAUUGAUCCAUUCUUGUUCAAUUGUAGUGGCGACUGCGGCAUAUUUGCCAUUAAGUAUGAUGAAUUUUUAAAUAUAGGACAUAAGGUUGAUAGAAUCAACCAAUCGUUGGUACAGAACUGGAGAAAGAAGUUAGCUUGUGAUUUGUUCGAAUUUAAUGGUAACCCGUAAAUUUGUAUUAAAUAUAUGUAACAUUCGAAUUGUAAAUUUAAUUAUUUUUUGUGAUUAUGAAAUAAUUGUAAAUUUGAAUUCAAUAUAUAUAACAUUCACAUUGAAAAUUUAAUUAUUUUUUUGUAAGUUGAUUUUUUGUUAUUUUACACAUAUGCCGAGUAUGGAACUACUUUUUUCAUAUGAAUCAUUAUAAAUACCAUUUAUUAAGAAUAAAUAUUGAAUAUUGAACAUUUAUGAAGAACAAAUAUUGAACAGUGUAAAGUAAACGUAAAUAUUAUUCAUUUAACGUACAUGUCUAAUUGUCAUUUAGGGGAAUUUGACUGGUACAAAAUUGCCUAGUAUGCCCUAUUGCUCUGCACCUGCCACACCUACGCGGUCGAGGAAACUCUCCAGUAGAUGGUAUUCUAGAUGUACUUGGACAUCCAGGACCAUGCGGUUCAACUACUGGUGGCAACAAAUUAUGAAACGGGAGAAUAUGUUCGGGAACUUCCCACUCGACUUCAUUCGGCAGAGGAAAUAUAGUCUCAGCAUAUGCUGUUCUCCAAGACUCAGUCGUAUAAUAUAAAGAGCAUAACGUUCUUGCAGCAAAGCCUUGAAACAUGGCCACUGCAACUGCAUGCUCACAUGAAAAACUCUCCAACUGAAAUCUCGUACAAAUGCAUGUGUUAUCAGUCAAGUCCACCAUAUAUGCCGUAUUACGUACACAUUGCACGGAGAAGCAAAACUUAUCUAGUGCUUCCACAUUCAACUUCCUCACAACCUCUGCCGCCUUAAAGAGUUUCUCCUCUUAAGCUGGGUCCAACACGCUAGUGCAACUCUGUGAUGCCGCACGUCGAUUAUGAAACCACUGUUGCAGCUUGUUACGAAUGUGCUCAAUCAUUGCGAGAAUUGGUAACUCUCGAUCCUUCUUAAAUAAUGCAUUUAGAGACUCCGUGUUAUUCGAUGUCAUCAUGUUGUAUCGACGUCCUGGAAAGUAUGAUCGCGCCCAAUGUUCGAUCCCCAUGUUCGUCAGAUACUUCAACGCCGGUAAUGAUUUGCUUCCUAUCUCGAACAUGAACUUAUUACACUCUUCAGCAUCGAUACCUAGUUUUCAAAUUACCUUGUAUAUGGUACAUCCAAUACCCGUGAUGUGCCUCGAGAAAAACUUCAACGAUACCGUUUAUUAUAGACUGUCCCCGAUUGGUUAUAAAGGCAAGGUCUUCAACUUUCCCGAUCACUUUCUUCAGUUUAGAAAAGAAUCAACGCAUGAACAGAUUAUUCUCAUUGUCACUAUGUCGAAUGCAAUAGGGUAAAUUUGGAUGUUGACAUCUUGACAUGUAGCAAUAAUUAAUUUGCCUUGAUAUUUAGCUUUCAGAGUUGUACCAUCAACUAGAAUUACGGGUCGCAUUGCAUUUCGAAAACACCGAAUACAUUGUCCGAGAGCCAUGAAGAAAUACGUAAAAUAAUUAUCGCCCCCCGUCUCAAUAAAAAAUGUCAUGCCAGGAUUAGUUGUCCCCAUGUUAUGACAAUACCUGGCCAAUUUAGCAUAGCUCUCCUAAGUCGAUCCCAUUAAAUCCUCCAACAUACAUUCUUUGGCCUUCCAGGCUUUCUGGUAGCUCAUGACCACUCUAUACUCUCGACCGACGUCGUUAAUGAUGUUUGAAGGUCUAUAGAUCGUCCAUGGGUCCUGAUACUUGAGCCUUGUCUGUUGACCAAUAAACCAUGCUCGAGCUUGUCUGUAAUCAUUUCGACAAAUUUCCACUUCGCAAGUAUGUUCCCGUGCCUAUUUGCAAACUACAAAGCACUCAUUCUUGUCCAUCUUAGUCACUCUCAAGCGCCAAUUGCAAUUGUCGCCAACGCAGGUAAUUGUCAACAAUGACUUGAUUGAUUUCUUUACAUUGAACUAAAAUUUAUAUUUUAAUGUCAUCCGGUGCACAGCUUCCUACAAAUCUUUCUUGGUUUCAAAUAGUUGUUGAACAUACAAAUCCUUAUCAUCAGGAGCCACACGGGAAAAAUUGGAGGAUGGUCCACUUGUUCCACUCCUUGAGCUCCCACCUCGCUCAGAUCUCUGUCGGGAUAAAGUAAUUAAAAUUUCAUUUGUAAAAUCAUUUAUAUUUUUGUUGUCCUCAACUGUCGAUGGAACUCUAUGCGUAAUAGUGACUUCACGAUCAGUAACAACUGUUUCAGGAAUAACCACAUCAUCUGCAGGAAUUAUCUCCGCUGUCUCCCAAAAAUCUCUGUCAUUAUUAUCCGCUCCAUCUGAAUCUUCGCGUUCACCUUCGACAACAUCAUUCUUAACUAAAGUCAAGCCAAGAGCAGCUGGAGUCCUAUGCAUUUUAUUCAAUUCUAAUAGAUAAUUCAAUUCAACAUUAUUAAAUAUAGGUGGCAUCGGAAUGGACGAAUCCCCAUAACCAUUGAAUAAAUAUCUCAGUUGCAUAUUGUACUGAGAAGGAUCGACAUUCAGCUUAUUUUACAAAUCCCGGUACACUUCCGCACCGCAUAUGAUGUAUUCUGUUACGAAAAUUGCAAUACAAUCACAUACAUCACUCGUCCAUCUCCAUUACCAUCUAUUAUUUUCAUUCAGUUCGAAAUCACCGAAAUAACAGACCGAGAUUAUCAUAUCUACAUGACUAUAUAGAAUUUUUAAAUCAAUUACAACAACAAAAAUUCAGAUAUUUAAUCAACUUGUAAUUAAAAUUAUAAGACAAUUGUCAAAACAUUAAUUAUAAUAUAAAAAAUUUCAUAAAACAAUCGAGAAAAACAGCCGACUAUGGACUGUUUUACAGCCGACUGUCAAUUCGACUGUUUAACAACCGACUAACAGUUGGCUGUCGACUGUUAGAUAGUCGACUGUCUAACAGCCGUCGGUCAACUAUUAGAGAGUCGUCUAACAGCUGACUGUCAGCUGUUAGACAGUCUUUUGACAAUCGGCUGUCUGCUGUGUAACAUUUUUCGUUAACAUCCCACAGUUAAUCGUCGGACUGUUUAUUUUGCGUAUGACUUUUUAUUUUUCUAUGGUUCUAAAGAAAAAAAUUAUAGAUCUGUUAAAAAUUUUUUUAUUAACUACUGUGUUAUUUAACCACUCAAACGUACACUAAUUUACUAAAAUCGAAAUUAAGCAUGUGUAAAAAUAUGCUUACCGAUUUGAAGUAAUUGAUCUGAAAAAAGUUUUGGCUUCGACGUUUGAAGUUUUUUGAUAUUUUGAGGUUCAAGCAGAUGAAAAAUGAGAGUUUUUCUGUGUUCGAAACUCGUUCUGCAGUUUUAUAAGUGGGGUAGUGUUUGGUUUUCAAUUAUUAACUAAAAGAGUAAUAAUGUCUUUAAAACUAUCCAAUAUUUUGUAAUUAUAUAAUAUAUUUAAUGGCAUCUCUGUCUUUUACCAUUCAAAAGGUUAAUGUGAUAAUUUUCAAGUUUUUAAAAGUCAAAGUGGAAAUAAGGGUCUUUGACUAGGUCAAUUUUAAAAAUACCCCAUUGAACAUAGCUGCUUUAAAUGUCCCAUUACAAGAGAAAAAAAACUCCCAGAAUCAUCUACAAAUUUGAAGAAGUUAAAUUUGGGUAUGCGAAUUCUUUAAAGGAAAUACCAUAUGCAAGAGCCAAUAACAAGGCUCAAACACAUAUCUAACCUCGAUUUUCCCCUAAUCGGUAUUGGCGACUAGCUGUGACGAUUGACAUUGCAGAUUUGACAGCGAGAGUAGCGGAAAAAGAGAUAUUACUUUUGUCUUAAGAGAUUAGGAUUUCCACUUCCCCUUUCCUCGGGGUACUUUUAAAAUUGACCUAGUCAAAGGUCCUUAUUUCCACUUUGACUUUUAAAAAUUUGAAAAUUAUCACAUGAACCUCUUGAAUGGUAAAAGACAGAGAUGUCCUUAAAUAUAUUAUAUAAUUACAAAAUAUUGGAUAGUUUAAAAGACAUUAUUACCCUUUUAGUUAAUAAUUGAAAAUCAAACAUUUCCCCACUUAUAAAACUGUAGAACGAGCUUCGAACACAGAAAAACUCUCAUUUUUCAUCUGCUUGAACCUCAAAAUAUCAAAAAACUUCAAACGCCAAAGCCAGAAUUUCUUUCAGAUCAAUUACUUCAAAUCGGUAAGUAUAUUUUUACAUAUGCUUAAUUUCGAUUUCAGUAAAUUAGUGUACGUUUGAGUAGUUAAAUAACACAGAAGUUAGUAGAAUUUUUUUUUAACAAAUCUAUAAUUUUUUUCCUUUAAAACCAUAGAAAAAUAAAAAUUCAUACGCAAAAUAAAUAGUCCGACGAUUAACUGUGGGAUGUUAACGAAAACUGUUAGAUAGCAGACAGCAGACUGUCAAAAGACUGUCUAACAGCCGCCAGACGAUUGUCUAACAAUCGACCGACGGCUGUUUUUCCUGACUGUUUUACAAAUUUUUUAUUAUAAUUUCUAUUUGGCGAUUAUCUUAUAAUUUCAAUUACAAGUUGAUUAAAUAUCUGAAUUUUUGUUGUUGUAAUUGAUUUAAAAAUUCUAUAUCAUUAUGCAGAUAUGAUAAUCCUGAUUUGUUAUUUGGAUGAUUUCGAAUUGAAUGAAAAUAAUAGAUGGGAAUGGAGAUGGACGAGUGAUGUAUGUGGUUGUAUUGCAAUUCCCGUAACAGAGAGUAUAUCAUAUGCGAAAGUGUACCAGGAUUUACAAAAUAAGCUGAAUGUCGAUUUUUCUUAGUACGAUAUGCAACUGAGAUAUUUAUUCAAUGAUUAUGGGGAUUCGUCCAUUCCGAUGCCACCUAUAUUUGUUACUUAUGAUGCUGAAUUGAAUUAUCUAUUAGAAUUGAACAAAAUGCAUAGGACUCCAACUGUUCUUGGUGUGACUUUAGUUAAGAAGGAUGUUGUCGAAGGUGAACGUGAAGAUUUAGAUGGAGCGGAUAAUAAUGACUGAGAUUUUUGAGAGACAGUGGAGAUGGUCCUGCAGAUGAUGUGGUUAUUCCCGAGACAGUUGCUACUGAUUGUGAAGUCACUGUUACGCACAAAAUUCCGUCAACGGCUGAGGACAACAAAAAUAUAAAUGAUUUUACAAAUGAAAAUUUAAUUGCUUUAUCCUGACAGAGAUCUGAGCGGGUGGGAGCUCAGGGGGUGGAACAAGUGGACCGUCCUCCAAUUUUUCGUGUGUGGCUCCCGAUGAUGAGAAUUUGUAUGUCAAGCAACUAUUUGAAAUCAAGAAUGAUUUGUAGGAAGCUAUGCACCGGAUAGCAUUAAAAUAUAACUUUGAGUUCAAGGUAAAGAAAUCAACCAAGUCAUUGUUGACAGUUGCCUGCGUUGACGACAAUUGCAAUUGGCGCUUGAGAGUGACUAAAAUGGACACGAAUGAGUGCUUUGUAGUUCGUAAAUAUGCACGGAAACAUACUUGUGAAGUGGGAAUUUGUCGAAAUGAUCACAGGCAAGCUCGAGCAUGGUUUAAUGGUCGACAGAUAAUGCACAAAUAUCAGAAUCCACGGACGAUUUAUAGACCUUCGGAUAUCAUUAACGACAUCCGUUGAGAGUAUGGAGUGGUCAUGAGCUACCAGAAAAUCUGGAAGGCCAAAAAAUGUGCGUUGGAGGAUUAAAUGAGAUCGGCUGAGGAGAGCUAUACUAAAUUGGCCAGGUAUUGCCAUAACAUGGGGACAAUUAAUUCUGGCACGGCAUUUUUUAUUGAGAUGGGGGGCGAUAAUUGUUUUAAGUAUUUCUUCAUGGCUCUCGGACAAUGUAUUUGGGGUUUUUGAAAUGCAAUGAGAUCCGUAAUUCUAGUUGAUGGUACAACUCUGAAAGAUAAAUAUCAAGGCAAAUUAAUUAUUGUUACAUGUCAAGACGCCAACAUCCAAAUUUACCAUAUUGCAUUCGACAUAGUCGACAUCGAGAAUGAUCUGUCCAUGCGUUGGCUCUUUUCUAAACUGAGGAAAGUCAUCGGGGAAGUCGAAAACCUUGCCUUUGUAACCGAUUGGGGACAAUCUAUAAUAAACAGUAUCGCUGAAGUUUUUCCCUAGGCACAUCACGGGUAUUGCAUGUACCAUAUACAAGGUAAUUUGAAGACUAGGUAUCAGGGCAAAGGCAUCAUUUCAUUGUUCAGAAGAGCAGUCAAAGCUUACAGUGCUGAAAAAUGUAAUAAGUUCAUGUUCGGAUAGGAAGUAAAUCAUUACCGGCGUUGGAGUAUCUGACGAACAUGGAGAUCGAACAUUGGGCGCGGUCAUACUUUUCAGGACAUCAAUACAACAUGAUGACGUCGAAUAAUGCGGAGUCUCUCAAUGCAUUGUUUAAGAAGGAUCGAGAGUUACCAAUUCUCGCAAUGAUUGAGAACAUUUGUAACAAGCUGCAACAUCGAUUUCAUGACCGAUGUGCGGCAUCACAGAGUUGCACUAGCGUAUUGGCCCCAGCUCAAGAGGAGAAACUCUUUAAGGCGGCAGAUGUUGGAAGGAAGUUGAAUGUGGAAGCACUAGAUGAGUUCUACUUCUCAGUGCAAUGUGCACGUAAUACGACAUAUAUGGUGGACUUGACUUGUAACACAUGCACUUGUACGAGAUUUCAGUUGGAGAGUUUUCAAUGUGAGCAUGUAGUUGCGAUGGCCAUGUAUCGAGACUUUGCUGUGAGAACGUUAUGCUCUUUGUAUUAUACGACUGAGUCUUGGAGAAUAGCAUAUGCUGAUACUAUAUUUCCUCUGCCGAAUGAAGCCGAGUGGGAAGUUCCCGAGCACAUUCUCCCGUUUCAUAAUUUGUUGUCACCAACAGUUGAACCGCGUGGUCCUGGACGUCCAAGUACAUCUAGAAUACCAUCUACCAGAGAGUUUUCUCGACCGCGUAGGUGUGGCAGAUGCAGAGCCAUAGGGCAUACUCAACAAUUUUGUACCAAUCAAAUUCUCCUAAAUGACAAUUAGACAGGUACGUUAAAUGAAUAAUAUUUCUGUCUACUUUACACUGUUCAAUAUUUGUUUUUCAUAAAUGUUCAAUGUUUAGUAUUUAUUCUUGAUAAAUGGUAUUUAUAAUGAUUCAUAUAAAAAAAAUAGUUCCAUACUCGGCAUAUGUGUAAAAUAACAAACAAUCAACUUACAAAAGAAUAAUUAAAUUUCCAAUGUGAAUGUUAUAUAUAUUAAACACAAAUUUACAAUUAUUUCAUAAUCACAAAAAAUAAUUAAAUGUACAAUUUGAAUGUUACAUAUAUUUAAUACAAAUUUAUGGGUCACCAUUAAAUUCGAACAAAUCACAAGCUAGCUUUUUCUCCAGUUCUGUAUCCACUAUUGGUUGAUUCCAUCAACAUUAUGUCCUAUACUUAAAAAAUUCAACGUACUUAAUAACAAAUAUGCCGCAGUCACCGUUGCAAUUGAAUAAGAAUGGAUCAGUUCAGUAUUGUGUAACUAAAAACUAAAUCUGAAAGAUGAAAACAAUAAAGUUCAAAUACUUACCUUAUGGACUGUCGCGCUGUUGUCGUGUUCCGAACAAUCUGCAAUCUGUCCUGUACAGUUAUCCCCACUCGUAUGGCCAUUAUUGGAACAAUUACAGCUACGGACUCCAGGUUUUGCUCCAGCUGGCCUUGUGUCAAACAUGAAUGAUUUGGCUCGUAGACAUAUAUAGUCAUGUCAGCAAAAAUGAUCUCCAGCGUAACAUAGUGAUUAUUGAUGCAUGCUGGAAUGUACAUAUGUGUACAACCCUCUCAUGAUUUUCCCCCAACAUUCAGCGACAUUCCUAUGACCCACUCGAGCAUAUAUUCUAGCACUGUGUACUCGUUAUCCAUAAGUUGGAGCAACUGAUACUCUAUGGUAAUGGCACGCAAGAACUCAGUGUUUAAUAUGACUCGAUCAUGGACGUCAAAUGAUUCUAGAUGUCUUUGAGCUCGAUCUCGCUUCAAGUCCAUGGCCAAGUCGAUGUACUGCAUCAGGAAACACCAAAAAAGUAUUAGUUAUUCAUUUAAUAAACACAAAGUGACGUAUACAUAAAAAACACGAAAUGAAUAGUUUACUUACAUCGUCGGUGAGUCAAGCUCCUGAAGUGAUGACAUCAUGGAACCACUUGUAAGCAUUCGAGACCAUCGUUUGACCUAUCGUGCGGCUAACUCUGAAAAAAUAGGGAAAUGUUAAAAUAUGCAUAGACGAGUUAGCGUAUAGUGCUUUGUUAAAAUCAUACAAUACUUACCCGGAGACAAUUCUCCUCCACUCCAUCUCGAACGCUUUCCACUUGACGUUGUCCACCUCUCUGAAUAAGUUUGGAUGCAUCCCAUCAAUGAACGUCCUCCUCUUGGCCUCAGCCGUGAAGGGAAAAACAACAUACUGUGAUGACACUCUCAACCUCUUGCCGACUACCUGCUCCAUUUCUUCAGCAGCAUGUCUAUUACCCUCAAUCACGAUGGGCGUCCUCUUGACCUCCGGGGCCACCUCCUCCGUCCCUCCCAUCGGGGCCAUCCCCUUCGUCGUCCCCUCUCCUAUCCUUGUCGAGGCUACCCCUUCUCCCUCCAUAGAUAACCACAAUGAUUCUAAUGUCUCAUCACGCCAAAAAUGUGGGUGACCCCCUCUCCAUCACCAUCUCUGCCACCCUCUCGAUCAUCAUCUCCACCAUCCCCUCUGUCCCCCCAUCGCCUACCGGCUAAAUCUCCUCUAAGUGCUGCUACCGUAUCCUGAAGAUCGACAACGCAAGACCGUAACAUUCCAACAUCAUGGGAUAGAUCGUCAACCCUCUCUGUCAACUCUCGUCCCAUAUCAUCGACCCUCCCUAUCAGAUAGUCGACCUUCCCAGUCAGAUCGUCGACCCUACUUGUCAACUCUCGUCCCAGAUCAUUGACCCUCUCCGUCAACUCUCGUCGUAGCGCGCCGACCUCCUCCACUAUAAAUCCAGUCAAACGAGCAUACAAAUCAUCACUGUGUGUCAGAGAUACACGGGGGAGGUGUCUGGAUGAGGGAGAAGGAGAUACCCUCUGUGGUGGCAAUGCCAAUGGCGGCGACGAUGCCCUUGAUGGAGGUGAUGCCAAUGGCGACGGUGAUACUCUCGGUGGAGGUGAUUGUCGAUCAACUGGACUGCCCUCCUACAUAAAUAACAUUAAAAAUUAUUCAAUAAAUUUAUACGUCGACGAUAUUCAAUAAAUAAUAUUUAAUUCAUAUACCCAAUCUUGGUCCAGGCUCGGAUUAGACAUCUCCUCGUCUUGGGUCUGCGGAACACCUAAAUCUCGCAUAAGACCCCGAGCCUCCUCUUCCAUCGACGACGUCAACUCAAGUAUGACUUCAAGCUGACAUAUUGACAUUUCAACUAAUUAACGAUCAUGUAAAUAUAUUUUAAACUACGUAUAAUAUAAAUCAUAAAUGCAUAAUACUUACCUGAGGAUCGUCGAGGAGAGCCGAUAAUUGUUUCCCAGUGGGACAUCCGUCCGCUCGCAAUGAUCUCCAAUGAUGCAUCUGAGGGCAUCGUGUCUCCCCUCGCUUCGCGAAGCGGGCCCCCAGUACAGAGACUAUCUCAUACACCAAAAUCUGCAACACAUACACUUAUUAUGCGUAAAUAUAAUAUACUAAAACUUUAACUUUUAAUUAUAUUAAAUAUUUAUCUGCACCGCUAAGGGCAAUCCAUAUGUAUCGUAUUUACACAUUGACCCCCUAGGCCUCGAGUGUGAUUUGGUGAAAACAUGUACGGUGUAUUUGCAGCAUCUCCGACCCCAUGGAUAGUUGUCGAACGCAUCGAUGUCGUCAACAACUUGCAAAUGAAAAAUGUCAAUGGCAAUCUUCUUGUGAUGACACCUCAUCAUACUCUCGAGGAUGUUGACCAGCCCAAGUCUCAAUCUAUCUAGCAUCUGGUCGCACCCCCCGAUCGCGACCAUCAAUUCAGGUAGAUGCACCGACCUAUGUCCUUGGAAGUACGUCUUGUACAACAUAUUUCUUCUCUCAAUGGCUGCAUCGUCGCCGGUAAUCCUCAAUCCAGUGAUCAAGCUAAACUCAUACAUCGAGAAACUGACAACCUUGCCCCCGAGGUCGAAGUGGAAGGAAUCGCCAUCGACUGGCUUCAGAAGCCAACAUAGAAGUGCAUCGAUGAUCUGUCCUGAGUACUGCACCUCUCUCAUCUGGUACAAUGGCCACAAGAAGGACUGUCAUAGCAUAUCUCCGUGAUGAUCAUCGAGCAGCUCCAACACAGCAGUAAAACUCUCAAAGCUACUAUUCCAAGUAGCUUCCCCCACCAUCCGUCUCAACUCCCCAUCUAAAUGAUACUCCAUCCUGCAAAAAUUCAAAUAUUAGAACAUUGAACAAGAGGUAAUAAAAUAACGCAUAAUCUCAAAAAAUCAAUGGGAAAAGAAUUCUUGACGCUAAUAACAAAAUAAAUUCAAUACAAAUGUAAAAAAUAAUUAAUUAAAUUAAAAUACAAAUUAAUGAGAUUUUCAGCAAAAGAAAAUUAUUAAUAUUUAAAAAAUACAAAAAAGUUAAAAAUUAAAGAUUAAAUAUAUUUUCAAAAAAAAUUAAAGAAUAUAAAUAUUAUUUAAAUAAAUUUUAAAAAAUUAAAGAAUAUAAAAAUUAAAUAAAUAAAUAACAUAAUUAUUAUUUAAUCAAAUAAAAAUUAUAAAGAAAAUUAAUGUUGUAUAUUACAUUUAGAAAAUAUAUUUACAAAAAAAUUUAAAAUUAAAUAAAUAACAUGGACAAUAAAUUGUUACUUUCAGAUAAUAUUCAAUUAUUAAAUUAUAUAAAUAAAAAAUAAUUAAAAAAAUAAAUAACAUAAUUAUUAAUAAAUUAAUUAAAAAAUAUAUUCAAAAAAUUAAAAAAACUAAAUAUAUAUAUAUAUAUUUUUUAAAAUAAAACUGUUAACAGUCUGAUUGUUAACAGUCGGCCCAAGACUGUUAACAGUUAACAGUCGGCCCAAUUAAUAAAAAUAAAUAUAAAAUCUAAAAAUUAAAUAAUUAUUCAAAAUUACAAUGAUAAGAAUUAAUGAAAUUCGAUUAACGAAAAGAAUAUUAUUUAUAAAAAAUUAUUAAUAAAAAUGAAAAUGAAAUUUAAAAUUAAAUAAUUAUUCAAAAUUACAAUGAAAAGAAUUAAUGAAAUGCGAUUAACAAAAAGAAUAUUAUUUAUAAAAAAAACUAUUAAUAAAACUAAAUAUGAAAUUUAAAUUUAAAAUUAAAAGAAUUAUUAAAUAUUAAAAUUAUAAAAAUUAAUUAAAUUCGAGAAUGAAAAUUAUUAUUUAUCAAAAAUGAGGAAAUAAAAAUAAAUAUUCAAAUUAGAAUUAAAAUUAAAUAUUACAUUUAAAUUUUACAAAUAAAUAAAUUAUUAUUUAUUAAAAAAUAAUAAUUAAAAUUAUUUAAAAUGAAAUUCUUAAAUAUAUGUAACUAAAAAAUAAUAAAAAAAUAAAGACAGUGAGCCGAUCGUAACAAUCGGACUGCUUAACAGUCAAUGGGCUGACUGUUUAUAAUGGGCCGAUUGUUAAUCAGCUUAAAUUAAAAAAAAUUGUUAUUGGGCCGACUAUAACAGUCGGCCCACUUAACAGUCAUGGGCUGAUUGUUAGUCAGUCCAUGACAAUUGGGCCAACCGGUUGUUAACAGUCGGGCACCCGACUGUUAACAGCCGAGUUUUCCCCAAAAUGCCGGCUGUAAACGCAGUCGGCAUUUUUUCCGACUUUUCUCGUCGGAAAAUCUCUAUUUUCGACGAGAAAAGCUUGCAAAUCUCGAAAUCCACAUAUUAUUCUCCAAUUUAGACCUAUAUUCAUACUUCUAUACCUACAUAAUCAAUAUUACAUUUCAAAAACCUCCACAAAUUCAACAUUCACACACAAUAUGAAAAUCUAAACAUUAAUAUGGUUAAUUAACAACUCGAAACUCACCUUAACAAGAAGAAGGUCUUCGAAGAUGAAUUGAAAACGUCUACCGAGUAGCUUUUCCCUGGUUUUAGUCGAGUGUAAGCAAAUGGGAAAGUGACCGUCUGAGGGUAUUUUGGGAUUUUGACCUUUAAAAUCAAUUUUUGUUUUUUUCUCUAAAAACUGGUCAAAGGAUACUUUGGAACUACACAUGAGUUAUUGGGUCAUUUUCAAUGAUUUCCUCCCCUUUCCUCGUGUUUUCAAAUUUCUACUUCCGAUUUGUACCCUUUUUUUUUUCUAAUUGACAAAUUAAUUAUAAGUACGUUUAUAGAUAGUAUAUAGAAUAAUUUAAUUUAUAAUUUCUGAUUAGUUAAAAUUUGUAUAUUUUAUUCGAAAGAAUCAUUCAAUUAACUUUAAUAUAUUUUUCCUAUUAAAAUUGUCUAAUUUUAGUUCGAAAAAUUUUAAUAUAGUUUCAGUAUAUUAUUUUCAUAUUACCAAUAGAAUUUUAUCAUUAAAAUUUUUUAAUUUAUUUUUUAGGAUUUUGAUUAUUUUGUAAAUCAAAAUUUUAAAAUAAUCUUUAAUUAAUAGUUAGGAUUGAUUGAAAUUAAACGUAUGCUGAAUUUUUAUUUUUAGUUUUGUUCUUUUUUACAACAAGCAAAAAAUAUUGCAAAUCCUUGUUGCAAAACACACUUGCUCGCAACAUUUAAUGAUUGUUGCAAAAGGUUAUAUAGUAAGAAUUUCAACAAUAUGUACUGAACAUUGUUAUUGAACAAAAUUUUAACAAGUUCAAAAAAAAAAAAAAGAAUUAAAACUUUUACAACGUUCAAAGAACGUUACAAAAAGCUAUAUAUUAAGAGUUCAACAACGGUUAUUGAAUGUUGUUAUAGAACUAUAUUUUUACAACAUUCAUUAAAUGUUGUGAAAAAUCAAACUUCUUACAACUUUCAAGAAACAUUGAAAAUGGUAAUAUUGACAACGUGCAAUUAAAAAAAAUAUUGCCAAAGCUUAAUUAAAUUAAUCAAUGGCAAUAUUCACUUAUUAAAAUGUUGCGAUAAACCCAUUUAGCAACAUUCAAUUCACGAGUGUUGCCUUUUGAGUAUUGCAAAAGGCUAUUUUAAUUGUAGUUAAAACUUGAGCCAUGUAUUCAUAGGGAAGGAUUAGGGAUAUAAUAAUAAUAAUUUCUAGAGUUACAGGAGUACAAUUAUCAUUGACGAAUAAACUUACCAUUUACAACAAAAUGGUCUUUUUUUUAUUUUUAUUUUUCUUCAAUGUGCUCCUAAAAAGGUUUUUAUUGAUAGCAAGAAGGUAAGUCGGACGUUCUCUUUUUUAAAUUUUAAGAGGCGGUAAGGACAUUUUGAUCUUCAUUUUUCGUCCCAUUUAUUUAUUUAUUUAUUUACUUAUUUAUGUAUUAUUAUGUGUUUAAAUUUAAAUUAUAUUCAAAAAAAUUUAAAAAAAAAUAUUAUGAGUCAUGGAUGGGUCUGUGACAGAGAUCAUGUUUCCCAAGCCCAUCCCUAAUAGGGAUUAUAGAAUCCUUGACCUUCAAUCCACAUCGCGCCCCAUCCCACAUUGUCCUACCUUGAAUAGUAAAUGGGGCAGGAUGCAUAACCUAUAGUCCCUAGUUUCGAAUUUUUAGUACUAGCUCUGAAUCAUUUUUCAUUAAUAUACUUUAUUCUAUUCUUAUGUUCUUCAUUUAAAUCAUAUUAAAAAAUAAAUAAAUAAAUAAAUAAAAUGAUGAAUGAUGGUUUUUUAUGUCUCAACCUACCCUACAUUCUGAAAAUUCGAAACGAAGCAAGAAUGAUAUGAUGGCUCCUAUCCAUUGUUAUCCUUAAUUUCAAAUUUCCCGUUGGGCGGAGUAACUUGAGACUGGCGUUUUGUUAAAGAUUUCCUCAAAUAAUUUAGCAGAAAAUAAAAACAAAGAAAAAUAAAUCCACUUUAAAAUAGGGUCAUCUCUAAAAGAUAAAUGUAUUCUCCAUUGAUUCCCAUUUUUCAGUUGAAACUCAUCUCUGUAGGAAGGCUAUGAUCCAAUCCAACCUUGAAAUUUCUCAAAUUAUAUUAAAAAAAAAAAAUAUCACCGUACCUUAACUCUACAAAUAAAGUGGAGUAUUGCCUAAAUAUCCAUGGCAGCAGCUACGCAGAGGCAACACUGAUGGUUCACAGAUGGUGCAACCACAAAGGGUCUUGACAUUAUAGACCAAAAAAAAAUUAUUUGUAUAAUAAUUUUAAAAAUUUAAUUUUUUUUAUUAAAGGGACCAUGUUUUAAAAUAUCACACGGGACACCCAAAAUAUUAAGGUCAACCCUACAUCUAAGUACUGCUAUGCAACUUCUCCAUUUCCUAGGUAUCAAAAAAUCUUCACCUCUACAACCAAGUACUAUGUUAAUUGCUGAAGAUUAUAUUUAAUAACAAACAUAAUGGAAUAAAUUUCUAUGACGUACUUAGAUGAAAAUUAAUUCAAUACAGCCUGGCGCUCAAGUCGGACGAUGAAGUAUAUUGGGUGUGGAAGAGAUACAAUAGAUAAAGAUAUAGACGCAGUUUACCAAAACUUGCCUUCGAAGGAAAGGGUCGAGUAUUUAUAGGUGGAAGAAGCUCUAUCUGAAUGCUUGACACGUGACUUUAUUUUAAUACCUCAUUUGUAGCCAUCAUAGAUAUGUGUUUCCAUAGUCAGAUUAUAAGUUAAAAACUAAGUAUCGUUGUUGCGGAGUUGUUACAUCAAUUACUUUGUAUGGUGUACUUUGCGCAACUUUGUCAAAGUGAGGCUUGUAGCAGAUGUUCAUCGCCCUAGAUAUGUACUGCAGCGGAGAGGUAAUGCAUCGCCUCGAGUAACAAUAACAUUCUAAACAAUGCAUCUAAAAGUAUCUCCUAAUCGUAUCGAAAAAGGCAUCAAGAAAAGACGAUGAGAAUUUGAGUGUUUCCCUUGUAUGGUCUCUUCUUAUUUGGCUGUCACGUGGCCCACAUAGUAGAUAAAUAUGUAACAAUAUCACUUUUAACACAAUCUAUUCUCAAACAAUGGAUCUUAAAUAGGGUUGCCAGUUUUAUGUUAUUGAAAUUUUUUCAAAAGCUUUGUUGAAAAUUAAUUUUUUUCUUUUUUUUAUUUUUAGGAGAGUUAGGGGCUAGAGAAUAAAUGUAUGUAAAACAAAGUUGUCAGAAUCAAAUGCUAAGAGAGCAAAUCUCUUUGAAAGAAAGAAGGAAAGGAUAAAUGGUGAUGAUGGAAAUGGAAGCAAGAAUAUUCAUAAUAUAUGUGAAUUUCUUGGUCAUCCAUGCGGGAUUGAAGCUAUCUUGAACACACGACCUUUGUGAAGUUAUCAAUCCCUCAAUUCCAUUGUUUACUGGUGCAAAUUCAUUUUUUUCUGUGUUACAAAUUUUCCUUCUUGUUAAAGUCACAUCGUCCAAUAACAUUAGCUUAUAGGGAUAGGACAAAUUUAUUUAUGGAAUUUAUGAAGAUCCUUGAGUAGCUUGGAUUCAUUUUUCAAUUUCUAAGAUGUGCAUAAUUUUGCUCAUCAAACCACAACAUCUAAAAAGCUUAAGCUAGCAAUUAGAACACAAUUUUAUUUAUUUAUUUAAAUCCUCUUCAACGUCUUAGACAUGAAAUGUGAUUCCAACAACAAAUAUGCACACCCCCAAUUUAUUAAAUGAUAAACUACGAAAUUGUAUUUUUAGAGGCAAUUGGUAUGCAAGAGUGGUUAACUAAUGGAUUUGUAAUUUCGACAUCUGAGUUCUGCAAGGCCAAUACAAACCGAUGAUAGAACAUUUAUUUUUGUCUGCAUUAAGCAUCACAGGCUCAAUUACCUAGAAUUGCAUCAACUUUACACCUGUUAGAAUGUGGAAGCGGAAUUGUCCGUAAAUUAAACAAAAUUUUUUAAUUCAAUAAAACAAUAUCGUUUAUGUAACAUCCCAAAAAAUUUUUAGGGAAAAAAAUUAUUAGCUCAUCUAUAGAGAUAAGGUGGUGGAUAUGUGAUAGUAAUUUAUUGUUAUUUAAUCACAUUUUGAUUAUGGUUAAUGUAAAUUGAUAAUCAUAAUCCUAUUUUGAUAUAAUUCAACUCCGCAUAUUGUUGCUAAAUUAAAUUAAAAUAUUAGUCUUCACGUUUUAUUUUAACCGCAUUGCAUGAGUGGAUAAGGUGAUUGGGAUACUUCUAAUUAAGCAAAAUCCCAAUUAAACUAAUCCAGAACUUAUCAUAUGAAUUAGAUAACUUUCCCAUCUCCUGCUUGGCCCUGCAUUUAAAGAUUUAUUGGUUUUAAAAAUUAUUUUCACCAACUAGAGAUUUUACGGAGAUGAGAUAAAAUUUUAUGAAGUUAUUUUUAUCCUAUAUUUUGAUAAAGAUUUAAAUGUAAUCUUAUUUGUGGAAUAUUCAAGUACUAUUGUACAUGUGUCAUAUCAUGGUUUGGACUAUCAAAAUUUAAAGUUUAUCCAAGUGGUGCAUGUUUUCCCCACCAUCAAAAUUGUACCAUGACUCAACUACCAUUUGUUUACUAUAAAUAAUGUGCAUUUGUCCCCUAGAUCCCCACCAAGAAAUUUUUACACGGCAGAAAAUAGAGAGAGAGAAAAUAAUUUCGAAGAGUCAGUUACCAAAUUUUUGACGCAAUCGAGGAAGUAGAACAGAUAUUGGAAUUCAUUCAAAAAUUCAUUUUUUUAGGUAUGACACUUUAUGUACAAGUGCUAUUAUUUCUUUAUGCUUUUAUAUUCAAUUAUAUAUGAAUGGAUUGUAGUAGACAUUCAUUUUUUUUAAAGAGAUAUGAAAUCCCACGGGAUUAGAAGAGAACCUAAGAUGUGUGUCAUUUGAUCACCGAUAUACUCCAUAAGAUCAGAGUAGUAUGAAAUGUAUAAUUUUUAUUGUUAUAUAUUUGUAUACGAAAACUGCACGUAUUUUACUUAGUGUUUUCGAAUACUCAUUCUUACAAAUUUUUACAGGUUAGUUCUGGUCGAUUGAAGUUGUGUCAAAUUAGUGACGCGGACGGCCAAGUGAAUCGAAGAAAAGAGAAAGAAAUUAAAUAUUUAGUUUGCUUUUUUUUUUUGUCUUUAAAUUAGUUGUUAGUUUUAUUUCUUCAAAGACUUUUUUGGUUAUUUUAAAUUAAUAUUUAUGAUUAAAAUAAAGAAUUUCUUUUUAUGGAAGUUUGGGCCAUUACAGUUUAGAGGUUCACGUAUAUGUUAAAUCAAGGAUAAAGAAUUCGAAUUUUUACCUAAAUUGAUGAUUAAUUAUUUAAUUAAUUCAAAUCACGAACUUCCACCUUUUUGGAUCAUAAACUUCUAGCUUUUGAUUGCAACAACUUGAUGCAUCAAAUCUCUAAAUCCUCUAUUGUAUUCUCCAAAGUCAAGACAAAAACUAAUUUUUACACUGACAAUUGAAUAAAAGCAAGAAAAAUAAUAUUUUCUCUCUUUUUUCCUCUCUCCAAUUUGAACACUAUGGAUUUAUGUACUAUGAUUUUGUAGAAAUUCUAGGUUCCACAUAGUCUCUAUUUAUAGUAAAAUCUAAGUAGGAGUUUUACUUGAAAUCCAAAUCCAAUUAGUUCACAUAUAAUUACAUGUGUAAUCCUAAAAUUUCAAUUACAAUUAUAAUUAAGUUUACAAAUUUCAUAAUAAUUAUAACUAAGUUCAAAAAUUUAUUGUAAUUACAAUUAAGCUCAAAAUUAUUAUAAUUACUAUGAUUAAGUUCCAAUAAUUUAUGGAGCUAACAUAAGGACUUGAUAUAACAUGUAUUAUCCAAACUCCAAUAAUUAGAUUUGCCUAGUCGACUCUAAAUCACCCAAUCUAAUUAUUAGUCUUUGCUUUUUUCACCAAAGACAGAUGACUGAACUCUUGGAAUAUAUAAGAUCACAGAAACCAAUAAAUUUGUAAUGCUUUCUUCUUACCUGUUGUAUAUGUAUUUUAUCCUCGUCCGAGAUCUGAUAAUUAGGUACGAGCAUAAAUAACUGUUUUGCCCUUCUAAUUAUUACCACUAACUUAAGUAUCAUUUUCUUCAACGGUCUUGUAAACUAAUCACAGAUGUUGAAGUUUAACCAUCACUAAACACUUAGCUCAGAUUUUAAACAUUCAACAGAAAAUAAUUAAGUAAUCACUCUACCCAUUUUUCAAGGUGACGAUUAUCGACACGAAUUCAUGUUUUCUACUUAGAAAAAUGAAAUAAAAACUCAUUUAAAAAAUAAACAUUUUAAAAAUAAAAUAGAAAGUUAUUUAAAAAAAAAGUUACCCAGAAAAAUAAUAUAAAUUAAAAAGUUCCUUUAAAAAUAAUAAAAAAAUAUUUUUUUUAAAAAAAGGUUACUUAGAAAAAUAAAAUAAAAUAAUUAUUUUAAAAUUAAAAAAAUUAUUUUAUUAAAAUUUAUUUUAUAUAUUUAAGACAAAGUUACCAUUUUACCCACUUUUAAAUUUGUAAAAACGUUAAAAAGAAAUUGGGUUGCCAUGGUGAAAUGUUAUACGAAAUUAGGUGGCCAUAAUUGAAUAUUGUAUGGAAUUGGGUGACCAUAGUGAAAAAAAUAAAGUUGGGUUACCAUGAUGACAUUAAGCAUAAAGUUAAGUGGUCAUGAUAACACUAAUUAUAAAUUUGGAUUGCCAUUGAUGGAUCUAAUCCAAGCCUAUAUCAUUAUGGACGGUUUAAUAACUGGGAGAUUCAAGUUUAGAAGUUUUACAUGAUUACAUUGGAUAUGCCUCUAACUUUCAUAAUUAGAAUAUUAUGCUUGAAUUUUUAAAAGAUUUAUUCAACUUUAGGGUUUCAUUGUAUUGUUCAAAGUAGUCGCUUAAAUACUUCUCUCUUGUACUCAUAUUUGAUAUGGUAAAAAUUAUUUUCUUACAUUUUUGUGAAUUACAAGUACUUGACAGUUCAAAUGAAGUAAACCUAAUUUUAUUUGUGGGUCAUUUGGCAUUCAAAUAUUUUAACUAUUUUACUUGUGGACUAAAUAUGUAUAUUGAACUAGAGGAAAAGUCAAUAUGAAUAUAUGGAGACCAAGAUCAAUCUAUCCUAGGAAAUCAGGACUUAUAUUAAUUAUUAAGAUAUUUUUCCCAAAAUUAAUGUUGCUAGAUUGAGUUUUAACCAUAUAGGGACUUAAUUUCCCAAUAAAUUACACACACCUACAUUGAAAUUUGCAUGUUUGGAACUUUGAGCAUGCUAUGUGCGUGUAUGAUAAUUGACAAAUAAUGAUUGAACAGGUAAUCACACUCCCAUAAUUUCCUGAAACUAACUCAAAUCUCCACGCAUUAAAGAUUGAGUCAAUAUGUUAAAUAUUGUAAAUAGAUAUAAUUAAAUAAUUAAAUUCACAUAUUCGGCACUAAUUUUAAUAUUUAGAUAAAGUGAUCAUUUGACAUCAUACUAGUGUUACCAGAGCACGUGUGAACCAUAAUAUUAAACACAUCUGAUUUGUUUACUGUACAAUGUAAAUGGAUAUAAAGACUUCAAGGGGCAUCGCAUAACAUAUUCAAAGUCUCCAAAUAAAUAAAGUCGUCAUGUCCUCAACUCAUAAAGUUAAUACCUUUAAGGUAACUGCCAAAGAAAUGCAUUAAAAUUGACACCCCCACUAUCUAUAUAUACCAUUUGACACUUGCCUUAACGAUUAAAAAUAUUCUGAUCAUCAUUUACUAAAACUCAUAAAUAAGUUUGUGAGUUUCAAAAUUUAUUUUCAAUCAUAUAUUUCAUGGAAUUCACAACUUUUUAUCUUCUUUUCAAUCAAGCCCGACCAAAGCCACUUAGGCAACGGCCCAAGGCCUUAGAUAUUUGAGGGACCUCAAAAAUAAACCAUUUAUUCUCUGGUUCUUGCAGAAAGUGGAAAUAUAUCUUGUUAUUGCACAAUGCAUAUUAUUGCAUGACAGGAAUGUUUAUGAUUUGCCAAAGAAAUGAAGGUACUUUCCUCGGUUUCCUCCUGCUUUAUUUCCCCUAGUCAUUCGUUUACCAAUAUGGGUUGAUUUCCUUUCCUAGAAAAUAUGCUCAUGCAAAUUUCCUAAAUUUGUGGAUUUAAUUGAAACUCAAAAAAGUUUGACUGUAUUUUCUUACCUUCAUUUCAGUCCAUGAGAAUCUUUGUCAAAUCUUUAAUUUGUGGAAUCACACGCAUUGAAAGAACAUUUUAGUCCAACCUAUCUUUUCCAUCCAAUCUCAUCUUUGCAUUGACAUACAUUAUGUGUUUGUUGGAUAAAUACCGAAAAUUAUAAAAGAAAAUAUUAGACAGCAUUAAAGAAUAAACAACAAUCACAAAUUCAUGACAUAUUUAGAAGAUGCUGCCAAAGAAAUCCAUUUUAAGGAGCUUUUAAUCACUUUCAAACAAGCUUUUAGCUCUCAACAUUUUCCAUGAGCUCGAUUUAUAGUACUAAUUAAACAAGAAAAAGACAUUAAAACUUUUUCCAUAGUAAUCUACAUUUUUGUCUAGCACUGAGCAUGGCUCCUAACUAUGAUAGUAAACAUGUGGGCCUUUCCUGCUUAAUAGGAAUCCUCAUCUUUGAGAAUUAUGUUAGUUGUUAUUAUGCCCUCUGAGUAAGUUUCCUCAAGGAUCAAUAGACAAUGUUGACCUCGAAAAAUGGCUCUUCCACGUGGCCAACCGAGAGCUACUCCACGUAUUCCUUCCUGUGCACAAUCAACGAACGGUCAGACGCACGCGGUCGGGACCAACGAGUGUGGUGGCGGCCGUAUACGCUCCGACGGUCAAGUCAGGUUUAAGUGGUCGGAACAGUACCCAGGAGCUAUGCAAAUCAAUGAUAAUGGGGGAGGAGAAAAUAUAUAAGCUUGCUAUGGAGUGCUAUGUAGUCAGAUUUUCCUUACCUUUGCCUCCUGCCAAACCUUGGAUAUUUAUAGGUGGUAUGAGCCGUUGGAUGUGAGACGCGUGUAUACAUCUGACGGUAUGAGGCGUUCGCUCAUAGGCGUCAAUCAGCCUCGUCUAUAGGGAGGGCGGACAGCUUGUCUCUUCUGAGUUGAAUUGACAUAAAGUUGAUAAGUCAUAUUAUCUAGCCUCAUGGAGACGUCAAAUCAAUUAAAAUCUUAGGUACAGGGAAGAUCUUGGUAUAAAUCUCUUUCUGAAAUUGGCGAUGGAUCCUCUAACCGGGGUCCGCUUGGUCUCGGCCUCGGCCUCGGGGGCGAGGUACUUUUGGUUAGGUACUACUAGGUUGCAGGUAUUCCUGACAUCACUUCGGAAGAACUUCGGACGGGGUCUUUAUCAGGUCGGAACAUAUGAUGGUGAGCGUCCGAGGCGUAUCAGAUCGGAGCGUAACAGACAAUAACUAAUUUUGUUAUAUUUUAUUUUAUUUUAUUUUACUCAAACUCAUGUAUUUCAUGUUGAACUGCCUCGUAUAGAAAUUCCUGAAGAUUAAGUGUUGAGAAAAUAAAGCCAAUGGAGAAGAAGAAUAAAAUGCAAAGAAGAGAAGAAUAUAAAUAUAUAUAUCAAUGAAGGCUUGAUCACGAAAUUGAUCUCAUUGUACUCAAACAUUAUUUGCCUCCUUUCCAAUGCUUUUUAAAAAUUUUCGGCAAAUAGUUUGUAGGAACAAGCCUUGAUAAGAAGAACACUAAAAAGCAAAGGUGUAACUUCACAAUGAACAAGUGAAAAAUGGAAGGAUUAUAAUAUAAUUUUUUUCUCAAUUUUUGGAAGUAUAAUUUAGGCAUAAAUUUCAAUGGAAUUCAAUAAAUUUUCUUGCACAUGGAUCACUUAUUUAUAGACCUUGACAAGUUCCCACAAAAUGGUGCAAGAAACAUGUGAAAAGUCACCAAAUUUGAAUGAAAAACGGUCAAAAACUAACCCAACGGUUAGUUUUUAAUAACCAUGCGACCGCAUGGACUAUAGCCAUCACAUGCAGUCGCAUGGUUAUAGCUUCGCUAGCCCUCCCAUUCUCGGGAGGGCCUCAUGAUUAAGCAAAUUUUUUUUUCUUUUCGAUUUUGAUCAACAAAUAAAUUUCCAACAUUAAGUUAUGAGAAAAAAAAGUUAUGUUUAAGGGCGUCGUAUAUAAUAAUACAUGUUUCUUCAAGGAUCAAUACAUAAAAAUAUCAUACCUGAGGGCCUCAUCAUAAUUAUUUGCUAGCCCUGAAAACUUGUCCGCAAUAGUCCCUUUUCUACGAACCACCGUGGUGAGCCUUUCUUCGUCAACGAAUCUAGUUCACAGAUUCGCCUCACUUUCUCCAUCAAUAAGCCUAGUUUGUAGCUUUGCCUCACCGAGCGACUCCAACAAGGUACAUCAACGAGCCUGGAAGUUGUUACUAUGUAGAUGAAUAAGUGGAUCACUAGAUUCUAACAUUUGCUUAGCAACUUAGAACUUUGAGGAUAACAGGAUUCAAGCAGCCCAAUUUCACACCGAACAACUUAUUAAGCAAGAGGAAAUCACUUUCAAUGUGGAUGAGGAAUUUAAUUCAGCAACAUAGGUGGUGUGCUCUAGAUUGCCUGCAAGGAGCCAUGUUUUGAAUUUCUAGAGACCAUCUUGAAACCAAUACUAAUCUCGGCAAGUUUUAAUAAAUAUUUUGGGUUUCCUUCCGACUCCCAUGACUAGUCCCUCCGUUGUGGCACAAUUCUGGUGCCUGUCCCACACUAAGAGUGCCUCAACAGCCGAAGCUAGAGAUGAGGGUGCGCUAGAGCUGCCUCGACAACAGUUGCUAAAGGCUGGAGGCUGGAGGUUGCGGUGUACCCAGAAGCCUCAAAAGUCAUAGUUAGAGGUUGAAUUUUGGUUUAGACAAUUUAUCUAACAUCUGAUGGACAAAGUAGCACUGAGAUUUUAUGAGAACAAACAAAGGCUGCCUCUAAUCCCAUACUCAACACAAUAUCCCAAAUAUGCUCGUUUUAGAAUAUCUGCGUAGUGCGUCCUACGUAGGCAAAAGACAAGGAAGAGACAGUAUUCAUAACCGUGGAGACAUGAGUGGACCCAACGGGGGUCACUUGACCACCCCCAAUUUUUGAGAUUUUUCCCUUUUUUUGAUAAAGUCACGUUCAGUAUCGAUUGAAAUCUAAAUUUUAAUCUAAAUAAAAGUUAAUAAUUAAUUUUAAUAACAUAUUUCACGGAUUCCUUAACUUCUAAAAUUUUAUCCAAAUUUACUAAAAAUCAGACUUUAAUCCUCACCAAACAGGGACAAAAUUACAAUAAAUUUGAAUUUUCUCUCUUUUUAUUGCUCUCGUAUUCUCACGCUCAUGCCUUUUAUCAAAAUCUUAACACUUCUAAUUUUUUAAAAUUUGUUUAUAAUUUCUCUACAAUUAUCAUAUCUAAUACAAAUUUUCAAUUUUCAAUCAAAUUUUCAACUAAUUAAAACAUAAAUUUGCAUUUUCUCCUAUCCUAUUUGUGCAUAUAGCACGUGUUUAAAUUGAUUAUAUAAAAUUUAACUUAUAUCUAACGAAUUGUGUUUAUUUAACUGAUUAUUAGUAUUGAAUAUUGGUUAUUUGUUUUUUCUUUCGACUACUUGAAUUGAUUGUUUGUAUCAAAUAUACAAUUUUUGAAAACAUAAAUAUGCAUUUUUGCGGUGAGCAAAAUAUUAAUAAAAUGAUUGUUCAAAAUCAAAUAGAUGAAAAUGAUGAGCAAAAUAUUAAUGAAAAAUAUUUUUUAAAUGUAAAUCUGCAUUUUUUCGGGUCAAAAAUGAAUCAUUCAAAAAUCAAGAUCAAAAUAUUCGAUUUGUACAAAGUUUGAUUGUACAUUCUAACUCAAUUUCUCUGCGUCCGCCCCUGCAUAAAGAGGUGCCCCUGGUUCAACACGAGGCUUGAAUUGAAUAUCUCCACUAUUUGAGAAGAAUCUAAAGAACUUUCAUACAGCAGGUGACGGGCCAAGGCUCUUACCACCAGUGCAGGAAGAUUCGCAGCCAACAGAAGCUACUACCACUGCACCUGCCUAGAUGGCAUUCAUCGGAUGCUACGGGCGCCUUGGUGGCGGUGAAGCACCGGGGCCAAAUCUUGACCAAUGGGGAUUGAGAUCAAGUGGCACGUAGGCCGCAAUAUCGCUGCAUUUACGAGACAUCGUAGCUGGACUGUUUUAACGACAAUGGCUUGAGGCUUACGCCGUGGAGAUGCAGUCCACGAACCGUUGCUUAGGCUUGAAGACUUUGAAAAUGGGAAAAUGAAAGUGAAAGUUCUAUAUCUUUUGAGUUUUUAUUUUUUUAUUUAAUUUUCCUCAUUCUGGCCAAGGGCUAAAUUUGUAUAUUGAAAAGUAAAGAGGCCAUUUGGACACAUUAUUAAUUUACUGAGUUAGCAGCCAUUCUAUAUUUUAUCAAAUAGCGUAUAACAACGUAUUUUUUCAUUAUAUUUCAAAUAAAUAAAUAAAUAAGUACGAAACAUAUUUUUCCCUCAUUUCAAAGAAUAGAAACAAAAUUUUUUGACGUAAAUUAUCAUCAAGGACGAAAUGUAUUAAUUAAUGAAAAGUCGAAUAUAAGAAUUUGUCGAAAGAAUUGCAAUAAUAAGCAAAAAUUAAGAACCUUAACUGCAAUUAAAAUGUAAUGUAACUAAUAAAAAUUGUAAUACCAAAAUAACCGUCCUAAAAUAAAGCUUGGCAUCCCUUAGUAGAGACAAAAAAAUAAAAAAUAAAAAAACCACCCGAAAGGGUUCUUUCAUCCUAUCUGAAACUUUAAGACAUGUUUUUUUAGCUCGAAUUACAUGGGCUAUAUGCUAAUAUGAAAGAGGCAAAUAAUAGAAAUUUACUACUUUAGAACAUAAUUGUUCUUUCCAAAUACCUAUAUUUAAUUACCGGCAAAGGGCCAAUUGAUAAGCUCCAGAUUUGCAUUUGGCCUAAAUUUGCUGAAUUUGUUCUAUCUCUUGCAAUUCUAAGUCUAGUUAAUCAUCACUGUUUGUUGUUGUUGACAUAAAUAUGGUAAGAACAGAAAUUGUUGGUAGCAGAAGGUGAACACUCAGUGUAAACUUCUCCACGUGCUAGAGAUACAAGCAACACAUAAGGAGAGCAGCAUAAUUAUGGGAUAGAAAUACCAAAAGAUAUCUUGUGGGAAGAACAGUGAGGCCAAGAAACAAACCAAUAGGGAAAUUGAGUAAUUUUUGACUUGAGUGCGUAUGUAACCCAUAUCAACUUGAGGUGUCAAUGAGAUUUCAAUGGAGACAAAGGAGGAGAAAAGGAAAAAGCUAGUGAGAUGCCAAAACUUGAUCCAAAUGAAAUUUCACAGCACUCUCCCUUUCAGAAUGAAAGGGAAAAGGGACAAUAACAUUUUCUUAUGAAAAGGGAAAAAGGAGAAACAGCAUUCUCCCUUUUAGUAUGAAAAGGGAAAAGGGAGAGUAACAUCUAAAGGUAGAAUCAUAGCACUCUCCCUCUUAGGGAUUCUCCUUUUUCAUAUGGUGCCUAGUGGCACCCCUGUUUCAACUAGGCAACCUUAGCCCGAUCCGAAUAAUAUAGCCCUCCUUUUUAGUUAUCCAAUUUGUGCUUCAAUACCGUAUCUGGCUUGACUUUAAUUAAGACUCAUGUUUCUAAGAUUUUCUCGAUCAAUCAUUCGCUAGGAAAGUUAAUUGGCGGACCAAAAUAAACUUAUAUUCUCAUCAUUCUUUAAUAUCUAUGUUUAAAACAACAUUUUAUGGGAAUAAUUUAUUAAUACCUUUGAACAAUAUUUUAUUUUUUCAAAAAAAUCGCAAAUUUUUAUUUUGAAUAUUAUAUUAUUGAUCUCGAAAUAUCGUAAUGUUAAAUAAUAAUAUUCUUUAACAAUAUUCUGUAGUUAUUCUUGGAUAAUUAUGAAUUUAUAAACUUCAAUGUAAAAUAGUGUAUUGAUCCUGAAUUUUAACUAUACUGCAUUUAAAGAAGCAAAAAUUUAUUUAUAUUAAUAUUAAAGAAGAAUAUUGCUUUGAUACUCUAGAAGAGUCAAUAUUGCAUUAUGUGGGAGAAUAAACUUCCUAGAAAUAUGCUCAAUAUCAUUUGAUUGAAUAGUUGACCCAUUCCUUGUUGUUUGAAGAAACCCUCCACUUCAAUACUAUUGAUAAUAAUUUAGUACUAAAUUAGUAAGAAACCUACUAAGUUUCUAAAAUAUUUGUCAUGAUUGAUACUAUAUCGACAUUGGUAUAUUUGAAAUAAACAUUGCAUUGAACAAGAGGUUCAAUUAUUGAAUAUAUUAUUGCUUGACAUUAUUAUUUGGUUCAUCACUUGAUCAAUAAUAAUGCAAAAUUAAGAAUUCAAAUGAAUAUUCAAAAGAACUAUAAAUUCUUCAAUCUAAUGAAUUCCUAAACAAUAAUUUUUCCAUGUGUUACGAAUUGGUCUUGAUCAUCACUAGAUAAAGUUAGAACUAAAUUUCAAUAAUCUUGAAAUUAAAUAGGGCAUGUUGACCAUCUAGUUAUAAUUGUGUGUGAUAGAUAUAUUUACUAGAUGAUUGCAUUGUGUUUGCACCUGAACUUUGCACAUUCUUUUAUUAAGUUUUAAAUUAUUAGCUUAAAUUUUAUAUUAUAUCAUCAAGACAAUGUAUCAUGUCAAUGUUAGUAAAUCUACAUCCAAAUUAAUAUUUUGAUAAAUGUUGAUUGGGAUGACGAUAAAUUGUUUAACACAAUUGAUUGUUAAAUACCUCCAAUUAAUUUCUUAACUGUUAUUGUUAAAAACAAAGUACUUUCCAUUUAUGUUUAGAUAAUGACAUUAUGCACCAAGCCAAUGUCAAAGUUAGAGCCUAAAUUUUCAUUUAUGGUUAGAACCUAAUAGUUUUCAUCUAAUGAUUUUCUAAUGUGCAAUUUAUAUACCAUAGUGCAAUGGGAUAGUUAUUAAAGAAUGAUGAGAAUAUAAAUUUAUUUUGAACCCUUACAAAAUAUUUUAAACUCUAAAGGUUGAUAUUUUAUAACGCAGUUUGCUCACGUCAAUUUAAUUAAAUAAUUCUCUCAAUAUUAAGGGAAGAAAUUGGCAGCUGAAAAUAUUACACAAUGCAUCAUAUUAUGCUGUCUAUAUCCUUGCACUUGAUAAUCUGAAAAAAUAAUUCAAUUGUAAAAUACAUUUCUGGCAUAUAAGAAAUUACUAAAAUCUCAUAUACCAACUAUAGACAUUCAAUGCCGUAUUGUUAUCUUAGAAAGACUAAACUAUUGCAAUGCAUAAAUAAUAUGUUGAAACUUUGUGACAUUUGAUUCUUAAAAAAGUAAAAAAUGAAAGAGAAAAAGAAAAAAAAAAAAAACCAGAAGAAGAAAAGAGGUUGAUCCUAAUUAGGAAGCAUAUAUUCUUGGAGGUUAUAUAGACAUAACUAAUUAUAAAACCUAGAAGAGAUUCAAGUAUUUGAAAUAUUGAAAAAGGACGUCUCUCAUUAAAUUAUGUCAUUAUGAAAAAGAAAUAGAAUUGAAAAGAAAAGAAAAAGUUGUCGACAAUACUUUUGUACAUGAUAUAUCACUUCAUAUUAUGAAUAGCAAAUAUAUCGAAAUAAAUUUGUUGAGCAUAUUGAUUGAAGUAAUGAUUAGCAAAAUUAAGAAUGCAAUCUUAUUAAAACUGAACUUAUUAGGGAAACCAAAAGCAUUUGGACCUAAAGUUCGAGGACCUAAAUGUAUAUACCCAUGCAAAAAGUAAAUAAGAAAAAUGAAGCGUAAUAUGUAAUGCACGACUUUUCAACAUAAUAAAUUUCACCAUGACCAUAAUGAAUGCAAUCACAAGUCAAUAUCGUUAUCAUCACGAUGCAUGAAAUUUGAAAUGUGAUUGGCAUCACUAUUAAUGUUAUCCUUGAAGAAUUUAAGAUGACUGAAACAUAUAAUUCAAGUGAUAUUAUUUUGAGGAGGGAUAAAUGUGUUGUACUUUCUUUUUCUUUUUUUUUUAAAUUAAGAUUUCGUCUCAUUGAAUUUCAUGACGAGAUUUCUAAUGAGACAACUUUUUUAGUAUACUUUAAAGAAAAAUGUACUAUUUUUCCUUUAUUGGAAUUUUUUGCACAAGAUUUUUCUAGUAUGGUUUUAACGUGGCAUAUUCUUUGUGUAAUAGAUGUCUAUAACCCACUAGACAUUUACUCUCAAAAUAAUAUUCUUAUAUGUUACAAAUUGUCGAUAACUCUAGAAGAGAGCAAUAACACAAUCUAAUUUUCAUUGGAUCAUCAUGUUGUCCAAAAUCAAACAAAGAUUGAUAAAAAUCUUCUAUGAAAACAAUAUUACUUGUAUGCUAUAACAAGACAAAAUGAAACGUAUUUUACCAGAAUUGAAAUAUUUAAAACAGUGACGUACAAGACAUAGAUGCUCGAUACAAGAAUUUUUAUUUAUUUAAAUCAAAGGAGUAGAUGUACACUUUUCUUUGUCAAUCAAGUUUUGUCCCAUUGGAUUUUCAUGACACACUAUUAAUGAGGCAGUAUUUUAUUAAUACAUAAUUUGUUAUAAUUAUUUGUACCCUUCUUUCGUUUGUGUUGGUAGUUUUGUCCCACUGAGUUUUUGUCAAAUUAGGUUUUUAAUGAGGAGAAUAUUGCAUACAACUAUGAGAUAAUUAUUGAUGCCGAUUUAGUCUUAUCAAGAUACUUAGAUAAAUCUUAUUUACUUUGUAAGGGUCUAUUUUAUUCAGAUUGUAACGCUCCUUUUAAACCUUAUAAAUAUGUGUCCAUUAUUGCAAUAAACUUACAAACUUAGUCUUGACCCUAUCUAUUCUUUUUUUGUAUCUCUCUCUUUUUCCUUUAGAAUUAUGAAAUUAGUAGAUUUGUUAUCCUUUCAAAUUAUCAAACUAGUAGAUUUGUUAUUAGGUACUUUUAAACUUCAGUUUGUUUUUAAGGUGAUUUAAUAGUAACAUACUGCUUCUUUCUUUAUAAGGUGAUGUUGUUUCCCAACUACCAUAGCAAUGGUUUAUUAUAUUCAAUUCCAUUAUAACGGCAUCUAGCAUAUCUUUAUACUAUGCUUUGUGUUGAAGUCGAGGAUUGGGAAUGAGACCCAUAAUUCUCUCUGUUGGCGUAUUGUCACACGGAUUUUGAUGAGUAAUUUGCUAACGAAGGCAUACUUGCAAGUCCACUCCUGUAACGGAUUUGGUGGUGGUGAAGUUGCAUACUCACUUUAUUCAGUGGUUGUCCAAAACUGCAUUCAAUAUUAUACUCUUAAUUUAACUAGUAUACAACAGAUUUUGCUUCAUCUGCUCCAGCUUGCAUCUGGCAAUGGAUCUUUUUGCCACAGCAUUGCCAAGAAAGCCCUUGAGCCCGACCCAAUGUGAGUGACCAUUGGAGUUGUGCAUAGAAGACGUCACUCGCCUUUCGUAUCAAACCUGUGAUAUGAAAUAAUAUCGGGUGCGACAUAGAGAGUUAAGUAAUUCCCAACCUAUAUUCUCUGUUUCUUGACCAGUAUUUUUCAGCGUACCCUAGGACCAAAAGGACAUUCCAAAAUUAGAUGGAUCAAAACCACCAACCAAAAAACAAAUCUUGAUUCACUUUGUGCCCAUAGAGAUUAAUGAUAAUCUUCAGCAGCAAGAAUACAAAUUGCCAGUAUAUCCAUUACUUCAACGGAAAUUCUUCCUGAAAGAAGAGGAAGAUCGAUUGUCGCAUACCACUAACAACUCACCAUCAUUAUUUAGACGUUCAAUGCCAGGGCAGAGCAUGAAGCAAAAUGGUAAUAACCAUAUACAUAAUGAAGGAAUGAUCCAUGUAAGAAGCCUAUGUACUUAAUAUGCUUCUAGUGUCAGGGUAAAGUAAAAAUAAAAAACUACUAGCGUCUACACCUCAGAAAAGUGUCAUCCUAGUACAACUAACAAUUGAAUAUUCACCAUCCCGAAAGACGUUGAACCGACUAUGCUAAUGAAUUUGCCACUCGCUUAAAUGUCCAUUUACCAGUAUAAUAUAAACAACACUGAAAGUUUAAAUGAGGUACAGGAAUUACCCUGAUGAGCCUGUAUUUUGGCUCGUAUUUCUUUGCACUCUCAACAGAAUCAUAGAUCAAGCCAAAACCAGUGGAAUUGCCUCCACCAAAGUGCGUCCUGAACUUAAAAAACAAAUAUGGCAUUUGGAUCUUUCACUUCAUACAUCCUUGCCAAUUUCUUCUUCAACUCACAGCCUACAAUAAUAGCCAAAGUAGGUAAAACUAAAAGGGACCACGAAUUUGUAUCCAAACCCAAAUUGAAAUUGCCACAAAUUUAAAACAAAGAAUCGAUCACAAAACUUUGCUUUUGGAAACCAUAAACUUAUGGUAACUAAUAAUAAUCAACAAAGAACACCAACAGAUCUAAUUAUUUAUUCAUUUUCCCACAAUGUUUUCAAAAUUAUGCUACGGCUUGUAGAAGCCUGUAUAACUUUCAUAAACCAUAGACUUUACAUUUGCCUUUAAAAAUCAUCAACAAAGAGCAUCAACAAAUAUAUUUAUUUAUUAACAUUCCUUCAAUAAUUCCAUACCAUGUAAUGGCCAAAGGAGAAGCUAGUUUUACUUCUAUAACCCACUGAUUUUACAGUUAACCUUUUCGGAAUCAGACAUGGACCCAGACGAGUACAAAAUAUAAGGACUUCUCGAUUCUCUGACAUAUAUACUUCAUUCCAUAUCUUACGUAAAACAACGAAGGUAGAAAAAAAAAAGAAAAAAAAAAGAAAAAGGGAAAUGACGCAGAAAAAGCAUAAAACUAGCACUUAAAAGGAAUAAUGCGAAUAAGUUGAAUUUUCCAUACAAAAUAGGCUAACCCACCAGUUAAGCGAGUUGCCUUGUAGAACCACAACAACGCCAAAAAUGGACCUCCAAAUGAGUACAUGGAGUCACACAAACUGGCGUCCUCAAUGGGAAAAAUAUUGGAAACCUGUAGAAAUUGAAGCCAACCAAAAGAAAGCAAUCAUGUCAAGGACAAUAUAUGACUUCAAUACAUCACUCCAAUGUACAAUUUCUUUCAUGGUCUGUCGAGACCAAGGGAGAUUGAGAUUGAGUGGCAUGUAGGUCGCAUCGCCGCUGCAACAGGACCUUCAGUGGCGGUGGGAGCACCGGGGCCAAAUCUUGGCCCAGGUUGGUCCGCCAAGACCAAGGGGCACCGAGGCCAGAUCUUGGCCCAGGUGGGUCCUCCGAGACCAAUGGGGGUCGGGAUCGAGUGGCAUGUAGGUCGCAACGCCGCUGCUACCGAGGCCUUGGUGGUGGUGGGAGUACCGAGGCCAGAUCUUGGCCCAGUGUUUCAGUCCAAAACCGAGAUCGGGGGGGAUCGAGAUGGAGUGGCAUGUAGCUCCAUCAUAGCUGGAAUGUUUUAACGACUAUGGCUUGAGGCUUGAUGCAGUCGACUGCACGAUCUCUAGCUAAGGCUGGAAGACUUUGAAAAGGAGAAAAUGGAAUUGAACGUUAUCGAUCCAAACCGGUCUAUAUUUCAUUCUGUAUUUUAAUAAAUAGCGUACAACGAGAUUUUUUUUUAAUCAUAUUUUAAAUAAUAAAUAAUUACGAAAAGUAUUCUCUCCUCGUCUCAAAGCAUAGAACAAAAUAUUUGAAAUAAAUCAUCAUUAAUGAAGAGAUGCACUAAUUAAUGAAAAAUUGAAGAUAAGAAUUUAACUCCAAAAAAAUUAAAAAAAUGAUUGCUAUAACGUAAAGUACAAUUAAAAUGUCGUAUAACGAAUAAAAAUUGUAGUACCAAUAUAAAUUGACAUCCUUUGGUAGAGACAAAAAAUAAAAAAUCUGAAACAUGUUUUUUUGCUCGGAUUAUAUUGGCUAUAUGCUAAUAGAAAUGUAAUACAAAAUAGGUAAAUAACAGAAACUACUUCAAAACAUUAUUGUUCAUUUAAUUAUUGAUUCAAAGCUCUAAAUUUGCAUUUAGCCUAAACUUGCCGAAUUUGCUCCAUCUCCUGCGAUUCUAAGUCUGGUUCCUCGUCAAUAUUUAUUGUUGUAGUCAUAUAUAUGUUAAGAACAGGAAUUGUUGGCAGCAGAAGUUGAACACUCUGCUUAAAACUUCUCCACUUACUAGAGAUACAAGCAGUGCAUAAAGAGAGCAGCAUAAUUACGGGGUAGAUAUACCAAAAGACAUCUUGAGGGAAGAAUAACGAGGCCAAGAAACAAACCAAUAGGGAAAUUGAGUAAUUCUUGACUUGAAUGCGUAUGUAUCCCAUAUCAACUUGAGGUGUCAAUGGGAUUUCAAUGGAGAUGAAGGAGAAGAGAAAGAAAAAGUUAGUGACAAGCCAAAACUUGAUCCAAGUGAAGUUCUCAAUUACUAUACUAAAUGGAUUCCAUUUCCAAGGCAUGGCUGUAUAUGGUUUCAAUAUGUUUACAACGAAUAGGAGUACUUGGAAACUUCAGUUGGAUCCAUUUGGUAUAGUAAUUGGAAACUUCAGUUGGAUCAAGUUUUGGCUUCUCACUAGCCUUUUUUUUUUCUCUCCUCCUUCAUUUCCAUUGACACCUCAAGUUGAUAUGGGAUACAUACGCAUUCAAGUCAAGAAUUACUCAGUUUCCCAAUUGGUUUGUUUCUUGGCCUCAGUAUUCUUCCCACAAGAUGUCUUUUAGUAUAUCUACCCCAUAAUUAAUCUGCUCUCCUUAUGCACUGCUUGUAUCUCUAGCACGUGGAGGAGUUUUAAGUAGAGUGUUCAACUUCUACUGCCAACAAUUCCUAUACUUUAACAUAUAUAUGACUACAACAAUAAAUAUUGACGAAGAACCAGACUUAGAAUCGCAGGAGAUAAAGCAAAUUCGGCAAGUUUUGGCCAAAUGCAAAUCUGGAGCUUUGAAUCAGUAAUUAAAUGAACAAUAAUGUUUUGAAAUAGUUUCUGUUGUUUGCUUCUUUUGUAUUACAUUUCUGUUAACAUAUAGCCAAUGUAAAUCGAGCAAAAAAAAACGUGUUGCAGAUUUUUAGAUUUUUUAUUUUUAUUUUUUUUUCUCUAUCAAGAGAGAAACCUGGGUGGGGCGGUCGCACCAUCCACGUGGUGCGACUGCCCAACCCCGAAGUGCCACCUCUGUAGAUGGUCCACACACCUCGAGGGUGUGUGGUGGCCCACCGCACCGCCACGUGGUGUAACCGCCCUACCUAAAUUUGUUUCCUCUAUCAAAGGAUGUCAAUUUAGAUUGGUACUACAAAUUUUAUUCGUUUCACUACAUUUUAAUUGUACUUCGCAUUAUAGCAAUCAUUUUUAUUUUUAUUUUUAUGUCAAAUUCUUAUCUUCAAUUUUUCAUUAAUUAAUACAUCGUGUCAUUAAUGAUGAUUUACUUCAAAUAUUUUUUUGGGCUUUUUUGGGCGACAAUUUUUCGAUCGAAUCCCUUGGAGUUACGGGGAGAUGUUGGGUGUAAUUGAAGAGAAUAUUGUUGACUUUCCAACAUUAUCAAAAUUUGACGAUAAUCCGUGGUCGAAAGUGGCAGAAAUGUUGCAACAAAAGCAGCCCAAAAAAUUGAAAAUGUGGUUUUAAAUUUCAGUGACCGUUUCUGUAAAUUUUUAAACUUCAAUGACCAUUUCUAAAAGUUUUUAACUUCAAUGACCAUCUCUGAAAGCGCCUCGAAACUUAAGUGACCGUUACUGAAAGUUUUAAACUUUAGUGACUGUUUUGUAAUUUUUGCAUAAGUUCAGUGAACGUUUUUGAAAUUAAUCCAAAAAAGUUUGCAUGUAGAGUUUCAUGUUUCUUAAAAGGUACAAACAAAUCUCACCUAAAAAAAUUUAAAACAUUCUAAUUAAAGAAAAAUAUUUUAUCUUCUUAAUUAACCCACCAACUCCUACACCCAUCCCCUACAUUUCACCACCACUACAAAAUUAAUCAAAGAGAUAAUUAAAAGUAUAAUAAAAGCAAAAUAAUAAUAAUAAUAAUAAUAAUAAUAAUAAUAAUAAUAAUAAUAAUAAUAAUAAUAAACAUAGAAAAAUAAAAAUAAAAAAAUUUAUGGCCCCAUUCGACCCCCAUUAAUUUUAAUUAUAAUGGGGGAAAUAGAAUUUUUUUGAAAAAUGAAUGGUUGUAAAAGAAUAAAAAGUUUUCGAUUUAUUUGUAAUAUUAUUUUAUUGAAAAUUGUGUGAUUUAAAAUAAGAAAGAAAAAUUUAAUUUAAUUUGAUGAGAUGUGAUGGGGGCAAACGAGGGCAAUAUAAAAACGAAUGGCGCUUAUUCCUCAUCAAAUAAUUUUUAAACUUUUAAUUCUUUUUUUUUAAUUAUUUGAUGGUGGUGUUGAUGGAGGAGGAUAUGCAGAGGGGUCGAGAUAGGGAUAGGUGGUUAAUUGGAAAAAUAAUUUUUUUACUAGAAUGUUUUAAAUUGUUUUGCAUAAAAUUCAUUUGUAAUUUUAAAAAAAAAAUUAUAAAAUCUAGAUACAACAUUUUAUAUAUACAUAUAUAUUUGUUUAUCUAAAGACGAUGAUAAAUUAGUCAUUUUAUAAUGUUAUAAUAGAAAAAAUGGAUGGUAAAAAUCUUUUAAGCAAAAAAAUGUCGAUCUAAGUGUUCAAAUGUCAAAAUUGAAAUGAUAAGAACUAUUCACACAAUUAAAGCAAACGAUAGGCACGUUUUUGCUCCAAAUUACACAUAUUUAACUGAAGGAUUUAAUGAAAUAUGAUGGAAAGCACUGAUUCUGCAAGAAAUGUUUGAAAUAAUUGUAAAUGGCAAGUUUGAAACAAUAUGAACCAUUUUCACAAUGAGUACAAACGAUAGGAAUGCCUUUUGCUAAUUACCCUAAAGUAUAUUUACUCUCUAGAUAUCGAGGGAAUUUAGCCCUUGUCUAACACCCGUUAAAAUUUUAAUAUAUUUUUCUCUCUUCUUUUUAAUCACGUAUUCAUCAAUAAAAUAAUAUUACAAGUAAAUCAAAAAAUUCCCUUCUUUUUUAACCACAAAUUUUUCCAAAAAAAUACUAUUCCAUAAUACAGAUUACCAAAAUUUCUCAUUAUAAUAGAUGUAAAACAAAGGUUUAAUAUAAACUAAUUUACACUUUACUUUUAUAAUAAAUAAUGUUAUUCAUAGUGAAGAUUAUUGAUAGUCAUCCUUUGUGACAUAUACAUGACAAUGUGUUAUUUGAUGCAUAGGAUGGUAAAAAACCUAUCAUAUUAAUGUAUUAAAUAAUGUCAUGUGUACGUCACGUAAGAUAGCUAUCGAUAGUCCUCACUAUGAAUAUCAUUACUCUUUUAUAAAUAUAACAUGUCCAAACUUGGAGGCAAAAAUGCAGCCUCCGAGCUCCUAUAGAGAGAUUGCCGCAUUGACUAUAAAUAAACAAAAGCAAUGAAACUAUUGUGAAACAAUAAAAAUUUUCAAAAAUAAUCAAUUCUUCUCGACGAGUAGAGUUAAAAGGCUAGUUUGAAACGAAGGAUAGUGCAUUGCACCGUGAUGCAGCAGGGCAGCAUUGGUGAAAGGGCAAAUAGGGCAGCAUCGGUGAAAGGUAGUGAAAUAAAGGGAACCACCAUAAGAGAGGAGAAUUUGAUUUCAGAAUUUAAAAAUCCCAGCCUCUUAAUAAGUAUAAAGAAAGGAGGGCAAGAGUAAAAAUGCUUAAACGAGAAACUUAGCCUGAACUAAACUGCUCUAUAUAGUAGAAAAGGAUGGAGUUAAAUGUUUCAUUGACCACCAAACUUUACACUAGUCACGAUUUACUCAUCGAACUUCAUUAAUUGUCUCAUUGGCCACUGAACUUUGCUCCGUUCAACUCCAUCACUCACCCGUUCAAAACUGUUAAUAGACGUGCUGAUGUGGUGAAUGGAAAAAUGACUUGGCCGGUUAACUCCUUUCAAGUAGUAAGUGAUUUGCCAACUAAGCUUCCACGUUAGUAAUGGAGCAUCCAAACACGGCAUUAUCAAUUUCAUUUCACACGACUUUACAGAAUUAUAACCCAAUUAGUGUGAAAUCUCUCUCAAAUCACUUCCUCCCAUUCGCGAAGAACCCUAAGUAUCUGAACCAAGAUCCUCCAAAAAUCUCUCAAAUCCUAUCAUCCUGAAAUCCAUUUCUACAAAAUCUCACAUGAAGUCUCUGUAUUCUGAAAAUCCAUUCAAUUCAUUCGGGUAAUUUUUAUCAUGCACCGUGGUAUCCCAAAUCACGUCGUCUAAUUUUUGUGAGCUUCAAAUUCAUCUACCUCAAGAUAGAAAGGUAAUUUUUGUUUAUGUUUGUUGUAAAAUUGUUCCCAUGAUAUGGUAGGACACGAAUUGAUGAUUUUUGAAUGGAAAAUUGGUUUUGUUUAUAACUCAUUUUAUUUUUGGUUUGCAUCUUCGUCUUUCCGAUAAUGGUCAAGAACACUACUUUCUAGUCGUUAAUGGAGGAAAAACAUGUUUAUACCAUUCCUCUCCAUAAUCCAAUUAACACUCAUUUUGGGUAUUCUGCCAAUGUGAAUGUUGGGUAUUUUUUGUUUGGCUCUAAUAAAGAUAGCUCAUUGUUGAAUCCGGUGACUGGAAAAAAGGCCCUGUUGAUGAAACUACUUUGACCGUUGAAGGAUUUGAAUCCUGAUGGAGCUACUUUGCUUGUUGAUGAAAUGAAUAACACUAAAUUAAAAUUUGGAAGUAGGUGUGUUUUAGGUACUGAAUUUCAGAAAAAGCCUCCUAUUUAAACUCUCGAAUGAGAUGAAGGGAUUAAAGAUUGUUAAUUUUGCAGUGUUGCUGAGAAGAGUAAAAAAUUUGGCAGCAAUUCAUCUGUCUGUCACUGCCAAUAACAUAUUCAUGUUUGCAAUCAAUGGAAGGGGGGUAUCCGUUGCCUUUGUCCACCAUUUAUGGUAAUAGGAACUGGGACUGGUUGUGCUUGGAAACAGCUACAAUUUGCUUCAUUAAAAAUACUGGUAAUUUGUUCUAUUUUACUGUAUUAUUUUUUAUUGCAUUCCCAGUUCUAUCAUUAUUUGUUUAUUUAAUUAAUGUUUAAUGACACAUCUUUAUGCUUUUUGUCCUUCAUUUAUCUCAGUUAAGUAUGUUUAUAGAAUUAUUAGUAUGUUUAUAGAUAGUGUGUAGAAUAAUUUAAUUUAUAAUUUGUAAUUAGUUAAAAUUGUAUGUUUUAUUCGAAAGAAUCAUUCUAUUAACUUUUAGGGUCAGUUUGAUUGUAAAGAUGAAAUUUGGAUAGAAAGAAAAUGAAUUUCAGGAAAUUGAAUUGUCUAAAAAUUAUUUUACUGAGAAUUAUCAAUUAUUGUGUUUGAUUGAUAUAAUUUUUUAUGUGAAAAAUGUUAAAAUAAAAGUAUUUUUUGAUGUUCGUUUGACUUUAUUUUACAUAAAAAUUGUCAAUUAAAGGGAUAAAAUUUACUGGUAUUGGGGAUAGAAUUUGUUCCUCUUGCCCAAAGAAAAAAAAAAAGGAGCCAAAAAAAUCAUCUAUCUUUUGGUGUUCAUUUGACUUUGUUUUAUAUGGAAAUUAUCAAUUAAAGAAAAAUAUUUUUUUACAAUUAAUGAUAGAAUUUGUUUUCAAUGCCAAAAAAAUAAAAAAUAAAAAUUGGCAACUUACCUAGAAAACCAAUUCCCACCAUUCCUUGAAAACUAAGAAAAGUCCACUUUUCAAAAAAACCAAGCAAAUGAAUUACAUGGAAAAUAUUUGCUAUCAAACACUAUCAAAAGGUGGAAAAUAGACAAAAUUUUCCAUUUUCCAUGGAAAAGAUGCCCAAUCAAACAGGGCCUUAAUAUAUUUUUCCAACAGAAAUUGUGUAGUUUUAGUUCGAAAAUUUUUAAUAUAGUUUCAGUAUAUUAUUUUCAUAUUACCAAUAGAAUUUUAUCAUUAAAAUUUCUUAAUUUAUUUUUUAGGAUUUUGUUUUUUUUAUAAAUUAAAAAUUUAAAAUAAUCUUUAAUUAAUAGGUAGGAUUGAUUGAAAUUAAAAGUAUGUGAAUUUUUAUUUUUAUUUUUGUUCUUUUUUACAACAAGCAAUAAAUAUAGCAAAUCCUUGUUGCAAAACACACUUUCUCGCAACAUUUAAUGAUUGUUGCAAAAUGUUGUAUCGUAAGAAUUUCAACAAUAUGUACUGAGCAUUGCUAUAGAACAAAAUUUUAAACAGUUCAAUGAACAUUGCAAAAAAAAAAAAAAAAGGAAGAUUAAAACUUUUGCAACAUAAUAAAAAAAAAUUAAAACUUUUGCAACACUCAAAGAACGUUACAAAAAGCUAUAUAUCAAGAGUUUCAAAAACGUUUAUUGAACGUUACUAUAGAACUUUAUUUUUACAACAUUCAUUAAACAUUGCGAAAAAUAAAACUUCUUACAACAUUCAAGAAACGUUGAAAAUGGUAAUAUUGACAACAUGCAAUUAAAAAAAAUAUAUUGCCAAUGCUUAAUUAAAUUAAUCAAUAGCAACAUUUUUCACUUUUUAAAAUGUUGCAAUAAACCAUUUAGCAGCAUACAAUUCACGAAUAUUGCCUUUUGAAUAUUGCAAAAGCUAUUUUAAUUGUAGUGAAAAUUCGUCAUAUGUAUAUAAAAAUUCAUAUGUCAUUAAAUUAAUUUCAGUACACGUGAUAAAUGAUCAUACCUAAAAAAAUUAUUACCUUCACUAAACUUUGAAAAAUUAAGCUUUCGGACCGAUAACGUAUUAUGAAAAGAGAUAGAAAAAGCAGGGAAAAUAAAAGUCAAUAGACUUGUAUGUAUUAUAAUAAGAACUAGAGCCAUGUAUUCAUAAAGAAGGAUUAUGGAUACAAUGAUAAUAAUUUCUAAAUUUAUAGGGGUACAAUUGUCAUUCACAAAUAAAACUUACCAUUUACAACAAAAUGGUCUUUUUUUUUUUUCUUCAAUUUGCUCCUAAAAAGUUUAUUGAUAGCAACAAGAUAAGUCGGACGUUCUCUUUUUUGAAUUUUAAGAGGCGCGUAGGACAUUUUGAUCUUCAUUUUUCGUCCCAUUCAUUUAUGUAUUUACUUAUUUAUAUAUUAUUAUGCGUUUAAAUUUAAAUUUUAUUCAAAAAAAAUUUUAAAAAAAAUAUUAUGAAUCAUGGAUGGGUUUGUGAUAGCGAUCAUGUUUCCUAACCAAAUGCCUAAUAAGGAUUAUAGAAUUCCCGACCUUCAAUCCACGUGGCGCGUUCCGUCCCACAUUGUCCUUCCUUGAAUAGUAAACGAGGCGGGAUGCAAAACCUAUAGUCCCUAGUUUCGAAUUUUUAGUACUAGCUCUGAAUCAUUUUUCAUUAUUAUAUUUCAUUUUAUUGUUAUGUUCUUCAUUUAAAUCAUAUUUAAGAAAAUUUAAUUAAAUAAAUAAAAUGAUGAAUGAUGUUUUUUAUGUCUCAACCUACCCUACAUUCUGAAAAAUCAGAACGAAACAAGAAUGAUAUGAUGGUUACUAUCCAUUGUCAUCCUUAAAUUCAAAUUUCUUGUUGGGCGAAGUAACUUGGGGCCAGAGGCAGUCCUGAGGGCGCACGAGUUGAGCGAUCGCACAGGGCCUCAAAUUUGUAAGGGCAUCAAAAAAAUUUUUGUUAUAAUUGUAUAUUUAUUUAUAAUUAAAUAUUUAAAAUAUAAAAUUUUUAUUAUUAUGCAAAAGAUAUUAAAAUUAAGAAUAAUGUGACUAACUAGUUAUAAUUUUCUUGAAUAUAAUAUUCUUAAAUAGCGUUCCUACCUUAAAUAAUGUGAGGAAAAAGUAAAAAGUCAAAAAGAGAUUAGCCCGACUAGAGAACUGAGAGAAGAGAGAAAAAUUGAGCAACUACAUUUUCCAAAUCGUCUUUUUGGAGAGAAGAAUUAAAGAAAACAACAAUCUUUUCCAAUUGCCCCAAAGAUAAUUGAGGUAGAGAAAAUAGAAACCAACCGUUUUUUUAUUUGUUUAUUUUUUUUUUUGAAGAAAUCAUCUUUUUUUCCAAUCAUCUUUAAUCUGGCUCCAAAAGAUUCUCUUUUUUCUUUAAGCAACGACUGACGAUUCAUAUUUUUCACUGAACUCUCACUGAAAAUUUGAAUUACAUGUUAUCUUUUCUUUAUUAUCUUUUCGUUAAUCUUAUUCUAUGAUUUUACUGAUUUGAAUUCUUUUUGCAAGAACUUGUUAAAAUUUGAAUUCAGGAUUGAGGAUUGAGAAAGCACGACAUAAUUUUCCUCCGGAGAAGUUGAACACUUACAAGUAAGUUUUUGUUUCCUUAACAUAUUUUUCUUCAAUAAUUUCUUUGAAUAUUCAAGAAAAUAUAAAUUCGUUUUUAAUAUUUUUUUCUCAACGUUCUGAAGAUGGAUUCAUCGUUUAUAAUUUAUAAUUACUAAUUUAAUAAGUGAAAUCAAUUAACUGUGAAGAGAUUUACUGUUAAGUGAAAUCAAUUAAUUGUGAAAAUGGGUUCACUGUUCAUAAUUUAUAAUUACUAAUUUGAUAAGUGAAAUCUACUAAUGAAAUUGAUUCAUUGAAUUUUUACUACCCUCUAACUCUCUUUUCAUUAAUUUGUGAUACACGGGUUUUCGAAGAAUCAAGAUUGAUUUAAUUCCUGUUACUGUUGUAUCUGCUGAAAGAAAAUUUUCAAAAUUGAAGUUAUUAAAAUCUUAUUUAUGAUCAACCAUUUUACAAGAACGAUUGAAUGGAUUCGUUUUGAUAUCUAUUGAGCAAGACUUUCUAAAAAAUAUUGAUUACGAAAGUUUAAUUAGUGAAGUUGCUUUUAAAAAUGCGAGAAAAAAUAUUUUUACAUACUUUGUAUCAUUUCAAGCUUUACACUUGACUUGAUUUAUAUAUUUGUUUCAAGGUUUGCUUAUAUGGAAUUGCACGAAGAGGUUAGUGGUUUGGAUGGUUCUUUGUUGAUGACACAUGAAUUUUGAUGAAGUUCGAGAGAUACUUUUGAGUUUUAUUUAUGUUUUUCUUGUUUGUGUAUGUUAAAAAAAAAAUAUUCAAAUAUCAUAUUUUUGCAAUGAAAUAAUAUUAUUGAAAUAUUUUUCUUUACUAUAUGUUUUAAUCACUUGAAGGGGGUACCAUUUUAAAAUUUCGCACAGGACAUCCAAAAUCUUAGGGCUAGCUCUGCUUGAGGCUGGCGUUUUGUUAAAGAUUUCCUCUUAUAAUUUUGUAGAAAAUAAAAAGCAAUGAAAAAUAAAUCCACUUGAAAAUAGGGUCAUCUCUAAAAGAUAAAUGUAUUAUCCAUUGAUUCCCAUUUUUCAGUUGAAACCCAUCUCCGUAGCAAGGCUAUGAUCCAAUCCAACCUUAAAAUUUCUCAAAUUAUCUUUAAAAAAAAAAAAAAAAAAUUUCACCACAUUUUUAACUCUACAAAUAAAGUGGAGUGUUGCCUAAAUAUCCAUUACAACAGCUAUGUAGAGGCAACCCUGAUGGUUCACAGAUGGUGCAACCGCACAAGGCCUCUACAUUACAGGGACACCAAUUUUUUUUUUUUUUAUUUGUGUAUUAUAAUUUUAAAAUUUAAUUUUUUUUUAUUAAAGGGACCAUGUUUUAAAAAUAUCACAUAGUACACCCAAAAUAUUAAGGUCAACGCUACAUCUAAGUACCACUGUGCAACUUCUCCAUUUCCUAGGUAUCAAAAAAUCUUCACCUCUACAACCACGUACUAUGUUAAUUGCUGAAGAUUAUAUUUACAGUCUGUUUGAGCCACAUUAUUUCAAAAAAAUACAUUUUUAAAUAAUAAUUUGACAUUAUUUCAAUCACACAUUCUUCAAUAAAAUAAUAAUACACAUAAAUAAAAAAAUUCCUUAUUUUUUAACCACACAUUUCCCAUCAAUACAUUAUUCAAGAAUGCAUUAUUACCAAAAUAAUGUUGCUCAAACACCCCCUCAGUAGCAAACAUGAUAGAAUAAAAUUCUGUGACAUACUUAGAUGAAAAUUAAUUCAAUACAGUCUGGCGUUCAAGUCAGACGAUAAAGUAUAUUGGGUGUGGAAGAGAUACAAUAGAUAAAGAUAUAGAUACGGUUUACCAAAACUUUCCUUCGAAGGAAAGGGCAGAGUAUUUAUAGGUGGAAGAAGCUCUAUCUGAAUGCUUAACACGUGACUUUAUUUUAAUACCUCAUUUCUCAUGCUUAAUUAUGUCAAUUUAUAGCCAUCAUAGGUAUGGCUUUCCAUAGUCAGAGUAUAAGCUAAAAACUAAGUAUCGUUGUUGCGGAGUUGUUACAUCAAAUAUUUUGUACGGUGUACUUUGGGCAACUUUGUCAAAGCAAGGCUUGUAGUAGAUGUUCAUCACCCUAGAUAUAUACUGCAGUGGAGAGGUGAUGCAUCGCCUCGAAUAACAAUAACAUUUUAAACAAUGCAUCUAAAAGUAUCCCAUGAUCGUAUCAAAAAAGGCAUGAAGAGGAGACGAUGGGAAUUUGAGUGUUUCCCUUGUAUAGCCUCUUCUUAUUUGGCUGUCAUGUGGCCCACAUUGUAGAAAAAUAUGUAACAAUAUCACUUUUAACAAAAUCUAUUCUCAAACAAUGGAGCUUAAAUAGGGUUACCAGUUUUAUGUUACUGAAAUUUUUUUCAAAAGCUCUGUUGAAAAUUAAUUUUUUUUUCUUUUUAUUAUUUUUUUAUUUUUAGGAGAGUUAGGGGCUAGAGAAUAAAUGUAUGUAAAACAAAGUUGUCAGAAUCAAAUGCUAAGAGAGCAAAUCUCUUUGCAAGAAAGAAGGAAAGGAUAAGGCUGCCAAAAUUAUGAUGAUGAUAGAAAUGGAAGCAAGAAUAUUCAUAAUAUAAGUGAAUUUCUUGGUCGUCCAUGCCGGAUUGAAGCUAUCUUGAACACACGACCUUACCUUUGUGAAGUUAUCAAUCCCUCAAUUCUAUUGUUUACUGGUGCAAAUUCAAUUUUUCCCGUGUUAGAAAUUUUCCUUUUUGUUAAAGUUGAAUAACAUCGUCUAAUAACAUUAGCUUAUAGGGAUAGGACAAAUUUAUUUACGGAAUUUCUGAAGAUCCUUGAGCAACUUGGAUUCAUUUUUCAAUUUAUGAGAUGUGCAUAAUUUUGCUCAUCAAACCACAUCAUCUAAAAGUUUAAGCUAGCAAUUAGGACACAAAUUUAUUUAUUUAUUUAAAUCUUCUUCGACAUUUUGGACAUGAAAUGUGAUUCCUACAACAAAUGUGCACACCUCCAAUUUAUUAAAUGAUAGACUACGAAACUGUAUUUUGAGUGGUAAUUGGUAUGCAAGAGUGGUUAACUAAUGGAUUUGUAAUUUCGACAUCUAAGUUCUGCAAGGCCAAUACAAACCGAUAGAUAGAACAUUUAUUUUUGUCUGCAUUAAGCAUCACAGGCUCAAUUACCGAGAAUUGCAUCCACUUUACACCUGUUACAAUGUGGAAGCGGAAUUGUCCAGAAAUUAAAUAAAAAAAAUUUUAAUUAAAUAAACAAGAUCGUUUAUGUGACAUCUCUAAAAUAUUUUUAGGGAAAAAAAUUAUUAUCUAUUCUAUAUAUUAUAUUUGAUUAUUUUGAAAAUGACGGACUUGGAUGAAGUAUAUUUUAAAUUAUUAUAUUCUUGAGGCAAAUAAUUGGAUUUUGAUAGAGUGAUGAUAAGUCUAUCAAUAUUACACUCGUUGGAGAGCCCGUAUCUAAUUAUGUAUUUUAGGCUCGAGAAAAAGUUAAUUCUAAUAAGUUUGGCUCAAGAUAUUGAAGUUUGUAGAAGUUGUUAUUUAAUUGGAAUUAGAAUUUACCAACUUUUAAAAGGGGUAGCCACGUGUGCUCUUCUAUAGAGAUAAGGUGGUGGAUAUGAGAUUGUAGUUAAUUGUUAUUUUAUCACAUUUUGAUGAUGAUUAAUGUAAAUUGAUAAUUAUAAUCCUAUUUUGAGAUAAUUCAACUUCGGAUAUUGUUACUAAAUUAAAUUAAAAUAUUAGUCCUUACGUUUAUUUUACCUGCACUACAUGAGUGGAUAAGGUGAUUGGGAUAUUUCUAAUUAAGCAAAAUCCAAAUUAAAACUAAUCUAGAACUUAUCAUAUGAAUUAGAUAAAUUUUCCAUCUCCUGCUUGGCCAUGCGUUUAAAGAUUUAUUGGUUUUAAAAAUUAUUUUCACCAAGUAGAGAUUUUACAGAGAUGAGAUAAAAUUUUAUGAAGUCAUUUUUAUCCUAUAUUUUGAUAAAGGAUAAAGGUUUAAAUGUAAUCUUAUAUGUGAGAUAUUCAAGUACUAUCAUACAUGUGUCAUAUCAUGGUUUGGGUUAUCAAAAUUUAAAGUUUAUCUAAGUGGUACACGUUUUCCCCACCGUCAAAAUUGUACCAUGACUCAACUACCAUUUUUUUAUUAUAAAUAAUGUGCAUUUGUACUUUGAUUUUCCACCAAGAAAUUUUUACAUAUCAGACAAUAGAGAGAGAGAGAGAGAGAGAGAGAGAGAGAGAGAAUAAUUUUGAAGAUUCAGUCACCAAAAUUUUGACGCAGUCGAGAAAGUAGAAUAUGGGGGUGUUUGAUAGAUAUUUUUAUGUAAAAAUACAUUUUAGAAUAGCAAAUUGAUGUGAAAUGUGUGGUUGAAAAAUGAAGAAAAGUUUUUGAUUUACGUAUAAUAUUAUUUUAAUAAAGAAUGUGUGGUUGAAAAGAAGAGAGAGAAAAAUACUUUUUGAAUAAAAUAUGAAUGAAUUACCUGCAGACAUUCAUUUUUUUAAAAGAAAUAUGAAAUCCUACAGGAUUAUAAGAAGGCCUAAGAUGGGUGUCACUUGGUCACGGAAUUACUCCAUAAGAUCAAAGUGGUAUGAAAUGCAUAAUUUUUAUUGUUAUAUAUUUGUAUAUGAAAAUUGCACGUAUCUUAUUGGGUGUUUUUGAAUACUCACUCUUACAAAUUUUUAAAGGUUAGUUCGGGUUGAUUGAAGUUGUGACGAAUUGGUGACGCGGACAGCCAAGUGAAUCGAAGAAAGGAAAAAGAAAUUAAAUAUUUAGUUUGCUUUUUUUUUUCUGUAAUUCUAAAUUAUUUGCUAGUUUUAUUUGCUCAAAGACUCUUUUGGUUAUUUUAAAUUGAUAUUUAUGGUUGAAAAUAAAGAAUUUCCUUUUAUUUAAAUCGUUCCACAAUUAUUAUAAAAGAAAACAGCGUUUUUCUUAACAUCCUGGCGUUUUUGGAAAUUUAGGACGUUGCAGUUUAGAUGUUCACGUAUAUGUUAAAUCAAGGAUAAAGAAUUUGAAUUUUUACCUAAAUUGAUGAUUAAUUAUUUAAUUAAUUCAAAUCACGAACUUCCACCUUUUUGGAUCAUAGACUUCUAGCUUUUAAUUACAAGAACUUGAUACAUCAAAUCUCCAAGUCUUCUACUGUAUUCUCCAAAAUCAAAACUACACCAAUGAGUGGGCGUUUUUUUUUUUUAAUUAUAUCAAGAAACUAAUUUUUAAACUGACAAUUGAAUAAAAGCAAGAAAAAUAAUAUUCUCUCUUUUUUCCUCUCUUCAAUUUGAACACUGUGGAUUUAUGUAAUAUGAUUAGAAAUUCUAGGUUCUAUAUAAUCUCUAAUUAUAGAGACAGAAUAGUUCUAAUUCUUGUACAAUAAUAAUUUCACAUUCAAAUAAGAGUUCUAAUUAAAAUCUAAGUAGGAGUUUUACCUAAAGUCCAAAUUCAAUUAGUACACAUUUAAUUACAUGUGUAGUCCUAAAACUUUAUAAUUAAGUUUACAAAUUUCAUAAUAAUUAUAACUAAGUACAAAAUUUUAUUGUAAUUAUAGUUAAUCUCAAAAUUAUUAUAAUUACUAUAAUUCAAUUCCAAUAAUUUAUGGAGCUGACAUAGGGACCUGAUAUAACAUAUAUUAUCCAAACUUCAAUAAUUAGAUCUGUCUAGUAGACUUUAGACCACCCAAUCUAAUUAUUAGUCUUUACUUUUUCACCAAAGACACAGAAACCAAUAAAUUUGUAAUGAUUUCCUCUAACAUGUUGUAUAUGUAUUUUAUCCUCGUCCGAGAUUUAAUAAUUAGGUAUGAGCAUAAAUGACCGUUUUGCCCUUUUAUUUAUUAUCACUAGCUUAAGUAUCAUUUUCUUCAACGAUUAUGUAAACUAAUCACAGAUGUCGAAGUUUAACUGUCGCUAAACACUUAGCUCAAAUUUUAACCAUUCAACAAUAAAUACUUAAGUAAUCACUCUACCCAUUUUUCAAUGUGACGAUUCUCGACACGAAUUCUCUACCUUGCUUAUUUUCGAAUUCUUAGCUCAUCAAGACAUUUAACCAAUCAAAUUAAUAUCACCCAUUGAUGAUCAAAGAACCACUAAAAUCACGAAAAUAUAUACAUAACACUAUUAAGGGAUUUAUAUGAAAUACACAGCGAUCAAGUGAAACUUAAUUCUUCGCACGGUCAUGCUAUAGGAAUUAAAUUUGACACGUGAUCCGUUCAAUAGACUCCAAGUGUACUAGUGCCACCUUUAACUAUUUUUGUAAUAAGGACAAAUCACAAACGUGAAUAGUGAAUCGGUCAAUAUUACAACCUUCCAGUACAAGGUGUCAACCCUUAUACAUUGAUAAUGAACAAAUUAUUUAUGAUCAAAAUAUAAGUUGUGUCACCCUAUAUUUCUCAACGCAAGUAUCCAAUUUAUAUUAUCACAAGUGAUUAUAGGCACUUUAAUUCACAUGCUUAAUAAUAAAUAAAUGCAAUAAAUAAAAUAAACACAUUUUUAUUUAAUAUAACAAUAUUGUUAUUUUUACAUCAGCAAAACUAUACUUGAUAUAUUUGAUAGGUUGAUAGGAUCCAAACCUUAGCAUGCCAUUUAGAAAUCCAUUCGUUAAUAGGAUUCAAUUAAGUUACCGUUGCCAAUUAUGAGUUGAUGCAUGGUCAAAUGACAGCCUCUGUAGCUUCACACACUUGAUAUAUUUGAUAACUUGUUAAACUAUUAAUAUGGGUUGCAGUGAGGGUUCCGAAGUAGUAGAAUGGUAGAAUGACCACUUUUCAGGUAUUAUCGGCAUUAAUAUUUUUCUUAAUUUCGAUGAAUUUAAAUGAAUUAAGGAGAAUCUGCAAUGAUUUCAAUGAUGUUUGAAAAGUCUAUAUCAUCAUGGACGGUUAACAUCUGGGAGAUUCAAGUAUAAAAGUUUUGCAUAAUUUCAUUGAAUAUGCCUCUAGCUUUCAUACCUAGAAUAUUAUGCUUGAAUGCUUAAAAGAUUUAUCCAACUUUAGGGUUUCAUUGUAUUGUAUAAAGUAGCCACUUAAAUACUUCUCUCUUGUACUCAUAUUUGAUAUAGUAAAAAUUAUUUUCUUACAUUUUUGUGAAUUACAAGUACUUGAGAGUGCAAAUGAAGUAAACCCAAUUUUACUUGUGGGUCAUUUGGCAUUCACAUAUUAUAACUAUUUUACUUGUGGACUAAAUUACGUAUAUUGAACUAGAGAAAAAGUCGAUUUGAAUAUACGGAGACCAAUAUCAUUCUAUCCUAAGAUAUCAGGACUUACUAUUAAUUAUUAAGAUAUUUUUCCCAAAAUCAAUAUUGCUAGAUUGAGUUUUAACUAUAUAGGGAUUUAAUUCCCAAAAUAAAUUACACACAUCUACAUUGAAUUCCCAAAAUAAAUUACAUUGAACAAGUAAUCACACUCCAAUAAUUUCCUGAAACCAUCAGUCUUCAUAAUUUCCUGAAACUAACUCAAAUCUCCACGCAUUAAAGAUUGAGUCAAUAUGUUAAAUAUUGUAAAUAAAUAUGAUUAAAUAAUUAAAAUUAAACAUAUCUGAUUUGUUUACCAUACAACGUAAAUGGAUAUAAAGACUUCAAAGGGGUAUAACAUAUUCAAAGUCUCCAACUAAACCUAGUCCUCGUAUCCUCAACUUAUCAAAAAGUCAAUACCUUUAAGGUAUGUGCUAAAGAAAGGCACGAGCGUUGACAACCCCACCAUCUAUACAUUUGACACUUGCCUUGAUGAUUAAGAAAAUGCCUGAUCAUCAUUUACUAAAACUCAUAAAAAUGUUUAUAUCAUCUGCCAAACUCAAUUAUUUCAAAAUUUAUUUUCAAUCAUGUAUUUCAUGGAAUUUACAACUUUUACCAAUUUUCCCUUCAAAUCUUACCAAAGCUAAUUAGGCAACGGCUUAAGGCCUUAGAUAUUUGAGGGACCUCAAAAAUAAACCAUUUGUUCUCUGGUUCUUGCAGACAGUGGGAACAUAUCUUGUUAUUGCAAAUUAUCGCAUGACAGGAAUGACCUUUAUGAUUUGCUAAAGAAAUGAAGGUACUUUCCUGGGUUCUUCAUUUUGCUUUAUUUCCACUCGUCAUUCAUUUACCAAUACGGGUUGACUCCCUUUCCUAGAAAAUAUGCUCAUGCCAAUUUCCUAAAUUUGUGGAUUUAAUUGAAACUCAAAAAAGUUUAACCAUAUUUUCUUACCUUCGUUUCAGUCGAUGAUAAUCUUUGUCAAAUUUUUAAUUUGUGGAAUCACAUACACAUUGAAAGAACAUUUAGUCCAACCUAUCCUUUCCAUCCAAUCUCAUCUUUUUAUUGACAUACUUUAUGUGUUGGUUGGACAAUAAAAGAAAAUAUUAGAUAGCGUUAAAGAAUAAACAACCAUCACAAAUUCACGACAUAUUUAUAGAAUACUGCCAAAGAAAUCCAUUUUAAGGAACUUUUAAUCACUUCCAAACAAGCUCUUAGCUCUAAACAUUUUUCAUGAGCUCGAUUUAUAAUACUAAUUAAACAAUAAAAAGAUAUUAAAACUUUUUCCAUAGUAAUCAACAUUUUUGUCCAGCACUAAGCAUGGCUCCUAAAUAUGAUAUGACAGUAAACAUGUGGGCCUUUCCUGUUUUAAUAGGAAUCCUCAUCUUUGAGAAUUAUGUUAGUUGUUAUUAUGUCCUCUGAGCAUGUUUCCUCAAGAAUCAAUAGAAAAUAGCUAUUUAUUUUUAUUUUAUUUUUUCAUUUUACUCAAACUCGUGUAUUUCAUGUUGAACUGCCUCGUAUAGAAAUUACAGGAGAUUAAGUUAUGAGAAAAAAGUUAUGUUUAAGGGCCUCGUAUUUACUAAUACAUUGUUCUUCAAGGAUCAAUAGGUGAAAAUAUCAUACCUGAGGGCCUCAUCAUAAUUAUUUGCUAGCCCCGAGAAACCGACCCCAAUAGUCCCUUUUCUAGGAACCACCUUGGUGAGCCUUUCUUCGUCAACGAAUUUAGCUCACAGAUUCGCCUCACUUUCUCCACCAACAAGCCUAGUUUGCAGCUCUGCCUCACCGAGUGACUCCAACAAGAUACAUCAAGGUUAACAAAAUGUAGCUCACAUGUAGCAUCCAUGUUGGAUGAGGUUCAAUCAUUUUGAGCCACUUUCAACGAGCCUGGAAGGUUGUUACUACGUAGAUGAAUAUGUGGAUCGCUAGAUUCUGACAUUUGCUCAGCAGAUUAGCACUUUGAGGACGACAGGAUUCAAACAACCCAGUUUGACACAGAACAACUUAUUAAGCAACAGGAAAUCUCUUUCAAUGUGGAUGAGGAAUUUUAUUCAGCAACAUAGGUGGUGUGCUCUAAACUGACUGCAAGGAGCCAAUACUCAUCCAACAAUCUUGAAACCAAUACUAAUCUCGGCAAGUUUAAUAAAUAUUUUGGGUUUCCUUUGGAGUCCCAUGUCCACUCCGUUGUGGCGCAACUCUGGUGCCUAUCCCGCACCAAGAGUGCCUCAACAGCUGAAGCUGGAGGUGAGGGUCCGCUAGAGCUGCCUCCACAACAGUUGCUGGAGGCUGGAGGUUGCGGUGUACCCAGAAACCUCAAAAGUCAUAGUUGGAGGUUGAAUUUUGGUUUAGAUAUUUUAUCGAUCGCCUGAUGGACGAAGUAGCGCUGAGAUUUUAUGAGAACAAAUAAAGGCUUCCUCUAAUCCCAUGCUCAACACAAUAUCCCAAUUAUGCCCGUUUUAGAAUAUCCGCGUCCUACGUAGGUUCGGAGCCGUCGGAAGCGACUACCACUGCGCCUGCCUCGACGGCAUUCAACGGAGGCUACGGAAGCCACGGCGGCGGUGGGAGCACCGGGGCUAGAUCUUGGCCCAGUGUUCAGUCUAACACGAAGAGUUGUAAUUGGUCCGGCGAGAUCAAGGAGGAUCGAGAUCGAGUGGCAUGUAGGUCGCAACGCCGGUGCUACGGGAGCCUCUGUGUCGGUGGGAGCACCAGGGCUAGAUCAUGGCCCAGUGUUCAACACCGAGACCAAGGGGGAUCGAGAUGGAGAGGCAUGUUGGUCCGUCGUAGCCGGACUGUUUUAACGACUAUGGAAGCGGUUCUCAUCAGUAGGAUUUUAGCGAAAAUUAUGGAGUUUUGACCGUUACUCACCAAAAUUUAUAGCAUUGCAGCUGCAAUUAUUGACCAAAUUUUUAUAUACCAUUUUGACAUUUAAUUUAUUCCAUUUGACUGAAGGGCAUUUGUGGUAAUUUAACAAAUAUUGAAUCAUAAAAUUGGGCCGAAAGAGGUGAUCGACGUUUCCAAACAACUCAAAUUUUCCUAAAAAUCUUGUCAGAAUAGCUUCCAAAUAAACGGUCAAUUAAUUAUUGACGCAUAUUAAUUUAAUGGAUUAGUAGUCAAGUUAAUGAUGAAAAUUUUGAGAUAACAUGUUAAUUAUUGAUGACAUAUUAAAAAUUAAUUAAAAGGACAGCAAAAUUGGAUAGCAAAUUUCGACUCUAUUUUUCAAAAAGGGCAGCAAACUUUAUUAUUAUCUCACUUUAAUAAAUGGGGACAAUAAAAUGAAUUAUCAAAAACUAAAUAAAAAGGGGUACGUGAACGGGCCAACACCCUAUCCUGCCUUGCCUUUCAUUAUUAUUUUGCAAAUGAAUCCUAGUAAAUUAUUAAAAUGAUAUUUAGCACAAAACAUCCCUAACUUUCAUUAUUAUUAUGCAAAAUGUCCGUAUCUUUUAUUUUUUAACAUUUUCACCAUUAUUUUUAUAUUUCAUUGCCAAAUCGUUAUUUUCAUCAAUUUUCUCAAUUGAAAGCUGUAAAAUAACAAAAAUACGCUCCUAUUUAAAUAAACAAAAAUAAAGAAAUGAAAAAUAAAGAACAAAUUGUAGCUAUUCUCCCAAAAUUUUCAAAAUAAUUUUCAAAUAAAUAAUUAAAAAACAAAAAUCACUUUUUUAAUUAUUUAUUUGAAAUUGAUUUGUAUUUUUUUUGAAAAUUUUGGAAAUAUAAUUGCAAUUUGUUCUUUAUCUUUCUUUAUUUUUAUUUUUAUUUGGCUUAUUUAAAGAAAAGUGUAUAUUUGUUAUUUUAUAGCUUUUAAUUGAGAAAAUAGAUGAAAAUAACGAUUUUCGCAAUGAAAUAUGAAAUAAGGGUGAAAAUGUCAAAAAAUGAAAGGUAUAGACAUUUUGCACAAUAAUAAUGAAAGAUAUGGACUUUUUUUGUUAAUUACCCUUUUAAUAAUUUAUUUGAACUAACUUGCACUUUUUAAAAAAAGUUUAAGAGUAUAAUUAUAAUUUAUUCUUUAAUUUUUCUUUUCUUUUUUAUUAUUUUAUUUAAAUAGGGGGUAUAUUUAUCCUAUUACACGAGAAAUUUGAUGAAAACAAUGAUUUACACAAUAAAAGGUGAAGGUAAGGGUGUGCCAAAAAAAAAAAGAUAGAGACAUUUUACACAAUAACAUUAAAAGAUAAAGAUGUUUUGUGCUAAUUACCAUUCCUAGAAACAUCCAAAUGAACCAAAGAUGGUUGGUGUUAAAGCACAAAGGGAAAAUUUCAUAUAUUCUAGCGUAAGUAUAGGUGAUUUCAAAACUAAGAUGACAAGUUUGAAUUUGCAAAAAUCAGAAAUAUGGUAGUAACAAUCAAUUAGUUUUCUAAAAAUCAAUGUCCACUUACCUUCAAAAGCCGGAUUCCAUAUAUUAUCCCAUAUGGAGAGAGAGAGAGAGAUGAUUCGUUACAGUUAGUCCCUAAAAUCAAGCAUCCAGAUUCAACUCCCUAAAAUACUGAUUUAAAUCCCUCAACCACAUAAUUAAUUAAUUGUAUAAUUUAUUAAUUAAAUAUAUUAAGGUCACAUAUCUAUAUAAUUUGAUCACAAAUUCAUAAUUUAGUUAGUCACAUAUUAUUUUCUGAUCAUAAAUCAUAAUUUUUAAAUAUCAUAAAUUAUUUUAUAGUUACGAUUCAAAAUUUUAUAGGUCACAAUUUGUUCAUCUGUCACAAAUCAAAAAUUAAUACGUCACAAUUUAUGUAUCGGUCACAGAUCACAAGGUCACAGCUUAUUAGAAGGUCAUAAAUUAAUAUAUUUUUUUAGGUCACAUUGGUCACAAUUUAUCUUCAUUCGUCACAUAUUAUUUAUUGGUCACAGAUUAAUCAAUUCAAUGAUCACAAUCAAACAAAUAAUAUGUGACCACCCCAACCUUUAUGAAAACCACUGCCCCCAAUAGUAUCACCGUCAUCAUUGCCUUCAGAACCACCACGAGCACCGACAGCAACAUCGUCUCCUCCCUGAUAUACUCCUGCCCAAUGCUAGAUCGAAACCUAGAACUUAGCCAAUAUCACCAACAACUCACAUCACAGCCAUUACCAUCGCCAACAUCCCCACCACCACAGUCUCACCACCAUCAUGAUUAGCACUGACGUUUUCGCCACAACACCAUAGCAAACCACCACACACAAAAAAAUCCUGAUGAGCAGUAGCACUUUUGGGGAGGAAAAGCCGUGCUGAAACUACAUUUUCCGAAGAGCGAGAGAGAGAGAGAGACGACGGGUGGAGAGGAGAGAGGAGAAAUUGGAAAGGAAAAGCUGCGCUGAAACGACAUUUUUCGGGAGGGGGGGAGAGAGAGAGAGAGAGAGAGGACGGGUGGAGAGGAGAGAGAGAAAAUUGGAGAGAGAAUAAAUUAAUUGGAGAUGAUCGGUGGAGAGAAAGGACGGGUGGAGAGAGAGAAUACAAUUAAUUGGAGAGGAGAGGAAUUGGAGGGAGAAUAUAAUUAAUUGGAGAGAGAAGACAGGUGAGAGGAGAAAUUGAUUUAUAUAAUUAAUAUUUAAAUAUAAAAAUUUUGAUUUUUGAAAUGUUAAACUACUCAUCUUAUUUUUGAACCCUAGAUUUUAAUUCUAAGGUUUUUUGUAAUUAACACAAGCACAAAUUGGCAAUGUUGUACCGAUUCGACCAAUAAAAUUGGGACCGGCCCAAAACAUUGCAAAUUGGACGUCAUAAAUAAUUCCGAAGCACUAUCACAUGCUGACACUUUCAUAGGUGGGCCUGAAAAAUGAUGCAAAUGCAAUUAGGAGUGGGUGCGGUCCGAUUUGGCUCGAUUUCAAAGGAAACCGAAUUGAACUAAAUACCAAUAGGAAUUUUAGAAAUGGAACCGAACCAAUCGGUUCCGAUUCGGUCCGGUCUGGUUCUUUACAUUGAAAACGUCAAAAUAAAAUGUUCACUAAUAAAAAUUCUAAAAAUGCUACCAAUGUGAUACUUUUAACAAAAUAUAGAAGAACUGAACAUACUAUUCAAAGAUCUAUUUAGGUAUAAAUUUACAAAGUGAAACAAAAUAAUAAUCAUGUAAUCAAAGUGAAAACAAAAUAAAAAUUUCGUAUCUUAUAAAUGAAAUUAUAUAUUGUAAAUAAAUUUAUUUAGAUAUAGAUUUACCCAAUAUUCUAAUUUGGUUUGAAAAUCAAUUAAUCAAAGAAUUAUAAAAAGGGCGAAGAAAAAGAUUCUAAAAUUAAGAAGGAACCCAAUUAUUUUUUUAUAAAAAUAAAAGUGUUGGAGAUUGAGUAAUAUAUUUUACCAAAAAAAAAAAUCCAUUGAGAACCGUCUGGUCCCCACAGUUCCCAUACUAGAAUCGGGAACCGGAUCGGAACUGGUCGAUUCUUAAAAAAUUUUCUCGAAAUCAAAUUUUUUUUUAGAAGAUCCAGAACCGAAUCGGCCAAUUCUAAACGAUUCUAGUCCGGUUCCACCGGUUCUGAGAAAAAGUGCCCACUCCUACAUGAAAUGGCAAUAAUCCAGUAUCCAAAAAGAUGCAGUCAAUUUUGAUUGAAAAUGGUAAAAAUUCAAAAUCAGAGUAAUUUUGGAUUGAAGAUAUGGAUUUAAGAGAGCUUGAGAUAUGUGGAAGACUAUUUCAAGGUGUGGAGUCAUAAGCCAAAACUAUUGAUGGUCGUCUCUUCAUAGUUAAUUAAAUCUUCUUUUGUUUUCCAUCAUUACUAAAGAAAUAUGUUUCCGAUAGCGUUCAUUUUGAAACAUAUCUUAUCUUCUGUCUUUCUAAUUCUCUAUCUGAAGCCAAAGAGUAGGGAUAGCAAAAAAACUCCCUUUAAACCUGAUAUCCGUGGGCCCUGUUCCAAACUAGGUGGGUAUUACCCGCUUAAUCAACUAUUCAGGUUGGGUUCGGGUCGAGAAAUUUUGCCCCGAGGCUGGUACGGUUAACACCCGCCUCCAUCCCACUUAUUUAUUUAUUUAAGAAUUCAGUACUUUAAAUCAAAAAUCUCACGAAAUUUCAUUAAUUCUACUAAAAGACGACAAUUAAGAUUCUUUAAGUAAUACGAAAAACAAUAAGAACCUUAAUUUAUCAAAUAUAUUCUAAUAAUUUAACUAUUAAAAUAAAUUAAUUAAUUAAAAAUUUAAUAACUAUAUUAUUAUCUCACUUUAAUGAAUGAAGAUAAUAAAAUAAAUUAUCAAAAACUAAAUAAAUAUAAAUAAAAAAAAGAGUACGUAAACUAGACAAGUCCCGCCCUGCCUUAAACGGGUAAUGGGGCAAGAAAUUACCCAGCGUGGCAGGGUCAUUGCCAUCCCUACUAGUAGAAUAGUUUCUCUUGCAGGCACAGAAAACUAGUAAUAUUAUCCAUGUCAAAUUUUUUUCCUCCUUCAAAAUUUCCUUAUGUUCUCAUUUUUUAGUAAAACAACAAACUAAAAUGCCAUAAAAAUAUUUAAUCGUCUCAAUUAUUAAUUCUUUUCUCUAUUUUUUUUAUCUCAUUUAUAUUGAUAUUAGAAGUGGGUCGAAUAAAAUUUAAUUGUAAUCAAGUUUAUUAAUUAAUUUUUAUUUCUAUAUAUAAGUCAUUUUGAAAAAAAUAACAUAUUUUGUCAAAAAAAAAAUAUGCAUACAUACACACGCACGUGCGCGCACACACAUAUAUAUGUUAUUAACAGUUAGACCUCGAUUUAAUCUUUCAAUCCUUGAUCCUUUAACUUUUUCGGAUAUAUGGCUAGGUUUUUUUUUUUUCAAAAUAUUGGAUAUUGUAAAUUUUUUAUUUUUUUAUUUUUUCCAUAAUCACCAGUAUUGUCCAACCAACACAUAAUGAAUGUUGAUUCGUUGAUGCAAAGAUGCCAUUGAAUCAAAAAAAAUGGGGUGGAUAGUAUGUUCUUCCAAAUAAACACGGUAUAAUACAAUUCAAAGAUUCUCAUUGACCUGAUAUGAAGGCAAGCACAUGUGGCCAACUUUUUGAACUUAUAUUGGUAAAUGAACAAUCAUGCUACUUGUACAAUGAAUUUGACAAUGUGUGAGUUGACAAGCAUCAUAUUCAUUGAUUUGAAAAAUUGUUUCUAAAUUCAAUUGCUGGGAUCUUUACACUUUACACAUUUUCAAACUCAUUGUAAAUAGUCAUUGUACAAAUAGAUUAAUUCUUAUACGAAUGACUGCAUGGAAAUAAAACGAAAGGAAGAAACCAAGAGAAGUACCUUCAUUUUCUUGAGCAAAUCAUAACCAGCAUUCCUUUCACGCGAUAAUUUGUAGAGCAGUGAUUCAGAACCCGGGAUUAAAUCCCGGGUUUUAAUCCAAGGCCUCGACCUCGGCCCUUGAUCUUAAUCACACGGGGCCCGCAUGAUUCGCAUUGGGGGCCGAGGUUUUGCCACCUUGGCCCUGGCUCCAAACCCGAGAUUUUAUCCUUGUUUGAGCAGCAAUUUCCUAAUUUGUAAUACAAGAUUUCUGGUUUUGUAACAAAAUUAAUUGACUGAUGAUGAUUUGUCAGUAAAUAAUGUAAUUAAAAUUGUAUAUUAAAGGAAGAAAAUUAUAUAAGUAAUCAAACUAAAAUUAGAAAAUAAUGUUUUAUAUUGGUUAUGUUAUAAAUAAUUUAAAGUAUAAAACGAUUUAUUGAGCAAUAGAUGAAAAAUAAAAGAAGUAAAUAAAGAAUAAUUUUUUUUGUCGACAAUAAACUACCAAAGUAAUGUCGAUGAUUGCCACAGACAUCAUGAUCGAUAACUGCUUACCGAAGUGGGUUGGUGAAUUAGGAAUCACUUACAGUAUUGAUGAUAUUUCAUCUCGAAUUCUGCUAGAUACCAUAAGUGAUCAUUAAUGUUUGGCAAACUAAAUUUUUUUAUGAUAGUUUCGUCAAUAAAUAAAGUAGUUAAAAUUUAAUAUUAACAAAUAAAUAUUAUGUUGUUAAUACAAUUAAAACUUGAAAAUAACAUAAAAUUAAAAAACCAAAGAUUUCAUAAGUUACUUCAAAAUAAUAAAAGAUGUAAAAAGAUGCUUCCCUACCGCAUGAUUAAUGACCAAAGCACUGUCGAUGAUUGCCACUUACGUAAUUAUCAUCGAUAAAUGUGGAAGGAGAUAGAGAUGUGCCGACAAUCAUCAAUGGUAUCGUUGUCAAAAGUUCCAACCACAUUAUGUACGAAGUUUUCGUUGGUGAUUGUAUGUUCCAUUAAUUUUAUUAUUAUCAUCAUGGUAAUUAUAUGUCUUUUCUUUUUUCGAAUUAUUAAAGUAGUAGAUUUGUUAUUGGGUGCUUUUAAACUUCAGUUAGCUUUUACUGUAAAAUGCGAUAUAGUGGAUGUUAUGUUAUCUGCUUGAAUUUGUAAUAAUCACAUUUGGUUUCCUUAAAGGUGAUGAAGCUGAAGUAAUUUCCCAACGACCAUUCAAUGGUAUAUUACAUUAAAUUCCAUUAUUACGAUAUCUGGUAAACCUAUUUGUUUCUCAUUCUUUUCCCAUUAAAAUGAAAAAUAUGAUUAUUAUCCGUCACAUCAAACCACCAAAUUUGAAUUUCUAUAUCUUGUGUGGAGUCCAUAACGACUAUAUUUUUCAUUCUCUUCUUACAAAAAUGAGAAACAAAAAGGGCUAGAUGUCUGCUUUGCAUUGAAGUCCAGGAUUGGAUAUGAGAACACCCCCUCCCCCCCCCAACAAAAACAAAAAAAUAAAACAAAAACAAAAACAAAAAAAACUCUUACAAAUGAAGUGGAUGUUGAGAAUUAAAAAUUCUUAUUUCAUUCUACCAAGAGCAAUCAAUUGAAGAAAUAAAAAUAAACACUCAAAAGCAAGCAAAAUAUAUAGAGUUUCGCCUCAACGUGAAACUACGUCUUCUCAUGUCGGUACAGUAACUCACUAUGAUGAAAAAAAGGUUUACAAAAGCACUCCUAUUAUCUCUCUCUCUCUCUUUAUAAUAAUUAUAAAGUCAAACCACGGCUCCCUAUUUAUAAAGCAUAUAAAGGCAAAAUCGAAUUUUACAAUAACUCCAAUUCCUUAAUAAAAUUUUACAAGAAUACAAAUAUCUAAACAAUUCUUAGAUUAAAUUUUGGUUAGGGCAUCUCCACCCCCCACCCCUGGGGCCUCCUACUCCCUUCCAACUCCCACGGCAACCUCACCACAGAGAUUGAUCAAUGCUAACUUCAUGAAAUAACAAUAAUUAUAAUCGAUAAUAAUUAAACUCCUUAACUUAACAGUGAAUGAUUACUCAAAUUCGGCAAGUGAUGUGGUAAUGGUACAUGCAAGUACACUUCUACAACGAAUUUUGGUGGUGAUAUGCAAGAGGAGGUAUGUUUUUAGAUGAAUUAUAAGAAACGGAUCGAAUAUUUGAAUUUUUGUGUUGCACUGUCUUAUUCAUUAAAGCAUGUAUUUAUAGACCAAAAAAGCAGAGCGAAUUCCAUUUCAUAUUUGAUUAACUCAAUAGGUAAUGAAAUUCAUUAAUUUGAUUUUCAAAAUUAGUCCUUUGUUUAGACAAGUUGAUUCACAAAGUAAUGUGUGUCAAGUACUUCUAUCAUGUGUUCAUACAUGGACCAUUGAAAGGGCGAACAAGGCAGUGGAAUGAGGGGGACCACCAUAACAGAGGAGAAUUUGAUUUCAUAAUUUGAAAAAAAGGGGCCGAAGUAUAAAAAAAGGUGGGCAUGAGUAAAAAUGCUUAAACGAGAAACUUAGCCACAACUGCUUUAUAUACUAGAAAAAGAUGUUACAGUUUAAAUAACAAGCUUUACAAACUACGAUAACGAGUAAAAAGUCUAUGCACCAUUUGUGCAACACAAGUAAAAUACAUUGAUAUAUCAAUAUUCAAUUGUAUGAAUAGCGAAAGCUAGAACAGAGUUUGGGUUAUCUACUCUAGCUUACAUUUGGCAAUGGAUCCUUUUUGCCACACAUUGCCAAGAAAAAUUUAGAGACCGACCCAGUGUGAGCGAACAUUGGAGUUGUGCAUAGAAGACGCACUUGGAGAUGUCACACGCCAUUCGUACCAAACCAAUGAUAAUUAAAUUAAAUGCAAUUAAUAUCGGGUGAGACAUAAAGAGUUAAGUAAUUCCAAACCUAUAUUCUCUGUUUCUUGCCCAGUGUUUUUAUGCAUGUCCUAGGACUAAAAGGACAUUUCAAAAUUAGAUGGAUUAAACCCACCAACCUAAAACAAAUUCUAAUUCACUUCUUGCCCAUAGAGAAUAAUAAUAAUCAUUUUCAGCAGCAAGUAUAUAAAUUGCCCGUAUAUCCAUUACUUAAGGCUACGCAACAUAAAAAUUUAUUUAGAUAAUUAGCAUAUAAUUUAAAUUAAACAUUGCAAACACAUUGGGACAGAUAUUAUUUAUCUUAGGAUUCCAAAGUGGAGAUGAUCAUCUGACAAGUUAAUAGCACCAACUCUACUUUAUUAUAGGUCUCUUAGUGCAACGCAUGACUGAGAAUUCUACAAGUGCAAGAUUCAAUUUAAUUUGAGCUUUUAUCUCAUUUCAAUCGCUUUAACAUUUUCAACACUACAUAAUCAAGAAUCGAUGGACCUCCAAAUGAGUAUUCCGUGUCACGCAAACUGGCUCACUCAAUAGGAAAAAUAUUGGAAACCUACAGAAAUCGAAGCCAACCAAAAGAGAACAAUCAUCUCAUGGAUAAUAUAUUCACUCCAAUGUACAAUUUCUUUCAUGGUGCAUUUUAUGUUUUGAUAGAACUUUUUCGAUUGAAUUUUCACUUUUUCUUUAUUGUGUGGUUGGGGGAGAGUAGGAGGGUGUCUUAUAUUUUAGUGGCUUUAAAUAGUAUCUUUACUAAUGAAUAUGGGAUCAACGCAUACCAAAACCAACUGUACCUAUAGAUACGAUAAUAGGCAGAAAUAUUUGUCCAUAAUUUUGCAUGAUUAGCAUUCAUCAUAUAGCAUUACCUUAGAUUUUUGGAAAUAUUCAUGAAGGAAAAUAUUUGGUGUUGCUGUUGAUAGUUCAAUAAACCAUUUGACACAAACACCAACUAAAAGAAUAUCUCAAUGGUCGCCAUCAGCUACAUGAUGUCAUUGGAAGUAUAUUUUCUUGAUUAACAAAAUCAACAAUUUACGCUUUAACCUCUCUACAUUCCAGGACAUGUUGUUCUUGUCCAUUAUGUCAUCUUUUCCAACACUGAUUUGACUACAUGAUUGCCAACCAUGGCCUUGGCUUGGAAAAUGAAACACUUUGUCAACAAAUAUGAAUACAACGCAACUGAUAAAGCUAUUGAUAUUAGCCUUCUUCAUCACUAUGGGCAAAGCUUGCAUUGAGCCCAUAACUAGCUAUAAUCAUCAUGUGGUGACUGAUAGGUAUGUUUUUGCACACUCAUUUAAUGUCUAAAUAAAUUUAAAUAUUAAUUAAUUGAGCAAAUUUCCAUUCACAAUUAUGUAAUUAUUGCAUUUGUAAGUAAAAAUCACCCAAGGUAAUAGAAGAGGUAAAAGGAAGUGAAAAGGGACCAAAAGCGUACAAAAUUGUGAAGUUGGGGACCAAAAUGCAUAAGUGCCAAAAGUUCAAGGACUUGGAAUUGCAAAUUUUGGAGGGUGUAAUUGAAAGAAAAGUCAAAAUUUGAGGACCAAAUUGUACAAUACAAAGUUGAGGGAUAGUGUGCAAAUAUGGGAGGACCUGAACUACAAAUAAUGAAAAAUGGGAAGUAACGCCACUGGCACCACUAUAGCAGUGCCGCGGCAACGAACAGGACCUAUUUGGCUAUAUUUUUGUAAUUGGGGAUCAUUUUAAAAUUAACUAAACACGAUUUUUGGGCCUUUUAAAAGGAAAAUUCAACAAUGUUUCCCCUAUUUCUCUCUUGAACUUGAAGAGAACCCUAGCCUCCUCUUUCUCUCACUUUCCUUUUCAUUUUUUCUUUCUUUUUCUUUUCUUCUUCUUCUUAUCUUUUCUUUGGUAAUUUUUGGGGCAAAAUCUAGAGCACAAGGAGAUUUGAUUAAGGAUUUGACAAAAGCUUUGGGGAAAUCAAGAGCAAGCUCAAAAAAGGGUUUUAUCUACAACUUGUAUUUUCUCAAUUAUUUUGACAAACUUGCAAUGUAUUAUACAAAAUAUUCUCCUUUUUAUCAUUUGUAUGAAAUGGGCAAGUUAUUUGUGUUGGGAUUUAUUGUUGUAGUUUAAUCUAGCCUUGAUUAAUUUUAAUAUUUGCCCUUUGAUUUUGAUUUGCUUAUUUUCUUCUAUUGUAUUUCAUGCAUUUUCAUUUAUGUGGUCAAUGAAUGAUUGUGUUUAGUGAAUUUUAUAUCGUUCAAGAGAAGAUUGUGCAUUUUAGACCAAAUUGUAGAAACCCUGGGUUUGUGUAGGGGAUAGAGAUAUACCCCUAACCCUAGGUGACCCAAUGAGCUAUUUUCACAAAUAUUUAAUGCAAUUGUUUGGUUUUAAUCGAUAUAGAAAUAUAAUAGGGUUAAUUUCGUUCAAGAGAAGUAAUUAAUUAAAAUUAAAACAUGGAGUCUAACAUCGUAAAUGAGUAACUUUUUAAUUGACCUGUGGUGAAAUUAAUUAGGCGACGGUUAAAUGAAACCAUGAAUCUCAACCACAUUUUCUUCCAAAAAUUUCAAGAUUUUUAUGUUUUCUUAUUUUGUAGGUUUUUAGUUAAUUUCCUUAUUUCAAAAUCAUAUUUUUAAUUAUGUGUGUUUAUUUUUAUUGUUAGAAUUAAAUUAUUAAUUACGGUUGUGUAAUCUAAAGUAUAUAUUCCUCAAGGGAUCAACAAUCCGGACUCAAAAUGUCCACUUUAUUACUUGAACGCGACUCGUGUACUUGUGAUGUAUAAUUUUAGCGAAACAGUAACAAGUAAUCAAAAGUACAAGGAUGUUACAAGUAAAGCCUGACAAUAAUACCAUAAUCAAGGAAUGGAAAGUCUUUCCAAUUGAAACUAACGUUCAGCUUGAGCCACCAUAGCUUUGCAAUCCUAAAACAGACAUAAAUUUAGAUAAUAGUAGUUCUUAUUAUAUUAAUUCAUCAACUGCAAUCCUAAAACAGACAUAAAUUUAGAUAAUAGUAGUUCUUAUUAUAUUAAUUCAUCAUCUAACAUAUAAAUCAGUCCUUCCUAUAGAUUACUAGUUGAGUGUGAAGGGGCAAAGCAACAUUGAUGAUUUAUUGUGGUUGAUAAUGGGGGUUGGCUAACAAACCUUACGUAGAAACUAUACCAUUCGCAGUCAAACCAUGAUCCCUGAAUUUGAAACGGGCAUAUAACGAUUUGCAAAAGAGAUAAUGGUGUUGGAUUCCCGGUGCAUAAUGCACAUGUAGACUCUAAUUUCCUGCGCACUAGGAUUGAACAUAGAGGAAAUCAUUGAAAAUGACCUAAUAAACCAUGUGUAUUUUCAAAGUAACCUUUGACUAGUUUUUAGAGAAAAAAAAAACGAAAAUUGAUUUUAAAGGUCAAAAUCCCAAAAGACCCUCAGACUGUCACUUUCUUGUUUGCUUAGAGUCGGCCAAAACCAAGGAAAAGCUACGGUCAAUUUCCAAUUGGUAGACGUUUUCAGUUCAUCUCCGGCGACCUUCUUCUUGUUAAAGUAAGCUUCGAGUUGUUAAUUAACUAGAUUAAUGUUUAGAUUUUCAUAUUGUGUGCGAAUGUUGAAUUUGUGAAGGUUUUUGGAAUGUAAUAUUGGUUAUGUAGGUGUAGAAUUAUGAAUAUGGGUCUAAAUUGGAGAAUAAUAGGUGGAUUUUGAGAUUUGCAAGUUUUUCUCGUUGGAAAUGGAGAUUUUUCGACGAAAAAAGCCGAAAAAAUGCAGGCUACGUUUGUAGCUGGCAUUUUGGGUAAAACCCGAUUGCGUUUGCAGCCGGCAUUUUGGGGAAAACCCGGCUGUUAACAGUCGGGUGCCCGACUGUUAACAGCCGAUUGGCCCAAUUGUCAUGGGGACUGUUUUUAUUUUUCAUGGGCUGAAGUGGGCCGACUGUUAUAGUCGGUCCAAUAACAAUUUUUUUUUAUUUGGGCUGAUUAACAGUCGUCCCAUUAUUUGGGUUGACUAUUUAGUCAGCCCAUUGACUGUUAAGCAGGCCGAAUGUUAUGGUUGGGUCGAUGCCUUUAUUUUUAUUUUUUUACUUUUUUCUUACAUAUAUUUAAGAAUUUCAUUUUAAAUCAUUUUAAUUAUUAGUUUUUAAUAAAUAAUAAUUUAUUUAUUUAUAAAAUUUAAAUGUGAUAUUUAAUUUGAAUAUUUAUUUUUAUUUCCUCAUUUUUGAUAAAUAAUAAUUUUUCAUUCUCGAAUUUAAUUAAUUUUUAUAAUUUUAAUAUUUAGUAAUUCUUUUAAUUUUAAAUUUAAAUUUCAUAUUUAGUUUUAUUAAUAGUUUUUAUAAAUAAUAUUCUUUUCGUUAAUCGAAUUUCAUUAAUUCUUGUCAUUGUAAUUUUGAGUAAUUAUUUAAUUUUAAAUUUCGUUUUUAUUUUUAUUAAUAGUUUUUUAUAAAUAAUAUUCUUUUCGUUAAUCGAAUUUCAUUAAUUCUUGCCAUUGUAAUUUUGAAUAAUUAUUUAAUUUUUAAAUUUCAUAUUUAUUUUUAUUAAUUGGGCUGAUUGUUAAUUGUAGACUGACUGUUAACAGUCUUAGGCCGACUGUUAACAGUCACACUAUUAACAGUUUAAUUUUUUAAAAAAUAUAUAUAUUUAAUUUUUUAUUUUUUAAAUAUAAUUUAUAAUUAAUUUAUUAAUAAUUAUGUUAUUUAUUUAUUUUUUUUAAUUGUCUUUUAUUUAUAUAAUUUAAUAAUUGAAUAUUAUCUGAAAGUAACAAUUUAUUUUCCAUGUUAUUUAUUUAAUUAAAAUUUUUUUUUGUAAAUAUAUUUUCCAAGUGUAAUAUACAAGAUUAAUUUUCUUUAUAAUUUUCAUUUGAUUAAAUAAUAAUUAUGUUAUUUAUUUAUUUAAUUUUUAUAUUCUUUAAUUUUUUAAAAUUUAUUUAAAUAAUAUUUAUAUUCUUUAAAUUUUUUUGAAAAUAUAUUUAAUCUUUAAUUUUUAACUUUUUGUAUUAUUUAAAUAUUAAUAAUUUCCUUUUGCUGAAAAUCUCAUUAAUUUGUAUUUUAAUUUAAUUAAUUAUUUUUAACAUUUGUAUUGAAUUUAUUUUGUUAUAGGCGUCAAGAAUUCGGUUCCCAUUGAUUUUUUGAGAUUAUGCGUUAUUAUAUUAUCUCUUGUUCAAUGUUCUAAUAUUUGAAUUUUUGCAGGAUAGAGUAUCAUUUAGAUGGGGAGUUGAGACGGAUGGCGGGGAAAGCUACUUGGAACAGUAGCUUUGAGAUUUUUACUGUUGUAUUGGAGAUGCUCAAUGAUCAUCAUGAAAAUAUGCUACGACAGUCCUUCUUGUGGGCACUGUACUAGAUGCGAGAGUUGCAGUACUCAGGACUAAUCAUCGAUGUACUUCUAUGUCAGCUUCUGAGGCCAGUCGACGGCGAUUCCCUCCACUUCGACCUCAGGGGCAAGGUCGUCAGUUUCUCGAUAUAUGAGUUUAGCUUGAUCACUGGACUGAAGAUUAUGGGCGAAGAUGCAGCCAUUGAGAGAAGUAAUAGGUUGUACAAGACGUACUUCUAGGGACAUGGGUCGGUGCAUCUACCCGAGUUGAUGGUUGCGAUCAGGGGGUACGACCAGAUGUUAGAUAGAUUGAAACUUGGGCUGGUCUACAUCCUCAAGAAUGUGAUGAGGUGUCAUCACAAGAAGAUUGCCAUCGACAUUUUUUCAUUUGCAAGUUGUUGACGACAUCGAUGCGUUCAACAACUAUCUAUGGGGCCGGAGAUGCUACGAAGACACCGUACAUGUGCAUGUGUUUAUUAAAUGAAUAAUUCAUACUUUUUUGGUGUUUCUUGAUGCAACACAUCGACCUGGCCAUGGACUUGCUACGAGAUCAAGCUCAAAGACAUCCAAAAUCAUUUGACGUCCAUGGUCGAGUCAUAUUAAACACCGAGUUCCUGCGUGCCGUUAUCAUAGAGUAUCAGUCGCUCCAACUUAUGAGUAACGAGUACACGGUGCUAGAAUAUAUGCUCAAGUGGGUCAUAUGAAUGUCGUCGAGUGUCGGGGGGGAAAUCAUGGGAGGGUUGUACACAUAUGUAUAUUCUAGCGUGCAUCAAUAAUCACUAUGUUACGCUGGAGAUCGUUUUUGCCGACACGACUAUAUAUGUGUAAGACGCAAAUCAUUCAUGUUUGACACAAGGCCAGCUGGAGCAAAACCUGGAGUCCGUAGCUGUAAUUGUUCCUAUGAUGGCCAGACGAGCGGGGAUGACUGUACAGGAUAGAUUGCGGAUUGUUCGGAACACGACAACAGUGUGACAGUCCAUAUAGUAAGUGUUUGAACUUUGUUAUUUUCAUUUUUUAGAUUUAGUUUUUAGCUACACAGUACUGAAUUGAUCCAUUCUUGUACAAUUGUAGCGACGACUGCGGCAUAUUUGUCAUUAAGUACGUUGAAUUUUUAAGUAUAGGACAUAAGGUUGAUGGAAUCAACCAAUUGUGGAUACAGAACUGGAGAAAGAAGCUAGCUUGUGAUUUGUUUUAAAUUUUAUGGUGACCCGUAAACUUGUAUUAAAUAUAUGUAACAUUCAAAUUGUAAAUUUAAUUAUUUUUUGUGAUUAUGAAAUAAUUGUAAAUUUGUGUUCAAUAUAUAUAACAUUCAUAUUGAAAAUUUAAUUAUUUUUUUGUAAGUUGAUUUUUUGUUAUUUUACACAUAUGCCGAGUAUGGAACUACUUUUUUCAUAUGAAUCAUUAUAAAUACCAUUUAUCAAGAAUAAAUAUUGAAUAUUGAACAUUUAUGAAGAACAAAUAUUGAACGGUGUAAAGUAAAUGAAAAUAUUAUUCAUUUAACGUACCUGUCUAAUUGUCAUUUAAGGGAAUUUGACUGGUACAAAAUUGCCCAGUAUGCCCUAUGGCUCUGCACCUGCCACACCUACGCGAUCGAGAAAACUCUCUGGUAGAUGGUAUUCUAGAUGUACUUGGACGUCCAGGACCAUGCGGUUCAACUACUGGUGACAACAAAUUAUGAAACGGGAGAAUGUGUUCGGGAACUUCCCACUCGACUUCAUUCGGCAGAGGAAAUAUAGUCUUAGCAUAUGCUGUUCUCCAAGACUCAGUCGUAUAAUACAAAGAGCAUAACGUUCUCGCAGCAAAGUCUCGAAUCAUGGCCACCGCAACUGCAUGCUCACAUGAAAAACUUUCCAACUGAAAUCUUGUACAAAUACAUAUGUUAUCAGUCAAGUCCACCAUAUAUGCCGUAUUACGUACACAUUGCACGAAGAAGCGAAACUUAUCUAGUGCUUCCACAUUCAACUUCCUCACAACCUCUGCCGCCUUAAAGAGUUUCUCCUCUUGAGCUGGGGCCAACACGCUAGUGCAACUCUGUGAUACCGCACGUCGAUUAUGAAACCACUGUUGCAGCUUGUUACGAAUGUGCUCAAUCAUUGCGAGAAUUGGUAACUCUCGAUCCUUCUUAAAUAAUUCAUUAAGAGACUCUGCGUUAUUCGACGUCAUCAUGUUGUAUCGACGUCCUGGAAAGUAUGAUCGCGCCCAAUGUUCUAUCCCCAUGUUCAUCAGAUACUUCAACUCCGGUAAUGAUUUACUUCCUAUCUCGAACAUGAACUUAUUACACUCUUCAACACCGAUACCUAGUUUUCAAAUUAUCUUGUAAAUGGUACAUGCAAUACCCGUGAUGCGCCUCGGGAAAAAUUUUAGUGAUACCGUUUAUUAUAGACUGUCCCCAAUUGGUUACAAAGGCAAGGUCUUCGACUUCCCCGAUCACUUUCUUCAGUUUAGAAAAGAACCAACGCAUGAACAGAUUAUUCUCGUUGUCACUAUGCUGAAUGCAAUAGGGUAAAUUUGGAUGUUGGCAUCUUGACAUGUAGCAAUAAUUAAUUUGCCUUGAUAUUUAGCUUUCAGAGUUGUACCAUCAACUAGAAUUACAGGUCGCAUUGCAUUUCGAAAACCCCAAAUACAUUGUCCGAAAGCCAUAAAGAAAUACGUAAAAUUAUUAUCGCCCCCCAUCUCAAUAAAAAAUGCCAUCUCAGGAUUAGUUGUCCCCAUGUUAUGACAAUACCUAGCCAAUUUAGCAUAGCUCUCCUCAGUCGAUCCCAUUAAAUCCUCCAACGCACAUUCUUUGGCCUUCCAGGCUUUCUGGUAGCUCAUGACCACUCUAUACUCUCAACCGACGUCGUUAAUGAUGUCUGAAGGUCUGUAAAUCGUCCGUGGGUCCUGAUACUUGUGCCUUAUCUGUCGACCAAUAAACCAUGCUCGAGCUUGCUUGUGAUCAUUUCGACAAAUUUCCAAUUCCCAAGUAUGUUCCCGUGCCUAUUUGCGAACUACAAAGCACUCAUUAUUGUCCAUCUUAGUCGCUCUCAAGCACCAAUUGCAAUUGUCAUCAACGCAGGCAACUGUCAACAAUGAUUUGGUUGAUUUCUUUACAUUGAAUUCAAAGUUAUAUUUUAAUGUCAUUCGGUGCACAACUUCCUGCAAAUCUUUCUUGGUUUCAAAUAGUUGUUCAACAUACAAAUCCUCAUCAUCAGGAGCCACACGGGAAAAAUUGGAGGACGGUCCACUUGUUCCACUCCUUGAGCUCCCACCCCGCUCAGAUCUCUGUCGGGAUAAAGUAAUUAAAAUUUCAUUUGUAAAAUCAUUUAUAUUUUCGUUGUCCUCAACUGUCGAUGGAAUUCUAUGCGUAAUAAUGGCUUCACGAUCAGUAGCAAUGGUUUCGCGAAUAACCACAUCAUCUGCAAGAAUUAUCUCCACUGUCUCCCAAAAAUCUCGAUCAUUAUUAUCUGCUCCAUCUGAAUCUUCGCGUUCACCUUCGACAACAUCAUUCUUAACUAAAGUCACGCCAAGAGCAGUCGGAGUCCUAUGCAUUUUAUUCAAUUCUAAUCGAUAAUUCAAUCCAACAUCAUUAAAUAUAGGUGGCAUCGGAAUGGACGAAUCCCCAUAACCAUGGAAUAAAUAUCUCAGUUGCAUAUUGUACUGAGAAGGAUCGACAUUCAACUUAUUUUACAAAUCCUGGUACACUUUCGCGCCGCAUAUGAUGUACUCUCUGUUACGGGAAUUGCAAUACAGCCACAUACAUCACUCGUCCAUCUCCAUUCCCAUCUAUUAUUUUCAUUCAGUUCGAAAUCACCGAAAUAACAAAUCGAGAUUAUCAUAUCUAUAUGACUAUAUAGAAUUUUUAAAUCAAUUACAAUAACAAAAAUUCAGAUAUUUAAUCAACUUGUAAUUAAAAUUAUAAGACAAUUGUCAAAAGAGAAAUUAUAAUAUAAAAAAAAUUCGUAAAACAAUCGGGAAAAACGGCCGACUGUGGACUGUUUUACAGCCGACUGUCAAUUCGACUGUUUAACAACCGACUAACAGUUGGCUGUCGACUGUUAGAUAGCCGACUGUCUAACAACCGUCGGUCAACUAUUAGAGAGUCGUCUAACAGCUGACUGUCGGCUGUUAGACAGUCAGCUGUCUGCUGUGUAACAUUUUUCGUUAACAUCCCACAGUUAAUCGCCGGAUUGUUUAUUUUGCGUAUGACUUUUUAUUUUUCUAUAGUUCUAAAGAAAAAAAUUAUAGAUCUGUUAAAAUUUUUUUUUACUAACUACUGUGUUAUUUAACUACUCAAACGUACACUAAUUUACUGAAAUCGAAAUUAAGCAUGGGUAAAAAUAUACUUACCGAUUUGAAGUAAUUGAUCUGAAAAAAGUUCUGACUUCGACGUUUGAAGUUUUUUGAUAUUUUGAGGUUCAAGCAGAUGAAAAAUGAGAGUUUUUCUGUGUUCGAAGCUCGUUCUGCAGUUUUAUAAAUGGGGUAGUAUUUGGUUUUCAAUUAUUAACUAAAAGGCUAAUAAUGUCUUUAAAACUAUCCAAUAUUUUGUAAUUAUAUAAUAUAUUUAAGGGCAUCUCUGUCUUUUACCAUUCAAGAGGUUAAUGCGAUAAUUUUCAAGUUUUCAAAAGUCAAAGUGGAAAUAAGGGUCUUUGACUAGGUCAAUUUUAAAAAUACCCCAUUGAACAUAGCUGCUUUAAAUGUCCCAUUACAAGAGAACAAAAACUCCCAGAAUCAUCUACAAAUUUAAAGAAGUUAAAUUUGGGUCUGCGAAUUCUUUAAAGGAAAUACCAUAUGCAAGAGCCAAUAACAAGGCUCAAACACAGAUCCAACCCCGAUUUUGCCCUAAUUGGCAUUGGCGACUAGCUGUGACGAUUGACAUUGCAGAUUUGACGACGAUUGACAUUGCAGAUUUUUCAGAUCAAUUACUUCAAAUCGAUAAGUAUAUUUUUAUACAUGCUUAAUUUCUAUUUCAGUAAAUUAGUGUGCAUUUGUGUAGUUAAAUAAUAGAGAAGUUAGUAGAAUUUUUUUUUUAACAUAUCUAUAAUUUUUUUUCUUUAAAACCAUAGAAAAAUAAAAAUUCAUACGCAAAAUAAAUAGUCCCACCAUUAACUGUGGGAUGUUAACGAAAACUGUUAGAUAGUAGACAGCAGACUGUUAAAAGACUUUCUAACAGCCGCCAGACGACUGUCUAACAAUCGACCGACGACUGUUAGACAGUCGGCUGUCUAACAGCUAGGGCUGGGCAAAUCUCCCGAACCGAACCGAUCGAACCGAACCCGAACCAAACUGAACUGAACGCAACGGUUCUUGUCAAAUUAAAUACCCGAACGGGUGUCUAAAUUGAGAACCGACGGGUACAGUUUGAUUCCCGGUUCUAGACCGAGAACCGAAGAACCGAAUAAGAACCGAAUCUUUCUAAUUUUUUUUAUAUUGAGUAAAUCAAAUUAUUUUAAUUUUAAUUUUUCUAAACAAAUUAACAAUUUCUAAAUCCAAAAUUUUGACCCAAUAAUUUGUUUCAUUUCUAAUUUUUUAAUUUUUGGCCCAAUUACCCAUUUUAUUGUAUCAUUUCUUAGCCCAACAAAAUCCAAUCCACUAAAUAACUCUAAACACCUACAAUAAAGUGCAUAACGUUGUUUCGACUCUCGCACUCACUCUCGUAACCUCGCUAACAUUCCAAAACCUAUACAAUCGUCGGCCGACGCUGUGACCUCCGAUCGAAGCUGUGACAUCUGCUGACCGAAGCUUUGACCGUAGCGAUCAUUUGAACAAUAUAGUAUACUACUCUCUGACAUUCCAAAAACCAUUGAAUGUAAGUAUUUUUAUAAUGUUGUUAUAAAUGUUAAAAAAUUUAAUUAUAGUACAGAACCAAAUGGAAUCGAACCGAACUUAAUCUAACGGAACCAAACCCGAACGGUUCCAUAAUUAUAUUUGAACCUGACGGUUCCAUUUACUAGAUACCUGAAAAUUUCGGUUCGGUUUGAUUCUCUUUAGAACCGAACCGACCCGCACCCACCCUACUAACAGCCGAUAGCCGACUAACAGUUGGCUGUUUUUCCUGACUGUUUUACGAAUUUUUUUAUUAUAAUUUCAGUUUGGCGAUUGUCUUAUAAUUUUAAUUACAAGUUGAUUAAAUAUCUGAAUUUUUGUUGUUGUAAUUGAUUUAAAAAUUCUUUAUCAUUAUGGAGAUAUGCUAAUCCCGGUUUGUUAUUUCGGUGAUUUCGAACUGAACGAAAAUAAUAGAUGGGAAUGGAGAUGGAUGAGUGAUGUAUGUGGUUGUAUUGCAAUUCCCGUAACAGAGAGUACAUCAUAUGCGAAAGUGUACCAGGAUUUACAAAAUAAGCUGAAUGUCAAUUUUUCUCAGUGCGAUAUGCAACUGAGAUAUUUAUUCAAUGGUUAUGGGGAUUCGUCCAUUCCGAUGCCACUUAUAUUUAUUACUUAUGAUGCUGAAUUGAAUUAUCUAUUAGAAUUGAAUAAAAUGCAUAGGACUCCGACUGUUCUUGGUGUGACUUUAGUUAAGAAGGAUGUUGUCGAAGGUGAACGCGAAGAUUCAGAUGGAGUGGAUAAUAAUGACUGAGAUUUUUGGGAGACAGUGGAGAUGGUCCUGCAGAUGAUGUGGUUAUUCCCGAGACAGUUGCUACUGAUUCUGAAGUUACUGUUACGCACAAAAUUCCAUCGACGGCUGAGGACAACAAAAAUAUAAUUUACAAAUGAAAAUUUAAUUGCUUUAUCCCGACAGAGACCUGAGCAGGUGAGAGCUCAGGGGAUGGAAAAAGUGGACCGUCCUCCAAUUCUUCAUGUGUGGCUGCCGAUGAUGAGAAUUUGUAUGUUAAGCAACUAAGAUUUGUAGGAAGCUGUGCACCGGAUAGCAUUAAAAUAUAACUUUGAGUUCAAAGUAAAGAAAUCAACCAAGUCAUUGUUGACAGUAGGCUGCGUUGACGAUAAUUGCAAUUGGCGCUUGAGAGCAACUAAAAUGGACAUGAAUGAGUGCUUUGUAGUUCGUAAAUAUGUAUGGAAACAUACUUGUGAAGUGGGAAUUUGUCGAAAUGAUCACAGGCAAGCUCGAGCAUGGUUUAAUGGUCGACAGAUAAUGCACAAGUAUCAGAACCCACGGACAAUCUAUAGACCUUCGAAUAUUAUUAACGACGUCCGUUGAGAGUAUGGAGUGGUCAUGAGCUACCAGAAAACCUGGAAGGCCAAAAAAUGUGCGUUGGAGGAUUAAAUGGGAUCGGCUGAGGAGAGCUAUACUAAAUUGGCCAAGUAUUGCCAUAACAUAAGGACAGCUAAUUCUGACACGGCAUUUUUUAUUGAGACGGGGGGGGGGGGCGAUAAUUGUUUUAAGUAUUUCUUCAUGGCUCUCGGACAAUGUAUUUGGGGUUUUUGAAAUGCAAUGCGACCCGUAAUUCUAGUUGAUGGUACAACUCUGAAAGCUAAAUAUCAAGGCAACUUAAUUAUUGCUACAUGUCAAGACGCCAACAUCCAAAUUUAUCCUAUUGUAUUCGACAUAGUCGACAUCGAGAAUGAUCUGUCCAUGUGUUGGCUCUUUUCUAAAUUGAGGGAAGUGAUCGGGGAAGUCGAAAACCUUGCCUUUGUAACCGAUUGGGGACAAUCUAUAAUAAACAGUAUCGCUGAAGUUUUUCUCGAGGCACAUCACGGGUAUUGCAUGUAUCAUAUACAAGGUAAUUUGAAGACUAGGUAUCGGGGCAAAGGCAUCGUUUCAUUGUUUAGAAGAGCAGCCAAAGCUUACAGUGCUGAAAAGUGUAAUAAGUUCGUGUUCGGAUAGGAAGUAAAUCAUUACCGGCGUUGGAGUAUCUGACGAACAUGGAGAUCGAACAUUGGGCGCGGUCAUACUUUUCAGGACAUUGACACAACAUGAUGACGUCGAAUAACGUGGAGUCUCUCAAUGCAUUGUUUAAGAAGGAUCGAGAGUUAUCAAUUCUCGCAAUGAUUGAGAACAUUUGUAACAAGCUACAACAGCGGUUUCAUGACCGACGUGUGGCAUCACAGAGUUGCACUAGCGUGUUGGCCCCAGCUCAAGAGGAGAAACUCUUUAAGGCAGCAGAUGUUGGGAGGAAGUUGAAUGUGGAAGCACUAGCUGAGUUCCACUUCUCCGUGUAAUGUGCACGUAAUACGAUAUAUAUGGUGGACUUGACUUAUAACACAUGCACUUGUACGAGAUUUCAGUUGGAGAGUUUUCCAUGUGAGCAUGUAGUUGCGGUGGCCAUGUAUCGAAGCUUUGCAGCGAGAACGUUAUGCUCUUUGUAUUAUACGACUGAGCCUUGGAGAACAGCAUAUGCUGAUACUAUAUUUCCUCUGACAAAUGAAGCCGAGUGGGAAGUUCCCGAGCACAUUCUCCCGUUUCAUAAUUUGUUGCCACCAACAGUUGAACCACGUGGUCCUGGACGUCCAAGUACAUCUAGAAUACCAUCUACCAGAGGGUUUCCUCAACCGCGUAGGUGUGGCAGGUGCAGAGCCAUAGGGCAUACUGGACAAUUUUGUACCAGUCAAAUUUCCCUAAAUGACAAUUAGACAGGUACGUUAAAUGAAUAAUAUUUCUGUUUACUUUACACUGUUCAAUAUUUGUUUUUCAUAAAUGUUCAAUGUUUAGUAUUUAUUCUUGAUAAAUAGUAUUUAUAAUGAUUCAUAUAAAAAAAUAGCUCCAUACUCGGCAUAUGUGUAAAAUAACAAAAAAUCAACUUACAAAAGAAUAAUUAAAUUUCCAAUGUGAAUGUUAUAUUUAUUAAACACAAAUUUACAAUUAUUUCAUAAUCACAAAAAAUAAUUAAAUUUACAAUUCGAAUGUUACAUAUAUUUAAUAUAAAUUUAUGGGUCACCAUUAAAUUUGAACAAAUCACAAGCUAGCUUUUUCUCCAGUUCUGUAUCCACAAUUGGUUGAUUCCAUCAACAUUACGUCCUAUACUUAAAAAUUUAAGGUACUUAAUGGCAAAUAUGCCGCAGUCACUGCUGCAAUUGAAUAAGAAUGGAUCAGUUCAGUACUGUGUAGCUAAAAACUAAAUCUGAAAGAUGAAAAUAAUAAAGUUCAAACACUUACCUUAUGGACUGUCGCGCUGUUGUCGUGUUUCGAACAAUCCGCAAUCUGUCCUGUACAGUUAUCCCCACUUGUAUGGCCAUUAUAGGAACAAUUACAAUUACGGACUCCAGGUUUUGCUCCAGCUGGCCUUGUGUCAAACAUGAAUAAUUUGGGUCGUAGACAUAUAUAGUUAUGUUAGCAAAAACGAUCUCCAGCGUAACAUAGUGAUUAUUGAUGCACGUUGGAAUGUACAUAUGUGUACAACCCUCUCAUGAUUUUCCCCCGACAUUUGGUGACAUUCCUAUGACCCACUCGAGCAUAUAUUCUGGCACCGUGUACUCGUUAUCCAUAAGUUGGAGCAACUGAUACUCUAUGGUAACGGCACGCAGGAACUCGGUGUUUAAUAUGACUCGACCACGGACGUCAAAUGAUUCUGGAUGUCUUUGAGCUCGAUCUCGCAGCAAGUCCAAGGCCAAGUUGAUGUACUGCAUCAGGAAACACCAAAAAAGUAUGAGUUAUUCAUUUAAUAAACACAAAGUGACGUGUACAUAAAAAACACGAAAUGAAUAGUUCACUUACAUCGUCGGUGAGUCAAGCUCCCGAAGUGGUGAUAUCGUGGAACCACUUGUAAGCGUCCGAGACCGUCGUUUGACCUAUCGUGCGGCUAACUCUGAAAAAAAGGGAAAUGUUAAAAUAUGCAUAGACGAGUUAGCGUAUAGUGCUUUGUUAAAAUCAUACAAUACUUACCCGGGGAUAAUUCUCCUCCACUCCAUCUCGAACGCUUUCCACUAGGCGUUGUCCACCUCUUUGAAUAAGUUCGGAUGCGUCCCAUCGAUGAACGUCCUCCUCUUGGCCUCAGUCGUAAAGGGGAAAACAACAUACUGUGAUGACACUCUCAACCUCUUGCCGACCACCUGCUCCGUUUCAUCAACAGCAUGUCUCUUACCCUCAAUCACGAUGGGCGUCCUCUCGACCUCCGGGGCCACCUUCUCCGUCCCUCCCAUUGGGGCCACCCCCUCUCCCUCCAUAGGCAACCACAAUGAUUAUAAUGUCUUAUCACGCCAAAAAUGUGGGUGACCCCCUUUCCAUCACCACUCUGCCACCCUCUCGAUCAUCAUCUCCACCAUCCCCUCUGUCCCCCCAUCGCCUACCGGCUAAAUCUCCUCUAGGUGCCACUACCGUAUCCUGAAGAUCGACAACGCAAGACCGUAGCAUUCCAACAUCAUGGGAUAGAUCGUCAACCCUCUCUGUCAACUCUCGUCCCAUAUCAUCGAUCUUCCCUAUCAGAUAAUCGACCUUCCCAGUCAGAUCGUCGACCUUCCUUGUCAACUCUCUUCCCAGAUCAUCGACCCUCUCCGUCAACUCUCGUCGUAGCGCGCCGACCUCCUCCACUAUAAAUCCAGUCAAACAGGCAUACAAAUCAUCACUGUGUGUCAGAGAUACACGGGGGAGGUGUCUGGACGAGGGAGAAGGAGAUACCCUCGGCGGUGGCGAUGCCAAUGGCGGCGGCGAUGCCCUUAAUGGAGGUGAUGCCAAUGGCGACGACGAUGCUCUUGGGGGAGGUGAUGCCAAUGGUGGUGGUGAUACCCUCGGCGGAGGUGAUCAUCGAUCAACUGGACUGCCCUCCUACAUAAAUAACAUUAAAAAUUAUUCAAUAAAUUUAUAGGUCGACGAUAUUCAAUAAAUUAUAUUUAAUUCAUAUACCCAAUCUCGGUCUAGGUUUGGAUCAGACAUCUCCUCGUCUUGGGUCUGCGGAAUGCCUAAAUCUCGCACAAGACCCCGAGCCUCCUCUUCCAUCGAUGACGUCAACUCAAGUAUGACUUCAAGCUGACAUAUUGACAUUUCAACUAAUUAACGAUCAUGUAAACAUAUUUUAAACUACGCAUAAUAUAAAUCACAAAUGCAUAAUACUUACCUGAGGAUCAUCGAAGAAAGUCGAUAAUUGUUUCCCAGUGGGGCAUCCGUCUGCUCGCGAUGAUCUCCAAUGAUGCAUCUGAGGGCAUCGUGUCUCUCCUCGCUUCGCAAAGCGGGCCCCUAGUACAGGGACUAUCUCAUACACCCAAAUCUGCAACACAUACACUUAUUAUGCGUAAAUAUAAUAUACUAAAACUUUAACUUUAAUUAUAUUAAACAUUUAUCUGUACCGCUAAGGGCAAUCCAUAUGUAUCGUAUUUACACAUUGACCCCUUGGGCCUCGAGUGUGAUUUGGUGAAAACAUGUAAGGUGUCUUUGCAGUAUCUCCGACCCCAUGGAUAGUUGUUGAACGCAUCGAUAUCGUCAACAACUUGCAAUUGAAAAAUGUCGAUGGCAAUCUUCUUGUGAUGACACCUCAUCAUACUCUCGAGGAUGUAGACCAACCCAAGUGUCAAUCUAUCUAGCAUCUGGUCGCACCCCCUGAACGCGACCAUCAACUAGGGUAGAUGCACCCAUCCAUGUCCUUGGAAGUACGUCUUGUACAGCCUAUUUCUUCUCUCAAUGGCUACAUCGUCGCCAAUAAUCCUUAGUCCAGUAAUCAAGCUAAACUCAUACAUCGAGAAACUGACAACCUUGCCCUCGAGGUCGAAGUGGAAGGAAUCGCCGUCGACUGGCCUCAGAAGCCAACACAGAAGUGCAUCGAUGAUCUGUCCUGAGUACUGCACCUCUCUCAUAUGGUACAGUGGCCACGAGAAGAACUGUCAUAGCAUAUCUCCGUGAUGAUAUCGAGCAGCUCCAACACAGCAGUAAAACUCUCAAAGCUACUAUUCCAAGUAGCUUUCCCCGCCAUCCGUCUCAACUCCCCAUCUAAAUGAUACUCCAUCCUGUAAAAAUUCAAAUGUUAGAACAUUGAACAAGAGAUAAUAAAAUAACGCAUAAUCUCAAAAAAACAAUGGGAACCGAAUUCUUGACGCUAAUAACAAAAUAAAUUCAAUACAAAUGUAAAAAAUAAUUAAUUAAAUUAAAAUACAAAUAAAUGAGAUUUUCAGCAAAAGAAAAUUAUUAAUAUUUAAAGAAUACAAAAAAGUUAAAAAUUAAAGAUUAAAUAUAUUUUCAAAAAAAAUAAAGAAUAUAAAUAUUAUUUAAAUAAAUUUAAAAAAAAUUGAAGAAUAUAAAAAUUAAAUAAAUAAAUAACAUAAUUAUUAUUUAAUCAAAUGAAAAUUAAUCUUGUAUAUUACAUUUGGAAAAUAUAUUUACAAAAAAAUUUAAAAUUAAAUAAAUAACAUGGACAAUAAAUUGUUACUUUCAGAUAAUAUUCAAUUAUUAAAUUAUAUAAAAAAAGACAAUUAAAAAAAUAAAAAAAUAAAUAACAUAAUUAUUAAUAAAUUAAUUAUAAAAUAUAUUUAAAAAAACUAAAUAUAUAUAUAUUUUAAAAAAUUAAACUGUUAACAGUCUGAUUAUUAACAGUCGGCCCAAGACUAUUAACAAUCUACUAUUAACAGUUAACAGUCGGCCCAAUUAAUAAAAAUAAAUCUAAAAAUUAAAAAUUAAAUAAUUAUUCAAAAUUUCAAUGAUAAGAAUUAAUGAAAUUCGAUUAAUGAAAAGAAUAUUAUUUAUAAAAAAUUAUUAAUAAAAAUAAAAACGAAAUUUAAAAUUCGAUAAUUAUUCAAAAUUACAAUGACAAGAAUUAAUGAAUUUCGAUUAACAAAAAGAAUAUUAUUUAUAAAAAAAACUAUUAAUAAAACUAAAUAUGAAAUUUAAAUUUAAAAUUAAAAGAAUUAUUAAAUAUUAAAAUUAUAAAAAUUAAUUAAAUUCAAGAAUGAAAAAUUAUUAUUUAUCAAAAAUGAGGAAAUAAAAAUAAAUAUUCAAAUUAAAAUUUAAAUUAAAUAUCACAUUUAAAUUUUACAAAUAAAUAAACUAUUAUUUAUUAAAAACUAAUAAUUAAAAUUAUUUAAAAUGAAAUUCUUAAAUAUAAGUAACUAAAAAAUAAAGGCAGUGGGCCGACCGUAACAAUCGGACCGCUUAACAGUCAAUGGGCUGACUAAACAGUCAGCCCAAAUAAUGGGCCAACUGUUAAUCAGCUCAAAUUAAAAAAAAAAAUAUUAUUGGGCCGAGUCAUGGGCUGAUUGUUAGUCAGUCCAUGACAAUUGGGCCAACUGGCUGUUAACAGUCGGGUGAUUAGGCACCCGACUGUUAACAGCUGAGUUUUCCCCAAAAUGCCGGCUGCAAACGCAGUCGGCAUUUUUUCCGGCUUUUCUCCUCGAAAAAUCUCUAUUUUCGGCGAGAAAAGCUUGCAAAUCUCGAAAUCCACAUAUUAUUCUCCAAUUUAGACUCAUAUUCAUACUUCUACACCUACAUAAUCAAUAUUACAUUUCAAAAACCUCCACAAAUUCAACAUUCACACACAAUAUGAAAAUUAAAACAUUAAUCUGGUUAAUUAACAACUCGAAACUCACCUUAACAAGAAGAAGGUCGCUGGAGAUGAACUGAAAAUGUUUACCGAAUAGCUUUUCCCUGGUUUUAGCUGACUGUAAGCAAAUGGGAAAGUGACCGUCUGAUGGUAUUUUGGGAUUUUGACCUUUAAAAUCAAUUUUCGUUUUUUUUCCUCUAAAAACUGGUCAAAGGCUACUUUGGAACUACACAUGAGUUAUUGGGUCAUUUUCAAUGAUUUCCUCCCCUUUCCUCGUGUUUUCAAAUUUCUACUUCCGAUUUGUACCUUUUUUUUUCUAAUUGACAAAUUAAUUAUAAGUACGUUUAUAGAUAGUAAAUAGAAUAAUUUAAUUUAUAAUUUCUGAUUGGUUAAAAUUUGUAUAUUUUAUUCGAAAGAAUCAUUCAAUUAACUCUAAUAUAUUUUUCCAACUGAAAUUGUCUAAUUUUAGUUCGAAAAAUUUUAAUAUAGUUUCAGUUUAUUAUUUUCAUAUUACCAAUAGAAUUUUAUCAUUAAAAUUUUUUAAUUUAUUUUUUAGGAUUUUGGUUAUUUUGUAAAUUAAAGUUUUAAAAUAAUCUUUAAUUAAUAGUUAGGAUUGAUUGAAAUUAAACGUAUGCUGAAUUUUUAUUUUUAGUUUUGUUCUUUUUUACAACAAGCAAAAAAUAUUGCAAAUCCUUGUUGCAAAACACACUUGCUCGCAACAUUUAAUGAUUGUUGCAAAAGGUUAUAUAGUAAGAAUUUCAACAAUAUGUACUGAACAUUGUUAUAGAACAAAAUUUUAACAAGUUCAAAAAAAAAAAAAAAAAAGAAUUAAAACUUUUACAACAUUCAAAGAACGUUACAAAAAGCUAUAUAUUAAGAGUUUCAACAACGGUUAUUGAAUGUUGUUAUAGAACUAUAUUUUUACAACAUUCAUUAAAUGUUGUGAAAAAUUAAACUUCUUACAACAUUCAAGAAACGUUGAAAAUGGUAAUAUUGACAAAAUGCAAUUAAAAAAAAUAUUGCCAAAGCUUAAUUAAGUUAAUCAAUGGCAUUAUUCACUUAUUAAAAUGUUGCGAUAGACCCAUUUAGCAACAUUCAAUUCACGAGUGUUGCCUUUUGAGUAUCUUAGGGAAGGAUUAGGGAUACAAUAGUAAUAAUUUCUAGAGUUACAGGAGUACAAUUGUCAUUCACGAAUAAACUUACCAUGUACAACAAAAUGGUCUUUUUUUUUUUCCUUCAAUGUGCUCCUAAAAAGGUUUUUAUUGAUAGCAACAAGGUAAGUCGGACGUUCUCUUUUUUAAAUUUUAAGAGGCAGUAAGGAUAUUUUGAUCUUCAUUUUUCGUCCCAUUUAUUUAUUUAUUUAUUUACUUAUUUAUGUAUUAUUAUCUGUUUAAAUUUAAAUUAUAUUCAAAAAAAAUUUUUAAAAAAAUAUUAUGAGUCAUGGAUGGGUCUGUGACAGAGAUCAUGUUUCCCAAGCCCAUCCCUAAUAGGGAUUAUAGAAUUCCUGACCUUCGAUCCACAUCAUGCCCUGUCCCACAUUGUCCUACCUUGAAUAGUAAAUGGGGCGGGAUGCAUAACCUAUAGUCCCUAGUUUCGAAUUUUUAGUACUAUCUCUGAAUCAUUUUUGAUUAAUAUACUUUAUUUUAUUCUUAUGUUCUUCAUUUAAAUCAUAUUAAAAAAUAAAUAAAUAAAUAAAAUGACGAAUGAUGGUUUUUAUGUCUCAACCUACCCUACAUUCUGAAAAUUCGAAACGAAACAAGAAUGAUAUGAUAGCUCCUAUCCAUUGUUAUCCUUAAUUUCAAAUUUCCCGUUGGGCGGAGUAACUUGAAACUGGCGUUUUGUUAAAGAUUUCCUCAAAUAAUUUAGCAGAAAAUAAAAACAAUGAAAAAUAAAUCCACUUUAAAAUAGGGUCAUCUCUAAAAGAUAAAUGUAUUCUCCAUUGAUUCCCAUUUUUCACUUGAAACUCAUCUCUGUAGGAAGGCUAUGAUCCAAUCCAACCUUAAAAUUUCUCAAAUUAUAUUAAAAAAAAAAAUCACCGUACCUUAACUCUACAAAUAAAGUAGAGUUAACUCUACAAAUAAAGUGGAGUGUUGCCCAAAUAUCCAUGGCAGCAGCUACGCAGAGGCAACACUGAUGGUUCGCAGAUGGUGCAACCACAAAGGGCCUCGACAUUAUAGGGACACCAAAAAAUUUUAUUUGUAUAAUAAUUUUAAAAUUUUAAUUUUUUUUAUUAAAAGGACCAUGUUUUAAAAUAUCACACAGGACACCCAAAAUAUUAAGGUCAACCCUACAUCUAAGUACUGCUAUGCAACUUCUCCAUUUCCUAGGUAUUUGAUCAAUAAAAAUAGGGAAUGUGGCUCAAGGGAGUGACAAAAUUAUUAAUAAGAUGAGGCAAAUUAAAGAAACAAACAAAUGUAGGAAGUUGAAAUCUACUUAAGAAACAAAAUGUACUUUCCUAUUAGCCGGAAGGGACAAUAUGACAGAUACCAAAACAAGGCAAUAGCUUAAGAGAUUCAUAGAUUACAUAAUUAUAAGCCAGAAAAAAAUAAACAUUGAUGAUUUAUUGUAGUUGAUAAUGGGGGUUGACUAACGAACCUUAUGUAGAAACUAUAUCAUUCGCAGUCAAACCAUGAUCCCUGAAUUUGAAACGGGCAUAUAACGAUUUGCGAAAGAGAUAAUGGUGUUGGAUUCCCAGUGGAUAACGCACAAGAAGAAUCUGAUUUCCUGCGCACUGGGAUUGAACAUAGCUGCUUUAAAUGUCCCAUUACGAGAGAACAAAAACUCCUAGAAGCAUCUACAGAUUUGAAAUUUGAAGGAGUUAAAUUAGGGUAUGCAAAUUCUUUAAAGGAAAAACCAUAUGCGAGAACCAAUAAUAAGGCUAAAACACACAGAUCUAAUCCAGAUUUUGCCCUAGUCGGCAUGGGUGACUAGCUGUGACAAUUGACUUUGCAGAUUUGACGGCGAGGGGAAAUACAUGAAAUUGACCCAAAUAAAAGAGGCUCUUUUCUAAAAUGGCCCUUGUCUUUUCCAAACAUUUGGAGCUACCUAAAAUACCCUUAGACAAACAUUAAAAACAACCUAUUUCAUAAUAAAAAUCUUCUAUCUAAGUCCUUAAAAAAUUAACAAGUAAUUUUUCUAAAAAUUUGAAAGAAUUAUUAAUCUUUAUGAAUAAUUAUAAAAUGAAAAAACCCAAAUAUAAGAGAGGACCAUAUAAUAUAAAAAAGGUUGUUAAAAAUAAAAAAGAAAUUAAGAUUGGAAAAGAAAUUGAUAAGAUAGGAUAUCAAGAACAAUUAUAUGCAUCACAAGAAGUAUUAAAGUGUUUCAAAGAAAACUUAUUAGAAAAUUUUGCUAAAAGAAUUGUAAGAUCAAUAAUUAUAAAAGAUAUACAAGGUAUCAUAGAUAAAUUAGAAAAAAGGAAGAAAAAUAUCUUAAAAUACGAUAUACCUUUUAGAACAGACAUAGAUAUGAUAAUAGAUGUUGAUAUUAUAAAUUCUCAGACAUUACUAGACUUUGAAGAAUUACUUAAAAAUUUAUGAGAAGGCCAAUAAAAAAUAGAUUACCACAAAGAAUUUUUAGAAUAUUAGAUUUUUGUUCGCUCAUAGUAGCAUCAUCCCGUUGGUAUCAGAGCCAUAGAGAUCAUGAGAAAAUUAUAAAAAUAAAUUACCUAAAAAUAUUGAAAAUAAAUAAAAUUUAUGAUUUUUGAAAUUAUUGAAACUUAUAAAAAUAGACUAAGGUAUCAAGUAAAAUAUAGUUCUAAUAUAAAAGGCUAUAUAGAAGAAGAUAAUAUAGUUGGAACAUAUAGUAAAGACAUAAAAGAAGUAUUAGAAAUUUUUAGAGUAAUUAAAAAUUUACCUUUAGAACUAAAAGAAAAAAUAAUUAAAAAGAUAUUAUUUGAAGAAUAUAAGCAUAUAUAUAUAUUAGAAGAAAUCCAGAGUGAAAUAGAUUUCAUAGUAAUCUAAAAAAAAUAUAUUUUAUUAUGGAAAUCAUAAAAAUAAAUAAUUAUUAUUAAUGUAUUGAAGAAAAAGGAUGUUAUAUAUUUUUCAACCCUAUCCCUAAUAAAUUAAAAAUAAUAACAUUAUAUGUAACUAGGAAUUUACCUAGAGAAAUAAAGGAACAAAUAUUAUAUAAAUUAAUUGUAGGAUUUAUCAAAGAUAGACGUACAUAUGAAAUAAUUAUCGAAGUAUUUGAAAAUGAAUUAUACCAUAGAGAAAUAUUUGAAUCAUCAUAAAGUAUAAUGGAAGAAACUAAAAAUAUUUUGGAAAGAAAGUUAAGAAGAAUAAGAUUAAUAAAUAAUAAAAUUUGAGAUGAAUUAUUAAUACCUGAAGAUAUAACUAAAACUCAAGAAAAACAAAUAUUAAAAUUAAAACAAGAAAGGUAUAAAGAAAAAGCAAGGUAUUAUGAAAAAUUAAAAGAAUUAACAAAUAUUAAAGUUAUAAAACAAAAGUAUGAUAAAAUGAUAAGAGAUUGUAAAAAUGCUGAGUAUAUAGCAUUUUAUUAUUGUCAAUCAAAAAAUCGAUAAAAGAAAAUGUCAAUCAGUGAACAUAUGGAAGAAUUAAAACAUUUAAUAAGAACAUUAAUAAAUGAUGUACAAGAAAUAAAGAAUGAAAUAAAAGAAGCAAGAAAUGAUAUAAAUAUAUUAAAACUUGAAGUUAGAAAAUUAAAAGAAAAUGAAGAAAAGAAUAAUAGGAUAGAUAAAAAAAUUUAUAGAAAAAGAAAUAACCAGAAUAUGAAAAAAACAUAUUGAAAGAGAAAAUAUAAUAAUAGAAACAGGAAGCAUGGAUGAUGAGUUUAGAAAAAAUAUAUUACCUAAAAUAUUAGAAGAAAAUGAAUCUAGAGAAAAAAUGUUAAGUAAACAAAAAAUUAAAGAAAAUCAAGAUAAAGAAAAUGAAUGAAGAAUUAGAUCUACUUAUAGAUAAUUUUGAUCAUUUAAGUUUAGAAAGUAUAGAUGAUGAAUACCAAAAUCUGAAUGAAUACUGGAGGAGGGCCUAAUCCCGUAAGAACCUCUAAACAAGAAUUAAUAGAUCCAAAUGAAAGUUAUGCUCUGAUGUAUAAUAAAUCAUAUAGACAAUUUUAUGAUAAGAUAAGAGAUAAACAACUGUCUAAAGGAAAUAAAUAUAGUAAUAGAUUUGAAUUAAAUAAUAAUUAUGAUAAACCUGUUAACCAUGGAGGAACAAAAUUAGACUUAGAUUGUAAAAUAGAUACUAAGAAAGUUUUAAUAACUUGGGCAGACUCAAUGAUAUUAUUCUUUUUAUAUAAUAAAGAUGAUACAUGGAAAAAUACUAAAAGAAGAAUAGAUUUUUUAAUUGCAUCUUUUGAAAGAAAUGUUAGAAAUUGGUGGGAAUGAAUUAGUAGUGAUACAAAAUUAUUAAUAAAAAGAAAUGUACAAACAGAAAUAAUAAAGUCAGAUAAACUAGGAAUAGAAAGAUUAGUAGAAUAUAUUGCAAAUGAAUUCUUAGGAGAAAAUUGGUUAAGAAAUUAUGAAGAAGAAACAAUACGAGAAAAAGAUAAUGCAAGAGUUAAGUUAAUUAAUUUAACAAUUUGUGAUAUGUGUAAAAUUAAAUAAUAUACUUGUGAAUUCAAGGAUUACUAUUAUAUUCAAUUUUAUAGUAAUGAGAAUCAAGAAAUAUAUCAAGAUAUGUAUUACAAUAAAUUACUAGGAUCAUGGGGAAUAUAUUUUAAAAUAGAAUUUGAAAAAUAUAUUAAAGAAAAUAUAGGAAUACCUAGAACACUAGGAUCAAGAAUAAUAUUCUUAUUUGAAAGACUUGCAUAUAUAUGUCAACAAAGACAAUUAUUGAAAAAAUCAGGAAAAUUAACUAGAAUAUGUUGUGAAGAUAUGGAAAAACCUACAAGAUGGGGAUGUAAUUCUGAAAAAAGAAAUAAAAGAAAGUAUAAAAACAGAAAGUUUAAAAAAUAUAGAAACUUUAAGAAAAAAUACAUAAAACCUGGAAGGAAAUAUUAUUAAAAAAAAUAAUAUACAGAGAAAUAAACCUUAUAAGAAAAAUAAAAAAAACAAUGUAAGUGUUGGAAUUGUGGAGAAAUGGGUCAUAUAAGUCCUGAUUGCGCACAAAAAAAGUGAGAAUAUUACAAAAGGAUUAUUUUGAAAUAGAAAGUGAAUUAAGUAAAAUAUAUGAUAUUAACAUUAUAAUAAUCAGGAAAUAUUUAUAAGUGAAGCAGAUUCAGAAGAUAAUGGAUCAGAAUCUGAAUAGAGAAAUUGAAGAAAUAGAAAAUAAUAACAUAGAAAUCCAAGAAUAUGAGGGAAUGGAAAGUUAUGGAUUAAAAAUAACUUUUGACAAUAAUAAAUUUAAGAAAAUACAAAAGUUAUCCUUAGAUUUGAAAAUAGGAAAAUGGGAAAUUCUAGAUAGAAUAUGGAGAAGAGAAAUAAUAGCAAUAAAUGAAUACCAUAAGAUUGAAAAAACUAUAGAUGUCAAAACAACUCAAAGAACACAUAAAAUAAACAUUUUAACAAAAAGUACAGUAUCAGAAUUAUUAUCAAAAAUAAGUAAAAAAUAUAGUGAAAAGAUCCAAUAUGUUUAUUUAGCAGGAAUAUAAAUAAUGUUUAAAUCUUUAUUUAGGGAAGGAAUAGAUUCACCAUUAAUUGUAAGUUUACAUGAUGGAAGAAUUAUAAAUUUUGAAGAUGGUCAUUUAAGAACUAUAGAAGGAAAUUUAGCAUAUCAAAAGUUAAUAUUUACUUGUUCCCCAAAAUAUUGUGUCUCAUUGAAAGAUAAAAACUUUAAUGAAGUCUUAGGAUUACAUUUCAAAUUACAUAGAAAUGAUAUAAUGGAAUCAAGAGAUCAAAUUAUGAUUAUGGAAUAUAGAGCAUUAUAUACAUUUACUAAUUCUAAUUAUGGGAAUAUUUAUUCCAAUAAACCAUACAUAGAAAUUCAUAAGGAAUGCAAUGAUAUUGGUAGAAUAGUGAAACCAAACAAACAAAUAAAUCUUAUUCCAAAAGAAUAUGAAUUUAAUAUAACUAAAAAUAAGCCUGAAAUAACAGAGUUAAGAGAAGAAGAAGAUUAUAAAAUAAUAUUUCACAAUGGAAGGUUGAUAAAGAAAUCAAAAAGCCUUAAGACUACCGAAUAAAAAAGAAUAUUUGGGAGAAACUAGUGGUAUAAAAGAAAUAAAAUCUCAUGGAAAUAUUGGAAAUAUGAAAAUAGAAGGAAAAUAUUUCAACGGUAGAAGGUAUAUAAAAGGACCAAAUAUAUUGAUAAAUACAGGAGCUGGUGAAUGUUAUAUGGCUGCAAGUAAAAAUGAAGGAUUAAUGACUUACAAGAUAGAACCAUAUGAAUAUAGGAAUUUUGAUGAACAACUAUAUAUUACAGAAUUAAAGGUAAAGGUACCAAUAAAAAUAGGCGGGAUUGAUUUAUUAGUACCAUGUUAUUUGGUUGAAAGUAUGGAUAUUGAACCUCAUAUAUUAUUAGGAAUGAGUUUCUUAAAUGGAUUAGAAGAUUAUAGUAUAAAAAGAGAAGGCUUAGAUAUAACUCAUAAAGGACAAACUACAUUAUGUAAAAUAGGAAGUAGAUGAGUAAUCAAAUAAGUUUUCCAUUGGCAGUAUAUAUACAAGUUACUAUAGUAGAAACAAACAUAACAACUUGUGCCUUAAUUGAUAUAGGAAGUGAUAUAACAAUUUUCAAAAAUUUCUUAAUAAAAUCAUGGAAUAAAAAUAGUAAAAUAAAAAUAACAGGAGUGACUGGAGAAAGUACUCAAAUAAUUGAUAGUGCUAAAAAAAUUAAUAUAAUACUUGGUAUUAAACAAGUUAUAAUAAAUAAAGUAUACAAUUAUAAUAACCUAGAAUGUGAUAUAUUAUUAGGAAAUGACUUUAUCCAACAAUUUCAAUACUAUAAACAAAAUAAUUACAUGAUAAUGUUACAAAUACCUUGUGACAUCUAUUAAAAAUAUCAAGAGAAUUUAGAUCCUAGAGAGUUCAGCCAGCCCAGCGUGGUGAUAAAUGGGAAAAACGACCAAUAGUACAAGAUGAACUAAAAAAUAAAAAACUAUCAUAUAAAAAGAUCCUAAAAACAGAAAUAGAAAUAAGUAUGGAAAAAAUUAUAGAACAAUUAGAAAAGAUUUAUGGAGAAAACCCAUUAUUAUUUUGGAAACAUAUUAUCCUAAAACUAAAAUAGAAUUAACAGAAAAUGUUAUAAUAAGAGUUAGUCCAAUGAUGUAUACCUUACAAGAUAUGCAAGAAUUUAAAAUUCAAAUAAAAGAACUAUUAGAACAAAAAUUAAUUAGACCCAGUAAUUGACCUCAUAGUAGUCCAGCUUUUAUGGUUAUAAAACAUUCUGAGCAGAUUAGAGAAAAAGCUAGAAUGGUAAUAAACUAUAAGGAAUUAAAUAAAUAUACUAAAUUUGAUGGUUACUUUUUACCAAAUAAAAAAGUCCUAAUAAAUCUUGCAAAAGGAAAACAAUAUUAUUCCAAUUUGAUUGUAAAUCAGGAUUUUGGCAAAUAAAAAUGGAAGAAGAUAGUAUAUAAUAUACAGCUUUUAGUACACAUCAAGGAAAAUAUGAAUGAUUAGUUAUGAAAUUUGGUUUAAAAAAUGCACCACAAAUAUUUCAAAGGAAAAUGGAUAAUAUAUUCAAAAAGUUUAGUGAUUUUCUUAUUGUUUAUAUAGAUGAUAUACUAAUAUGCUCUAAUAAUAAAAAAGAACAUAGGAAUCAUUUAUUACAAUUCAUAAAUGAAUGCAAAAAGGAAGGAAUUGUACUUUCUAAAAAGAAAUCUAUAAUCAAGAAUAAGAAAUAGAUUUUAUGGGAUUAUCAAUAGAUAGAAAAAGAAUAAAAUGACAUACUCAUAUAUCUAAAAAGAUAGAAAGCUUUCCAAAUGAAUUAAAAUCCAAAGAAUAAAUAAAAAAAUUUUUAGGAUGUUUAAACUAUGCUAAAGGAUUUAUUGAAAAUCUCUCAAAAAAGAGACAUAAGAUACAAAUUCUACUUAGGAAAACAAAUACUAAAGGUAACAAAGAACAUACUGAAAUUGUUAAAUCAUUAAAAGAAGAAUGUAAAAAUUUAUCAAAAUUAAGGUUACCAGAUGAAAAAGAUAAUCUAAUUGUUAAUACUGAUGCCUCAGAUAAAUAUUGGGCAGUUAUAUUAAAAACAGAUUUAAAUGAAAUAUGCAGAUAUUCAAGUGGAACUUUUAACCAAGCAGAAAUAAAUUAUACUACUCAUGAAAAAGAAUUGUUAACAAUUAUUAGAGGAAUAAAAAAGUUUUCAUUAUUCCUUUUAUCUAAAAAAUUUAUUGUUGAAACUGAUAAUUCUCAUGUUGUAGGACUUAUUAGAAAUAAGUUACCUAUGGAAUCUCAAUAUAAAAGGUUACACAGAUGGCAAGCAUAUUUAUCAUUCUACAAUUUUGAUAUUAUUCAUAUUAAAGGAAUAAAUAACUAUCUUGCAGAUUUUUUGAGCAGGAAUAUCGAAUUUGGAGAUGGAUAAUAUCAAAAAUUUAUUAAUAGACGUCAACAGACGAAUGAAAUUCCUCAUGGAAGAAUCAGAAGAUAUGAAAAUUGGAAUUGAGCAAUUAGAGCAAAUGGCAGAAUCUAUCCAACAAAAUGUCAAAUUGUUGGUGGAAAUCUCUAAUUCUCAUUCCAAAUAUACCAAAGAAUUGAAUGACAGAAUUGUUGAUAUUACUUCACAAUUCGAGUCAUUAAAUACCAAACAAGAAAUACCAAUUGAUACAAUCUAAAAAAUACAAACAGGUACGCAGCAAGGAAGCAGCAAUAGACCCAGCAAUAUCAAACGAGAUAUAGCAAGUCCCCGGAAGGUAACUAUAAAAAAUGGUGAUGAGCAUAUAAGAGUUAUCAGAAUCAAAACUGAUGAAGAUGAUGAUACCCCUUUAUCAUCAAAAGAAGAAGAAUAUAGAUCAUUUGCCAAACUUGUUCAUGAAUUGGAAGAAAAUGAAUCAUAUUUUAUUGCAUCAGGAGAUCAUGUUUAUCCCAGAUUAAUAAUUAUCAAAGAUGCAGACCCUUUCAUGGUCAAAAUGGCGACAGAUUAUGAAUUUCUUGAUUUGAUCUAUCCAGUAAAAGAUUUAAAAGAAAUUGAAAAAUUUGAUGAUAUAUUCAGGGCAGAGGUUUCAAAAUUUGUCCAAGGGAGAUCGAUUUAUAUCAAAUUUUAUUCAAUAAGUCCCGAGGUUGAUGGAAGGAUAUAUUAUCCUGCUGAACAUAUUAUCACAAUUGGAUAUGUUGGCCGAGAUUUUCGUAUUGAAGUUGGCCGAAAUAAUAAACUAUUGCCUAAAAUCAAUAAAUCAUGGAUAAAAUCCCAAAGAGUUUUGGGGAUGAAAGUUCUUUAUAACAUUGCAAAAAACUUAUAUGAUAAAAAAUUCAGAUGCUUGUGUCAAUAUGAAGGAUGGACACUCCUUACGAAUAAUGGAAAAGAAAAAUCUACUAUUUUGAAAGAAUAUAUCUAGAAAUUUGAUACUCAUCAAAUGAAUGGAAGUUCUACAACAAUCCAAGAAUCAUGUAGAUUGAGGGAGUGCCCCACACGCAGACAAGAUUAAAAAGAUUGACAAAAGAUGAAUGGAAGGGGACCUACCACUACCAAAGCAUCUAGCCAGCUGCAUAUGGAGCCAAAGAUGGAGAGACAAUAAUAGAGGAAAAGAUGUCCCUUUGAUGAAAAAGCAAAAAAUGCAUGUGAAAAUGUAGACCCCAGGAGGAAAAGAAUAGAGAGGCAUGCGAGCCUUUUCAAAUUCUGAUGUAUGCAAUGAUGUAAUAGACCAAUAAUAGCAAGUUUGAGUCAUGUAUAAAUAGAGGUCUUUGGGGAAAGAAUGGAUCAUCUCGAAUUAGAAACCAUUCUCUUUCCUUAAACUUUCUUUAAAACCAAUUUUUCUGGAAACCCCUUGUAUACAAUAGAAAUCUUGUAUAAAUCAUUAUAGAAAUAAAAUCUCAAUCUUUUGAUAUCAGAAAAAUAUGAGUUUUUAAACUUCAUAUCCCAUAGAUUCUUGACAGAUUGAAGAAGAUAAUCUCUUUCUUACUUUAACAAAGGGGGAAUUUUCUUUACUUAAAAUCCUUAUUCUUAAUUCUAAGAAAAGAUACAGUGAGGGUAGGAAGCUGAAAUAGCAGAAUUUCCAUUAAGGCAAAAGACCGUUUGAGGGAGCAGUUUGCAGAUUCAGAGCCUGAAAGUCACUCAGUUCUAAGAAUACAAAUUUAAGAUCAUAAGUAAGGUAAAAUUAUUGUCUUUGUUAAAUUUAGAAAGAAUUCUUCUAAUAUCUUGAAAGAAUCGUAGGGAUUAUUACUUUUCAUGUUUGCAAAAAAUUUAUCUAUCAUGUUAUUAUUCAUAAAGCUUGUAAGGAAUUAUCUAAAUGAUACCAGGCUAUACAAUUAAAGGAUUAGAUAAUCUGUUAGAAAGACUGUUAGAAAAAAUAAAAAAUAUUUUUUCUCAACUAGAGACUAUGGAUAUAUCAUAUAAGGAAUAUGAUAAUCUUAAAGAAUUAUAUGACAAUUAUAUUACAGAUUAUACUAAUUUAUUAGAUCAAAAGAUGGAACUAUAUAUUAAAAUUCGAAACGAGAGAAAUAGAAGAAUUUUGGAACUAUUCCAAUAAAUUAGGAUAUUUUGUGCAAAAUAUGGCAAGCCAUUUCAUUAAGGGUAUUAUAGACAUUUUGGCAAAAAUGAAUAACGAUAGGCCAUUUAGAAAAAUUCCUCGACGGCGAGAGUAGAGGAAGAAGAGAUAUUAUAUUUGUCUUAAGAGAUUAGGGCUUCCACUUCCCCUUUCCUCUUGUUUUCAAAUUUCUACUUUUGAUUUGUACUUUUUUUUUAAUCUAAUUGACAAAUUAAUUAUAAGUAUGUUUAUAGAUAGUGUGUAGAAUAAUUUAAUUUAUAAUUUGUAAUUAGUUAAAAUUUGUAUGUUUUAUUCGAAAGAAUCAUUCUAUUAACUUUUAGGGUCAGUUUCAUUGUAAAGAUGAAAUUUGGAUGGAAAGAAAAUGAAUUUCAGGAAAUUGAAUUGUCUAGAAAUUAUUUUAUUGGGAAUUAUCAAUUAUUGUGUUUGAUUGAUAUAAUUUUUUAUGUGAAAAAUGUUAAAAUAAAAGUAUUUUUUGAUGUUCGUUUGACAUUAUUUUACAUAAAAAUUGUCAAUUAAAGGGAUAAAAUUUAUUGGUAUUGGUGAUAGAAUUUGUUCCUCUUGCCCAAAAAAAAAAAAAAAAAAAAAAGGGGCAAAAAAAAAAAUUAUUUUUUGGGGUNNNNNNNNNNNNNNNNNNNNNNNNNNNNNNUCAUCUAUCUUUUGGUGUUCAUUUGCUUUUGUUUUAUAUGGAAAUUAUCAAUUAAAGAAAAAUAUUUUUUUACAAUUAAUGAUAGAAUUUGUUUUCAAUGCCAAAAAAAUAAAAAAUAAAAAAUAAAAAUUGGCAACUUACCUAGAAAACCAAUUCCCCCCAUUCCUUGAAAACUAAGAAAAGUCCACUUUUCAAAAAAAACCAAGCAAAUGAAUUACAUGGAAAAUAUUUGCUAUCAAACACUAUCAAAAGGUGGAAAAUAGACAAAAUUUUCCAUUUUCCAUGGAAAAGAUGCCCAAUCAAACAAGGCCUUAAUAUAUUUUUCCAACAGAAAUUGUGCAGUUUUAGUUCGAAAAAUUUUAAUAUAGUUUCAGUAUAUUAUUUUCAUAUUACCGAUAGAAUUUUAUCAUUAAAAAUUCUUAAUUUAUUUUUUAGGAUUUUGGUUUUUUUUUAAAUUAAAAAUUAAAAAUAAUCUUUAAUUAAUAGGUAGGAUUGAUUGAAAUUAAACGUAUGCUGAAUUUUUAUUUUUAUUUUUGUUCUUUUUUACAACAAGCAAUAAAUAUAGCAAAUCCUUGUUGCAAAACACACUUUCUCUCAACAUUUAAUGAUUGUUGCAAAAUGUUAUAUAGUAAGAAUUUCAACAAUAUGUACUGAGCAUUGCUAUAGAAUAAAAUUUUAAACAGUUCAAUGAACAUUGCUAAAGGAAAAAAAAAAAGAGAAGAAUUAAAACUUUUGCAACAUAAAAAUAAAUAAAUUAAAACUUUUGCAACAUUCAAAGAACGUUACAAAAAGCUAUAUAUCAAGAGUUUCAAAAACGUUUAUUGAACGUUGCUAUAGAACUUUAUUUUUACAACAUUCAUUAAACAUUGCGAAAAAUAAAACUUCUUACAACAUUCAAGAAACGUUGAAAAUGGUAAUAUUGACAACAUGCAAUUAAAAAAAAAUAUAUUGCCAAUGCUUAAAAUUAAAUUAAACAAUGGCAACAUUUUUUACUUUUUAAAAUGUUGCAAUAAACCCAUUUAGCAGCAUACAAUUCACGAAUGUUGCCUUUUGAGUAUUGCAAAAGGCUAUUUUAAUUGUAGUGAAAAUUCGUGAUAUGUAUAUAAAAAUUCAUAUGUCAUUAAAUUAAUUUCGGUACACGUGAUAAAUGAUCAUACUUAAAAAAAUUAUUACCUUCACUAAACUUUGAAAAAUUAAGCUUUCGGACUGAUAACGUAUUAUGAAAAGAGAUAGAAAGAGCAGGGAGAAUAAAAGUCAAUAGACUUGUAUGUAUUAUAAUAAGAACUAGAGUCAUGUAUUCAUAAAGAAGGAUUAUGGAUACAAUGAUAAUAAAUUCUAGAUUUACAGAGGUACAAUUGUCAUUCACAAAUAAAACUUACCAUUUACAACAAAAUGGUUUUUUUUUCCUUCAAUUUGCUCCUAAAAAGGUUUUUAUUGAUAGCAACAAGGUAAGUCGGACGUUCUCUUUUUGAAUUUUAAGAGGCGCGUAGGACAUUUUGAUCUUCAUUUUUCGUCCCAUUUAUUUAUGUAUUUACUUAUUUAUAUAUUAGUAUGUGUUUAAAUUUAAAUUUUAUUCAAAAAAAAUAAAAAAAAAAUAUGAAUCAUGGAUGGGUUUGUGAUAGCGAUCAUGUUUCCUAACCCCAUCCCUAAUAAGGAUUAUAGAAUUCCUGACCUUCAAUUCACGUGGCGCUUUCCGUCCCACGUUGUCCUACCUUGAAUAGUAAACGAGGCGGGAUGCAGAACCUAUAGUCCCUAGUUUCGAAUUUUUAGUACUAGCUCUGAAUCAUUUUUCAUUAUUAUAUUUUAUUUUAUUGUUAUGUUCUUCAUUUAAAUCAUAUUUAAAAAAAUUUAAUUAAAUAAAUAAAAUGAUGAAUGAUGGUUUUUUAUGUCUCAACCUACCCUACAUUCUGAAAAAUUGGAACGAAACAAGAAUGAUAUGAUGGCUACUAUCCAUUGUCAUCCUUAAUUUCACAUUUCUUGUUGGGCGCAGUAACUUGAGGCUGGAGUUUUGUUAAAGAUUCCUCAAAUAAUUUAGCAAAAAAUAAAAACAAUGAAAAAUAAAUCCACUUUAAAAUAGGGUCAUCUCUAAAAGAUAAAUGUAUUAUCGAUUGAUUCCCAUUUUUCAGUUGAAACUCAUCUCUGCAGGAAGGCUAUGAUCCAAUCCAACCUUAAAAUUUCUCAAAUUCUUUUAAAAAAAACUUUUUUCACCGCAUUUUUAACUCUACAAUUAAAGUGGAAUAUAUUUCAAAUGACAGAAUGAAACUUAAUUGAAGGAACUCGUUUUAACAAUAUUUGCAGUGAACCAUAAAUUUGAUCAUGGGCCACAAUUGCAUGACUAUUUGUUUGAACUCAUGAAGUUCGUUCUAUAAAUCAUGAUAAAGAAUUCAUCUAGCGACAAAGGCAUGCUUUGGAUCAACGAAGCUUCUUUCUUAGCUAAGAGUCUAUAGCAUUUGUUUUUCAAUAAAAAGUGUGUACAAUUUGAUCAACUCGUCAAUAAAUAUUCCAUACAAGUCUUCAAUUCGACGUAUACGCCUUUUAAAAUUGUAUUUAGUCAUAAUUUUAUGUUCCAAGCAAAUAAUUUUAUGAUUUAUUCUUCUCAAUAUUAGGAUUUGGGGUCAACAUUGUUAAGAAGGACAGCUCAAACUUUUAUAAGUUGGUCUAUGUUUUCAUCUUUUUUCGAUAUGAAAUUUUAUCCCUUGACAAUCAAGUUAUUAGUAAGUUCUGGAUCCGUAAAAUGAAACCUUAGCAUGUCAUUAAGAAAUCCAUUCGUUAAUAGGAUUCAAUUAAGCUACUGUUGCCAAUUACGAGUUGAUACAUGGUUAAAUGACAUUCAAACACUUGAUAUACUUGAUAACUUGUUAAACUGUUGAUAUAGGUUGCAGUUUGAGAGUUCUGAAGUAGUAGAACGAUAUAAUGACCACUUUUCGAGUAUUAUUGACAUUAAUAUUUUUCUUAACUUCCAAUGAAUUUAAAUGAAUAAAUCUAGAGAUCAUAGUAAAUAUGAGGCUUAAGGAGAAUUUGCAAUGAUUUCAGCUACGUUUGAAAAGUCAAUAGGGUCAAAUUCAUCAAUGACAACCCAACUUUAUUUAAAUAAAUUCACAUAUUCGACGUUAAUUUUAAUAUUUAAAUAAAGUGAUCAUUUGACAUCUUACUAGUGCUACCAAAGAACGUGUGAACCAUAAUAUUAAACACAUCUGAUUUGUUUAUUGUACAAUGUAAAUGGAUAUAAAGACUUCAAGGGGCAUCGCAUAACAUAUUCAAAGUUUCCAAAUAAAUAAAGUCAUCAUGUCCUCAACUCGUCAAAAAGUUAAUACCUUUAAGGUAUCUGCCAAAGAAAGGCAUGAAAAUUGACACCCCCACUAUCUAUAUACACCAUUUGACACUUACCUUAACGAUUAAGAAUAUGUCUAAUCAUCAUUUACUAAAACUCAUAAAUAUGUUUGUGAGUUUCAAAUUUUAUUUUCAAUCAUACAUUUCAUUGAAUUCACAACUUUUUAUCCUCUUUUCUAUCAAGCCUGACCAAAGCCACUUAGGUAACAGCCCAAGGCCUUGGAUAUUCGAUGGAGAAUAAAUCUCCCUGUCCCGGGUUGGGGACAUGGAGGAAGGGUUGGGGACAGGGAGGAAGACAUGCGGCGCCCCUGUCCCUAACCCUGUCCCCAACUCGGGACAGGGAGCAGGGCUCUUCGAGGGACCUCAAAAAUAAACAAUUUGUUCUCUGGUUCUUGCAGAAAGUGGAAAUAUAUCUUGUUAUUGCACAAUGCAUAUUAGUGCAUGACAAGAAUGACGUGUAUGAUUUGCCAAAGAAAUGAAGGUACUUUCCUUGGUUUCCUCCUUCUGCUUUAUUUCCAGUCGUCAUCCAUUUACCAAUAUGAGUUGAUUUCCUUUCCUAGAAAAUAUGCUCAUGCCAAUUUCCUAAAUUUGUGGAUUUAAUUGAAACCCAAAAAAGUUUGACCAUAUUUUCUUACCUUCAUUUCAAUCCAUGAGAAUCUUUGUCAAAUCUUUAAUUUGUGGAAUCACACACAUUGAAAGAACAUUUUAGUCCAACCUAUCUUUUCCGUUCAAUCUCAUCUUUGCAUUGACAUACAUUAUGUGUUGGUUGGACAAUACUGGAGAUUAUAAAAUAAAAUAUUAGACAGCAUUAAAGAAUAAACAACUAUCACAAAUUCACGGCAUAUUUAAAAGAUGCUGCCAAAGAAAUCCAUUUUAAGGAGCUUUUAAUCACUUCCAAACAAGCUUUUAGCUCUGAACAUUUUUCAUUAGCUCGAUUUAUAGUACUAAUUAAACAAUAAAAAGACGUUAAAAUUUUUUCCAUAGUAAUCUACAUUUUUGUCCAGCACUAAGCAUGGCUCCUAAAUAUGAUAGUAAACAUGUGGGCCUUUCCUGUUUAAUAGGAAUCCUCAUCUGAGUAUGUUUCCUCAAGGAUCAAUAGACAAUAGCUAGUUUUUUUUUCACAUUUUACUCAAACUCGUGUAUUUCAUGUUGAACUGCCUCAUAUAGAAAUUCCGAGAGAUUAAGUUAUGAGAAAAAAGUUAUGUUUAAGGGCGAUGUAUUUACUAAUAUCAUACCAGAGGGCCUCAUCAUAAUUAUUUGCUAGCCUUGAGAACCUGACCCCAAUAGCCCCUUUUCUACGAACCACCUUGGUGAGCCUUUCUUCGUCAACGAAUCUAGUUCACAGAUUCGCCUCAUUUUCUCCAUCAACAAGCCUAGUUUGCAGCUUUGCCUCACCAAGUGACUCCAACGAGGUACAUCAACGAGCCUGGAAGUUGUUACUAUGUAGAUGAAUAUGUGGAUCCCUAGAUUCUGACAUUUGCUCAGCAUCUUAGCACUUUGAGGAUGACAGUAUUCAAGCAGCCCAGUUUCACACCUAACAACUUGUUAAGCAAGAGGAAACCUCUUUCAAUGUGGAUGAGGAAUUUAAUUCAGCAACAUAGGUGGUGUACUCUAAGCUGCCUGCAAGGAGCCACGAUCUGAAUUUCUAGAGAGCAUGUUGAAACCAAUACUGAUCUCGGCAAGUUUUAAUAAAUAUUUUGGGUUUCCUUCCGACUCCCAUGACCAGUCCCUCCAUUGUGGCACAAUUCUGGUGCCUGUCCCGCACCAAGAGUGCCUCAACAGCCGAAGCUGGAGGUGAGGGUGCGUUGGAGCUGCCUCGACAAUAGUUGCUAGAGGCUGGAGGUUGCGGUGUACCCAGAAGCCUCAAAAGUCAUAGUUGGAGGUUGAAUUUUGGUUUAGACAAUUUAUCUAACAUCUCAUGGACGAAGUAGCACUGAGAUUUUAUGAGAACAAACAAAGGCUGCCUCUAAUUCCGUGCUCAACAUAAUAUCCCAAUUAUGCUCGUUUUAGAAUAUCUGCGUAGUGCGUCCUACGUAGGCGAAAGACAAGGAAGAGACAGUAUUCAUAACGAUGGAGAGGUGCCCCCUGGUUCAAUGCGAGGCUUAAUUGAAUAUCUCCAGUAUUUGAGAAGAAUCUAAAAGACUUUCAUACAGCAGGAGGCGGCCCAAGGCUCUUACCACCAAUGCAGGAAGAUUUGCAGCCAUCGGAAGCGACUACCACUGCGCCUGCCUCUACGGCAUUCAUCGGAUGCUACGGGAGCCUUGGUGGCGGUGAGAGCACUGGGGCCAGAUCUUGACCAAUGGGGAUCGAGAUCGAGUGGCACAUAGGUCGCAAUGCUGCUGCGACUACGAGAUGUCGUAGCUGGACUAUUUUAACGACAAUGGCUUGAGGCUUACGCCGUGGAGAUGCAGUCCACGAACUGCUGCUUAGGCUUGAAGACUUUGAAAACGGGAAAAUGAAAGUGAAAGUUCUAUAACUUUUAAGUUUUUAUUUUUCAUUUAGGGGGUGUUUGAGAGUCAUUUGUAUGUAAAAAUGUAUUUUAGAAUAGUAAUUUGAUGGGAAAUGUAUAGUUGAAAAAUAAGGAAAAAAUUUUGAUUUACGUGUUAUAUUAUUUUAAUAAAGAAUGUGUAAUUGAAAAGAAGAGAGAAAAAAUACAUUUUAGAAAAAAAUGGGUACCAAAUGGGGGCUUAAUUUCCCUUAUUCUGGCCAAGGGCUCAAUUUGUAAAUUGAAAAGUAAAGAGCCAUUGGACACAUUAUUAAUUUAGUGGGUUAGCGACGAAAUUAUGCCAUUCUAUAUUUUAUUAAAUAGCGUAUAACAACGUAUUUUUUCAUUAUAUUUCAAAUAAAUAAAUAAAUAAGUACGAAAAAUAUAUUUCCCUAAUUUCAAAGUAGAGAAACAAAAUUUUUUGACGUAAAAUAUUAUCAAGGACGAAAUGUAUUAAUUAGGGCUUGUUUGAGCCACAUUAUUUUCAAAAAAAUACAUUAUUUAAUAGUGAUUUGACAUCAUUUCAACCAUAAAUUUUUCAAUAAAAUAAUAUUACACGUAAAUUUAAAACUUUUCAUUAUUUUUUAACCAUACAUUUUUCAUCGAUUUGACAUGAAUAAUGCAUUUUUCCUAGAAUGUGGCUCAAAUAUGGGCUUAAUUAAAAAGUCGAAUAUAAGAGUUUGACGAAAAAAAUUGCAAUAAUAAGCAAAAAUUAAGAACCUUAACUAUAAUUAAAAUGUAGUGUAGCUAAUAAAAAUUGCAAUACCAAUAUUACCGUCCUAAAAUAAAACUUGGCAUCCCUUAGUAGAGACAGAAAAAAAUGAACAAACCACUCGAAAGGGUUCUUUCAUCCUAUCCGAAACUUUAAGAUAUGUUUUUUUAUAUGCUAGCAGAAAUAUAAUACAAAAGAGGCAAAUAAUAGAAAUUUACUACUUUAAAACAUAAUUGUUCUUUCCAAGUACCUAUAUUUAAUUAUCCGCAAAGGGCCAACUGAUUCAAAGCUCCAAAUUUGCAUAUGGCUUAAAUUUGCUGAAUUUGUUCUAUCUCCUACAAUUCUAAGUCUGCUUCAUCAACAAUGUUUGUUGUUGUUGUUGUCAUAAAUAUGGUAUGAACAGGAAUCAUUGGCAGCACAAGUUGAACACUCAGCUUAAAACUCCUCCACGUGCCAGAGAUAUAAACAGUGCAUAAGAAGAGCAGCAUAAUUAUGGAGUAGGUAUACCAAAAGAUAUCUCGUGGGAAGAAUUAGGGGUGUAAGCGAUCCUAUUUUACCGAUUUUUGACAGAUUUUCAAACCAAACCGGUUUGAAAGAAACCCAAACUUAAACCAAACCAUUUUAAACGGUUUGAAAAAAACUCAAACCUAAACCUAACGGUUUGGUCUGAUUUUAAACAGCCGAUUUCGUCAUAUAUAUUUUUUCCGUCUACUUUUAUAUCAUUAAUUCAUUGAAUUAAAUAUAUAUUUAUAUCUUACUAGUAAUAAAUCUAAGACAAACUAAACCCCUGUUUGAACCAAAUUUCUGGAACAAAAAAAUGAAAAUUUGGAUCAUUAUCCCACAAGUCCAGCCUCCUUUGUUGACCUGUUAUUUCAUGUGUGGGACCCAGCCUCCUCUCCAACGAUCAAUUUUCUUGUUACGAUGAUAUGGAAAAUAUGGCUCAAACGAGACUAAAUAUAUCUACUAUAAAUUUAAAUACCAACUAGAUCAAAGAAAAAUUACAAUAAACUAAAACGUAGUUUUUUUUUUUUUGUUCAUCUUUUUUAGGCUAAUAACGAUAUAAUAAUGUUACAGUACAAGUCUAUUAAAUUAGAUAUAAGGGCCAAAAAAUAUAAUGAUGUUCAAUAAGACCUCUUGAUCAUCAUAUCUGAAUAAAGGAUACUGAUUAGACAAAGAGAAUAACCAACCACAAUAAUAAAGCAAUUGUUUAUAAUAUCUAAACAUAACAAUUACACAAGUUUACGUUUGUUUGAUGUUACGAAACGCAUUUAAUUUCAGAUUCUUACCUUAAUUUGUUCCAAAAAAAAUUAUUGAUCUGAAACUUUAUUCGUAGCAAAUAUUAUCACCGAAUGUUUAGGAUCUCUUUGUCUCGGAUUUGGUAUAAUAGAUUACUAUUCAACUUUGAAGAGGCGUGAAAAAUCUAAAAAAGAAGUGUGUGGUGCCGAUGGCUCAAGACUGUGUUGGAUGUCGGCUGGGAGUUCAUUUAAAUUUUGAAGAGGAAAAUGACUUUUGAUAAAUUAUGUUAGUCUUGAGAUUAUUAUAUAUAUAUAUAUUAGGAUUAUUGGAUGAUAAUAAUAAUAAUAUAUCUGUAUUAGAAAAUUAGAAAUUGACUAAAAUACCCACAAAUGACAAAACUAUUAAAUUUUACAUAUUUGGAUGAAUUUCCAAAAAAAUUCAUUUCUUCAUUUUUUUUAUUUUUAUAUAUUUUUUCGCCGGUCCGAUUUGGUUUUAAACCGCAAUUAAAAUUCUCAAACCUAAACCAAACCAUUUUGACCGGUUUGGUUUGGGUCAAAACCAUUUCGUUGAUCGGGUUCACGUGGCACCAAACCGACGGUUUAUAAAAUGCGAUUUCGAUUCAAUUUUUCGAUUUGUCGAUUUUUGCUUACAGCCUAAGAAGAAUAGUGAGGCCAAGAAACAAACCAAUAGGGAAAGAGUAAUUCUUGACUUGAAUGCGUAUGUAUCCCCUAUCAACUUGAGGUGUCAAUGAGAUUUCAUGGAAACAUCCACUAGUGUGAAAAUGAAAACAGUUUCAGAAAAAAAUGGAUGUUUCCAUGAAACUUCCAAUUUUCUUAUAUAUAGGGAUAUAUCAUGCUGCUCAAUGCAAGCAUCAUUAAUGAAAACAGUUUCAGAAAAAAAUGGAUGUUUCCAUGAAACUUCCAAUUUUCUUAUAUAUAGGGAUAUAUCAUGCUGCUCAAAGCAAGUAUCAUCUUCAUAUUCAAUUCAUCACUUCUCCUUAAUUUCUCUCUCUAACCAAAAUCCAAGCAUUCUGCAAUCUAUCCAACCAAAAACCAAGAAUUCUUCAAUUCAUCACUUCUCCUUAAUUUCUCUCUCUAACCAAAACCCCAAGAAUUCUGGAAUUCAUCACUCUCUCAAACCAAAAACCAAGAAUUCUGCAAUUCAUUACCUCUCCUUAAUUUCUCUUUCUUAACAAUCUUUCAGGUAAGAAUAAUGUCAUACUUUGAUCUAAGACACGCUACCCCAUUAGUUGUAAACAUACUGAAAUCAUCUAUAGCCAUGCCUUGGGAAUGGGAUCCAUUUGGUAUAGUAAUUGAAAACUUCACAUGGGUCAAGUUUUGGCUUCUCACUAGCUUUUUUCUUUCUCUUCUCCUUCAUCUCCAUUGAAAUCCCAUUGGCAUCUCAAGUUGAUAUGGGAUGCAUACGCAUUCAAGUCAAGAACUACUCAGUUUCCCUAUUGGUUUGUUUCUUGGCCUCACUAUUCUUCCCACAAGAUGUCUUUUGGUAUAUCUACCCCAUAAUUAUGCUGCUCUCUUUAUGCACUACUUGUAUCUCUAGAAUAUGGAGGAGUUUUAAGCAAAAUGUUCAACUUCUGCUGCCAACAAUUCCUGUUCUUAACAUAUAUAUGACCACAACAAUAAAUAUUGAUGAGGAACCCGACUUAGAAUCGCAUGAGAUUGAACAAAUUCAGCAAGUUUAGGCCAAAUGCAAAUUUGAAGCUUUGAAUCAGUAAUUAACUAUAGUUAUAUGGAAAGAACUAUAAUGUUUUGAAGUUGUAAAUUUUUGUUAUUUGCCUCUUUUGUAUUACAUUUCUGUUAGCCUAUAGCGAAUAUAAUUAGAGCAAAAAAACGUGUUUUAGAUUUUCAGAUUUUUUUUAAUUAUUUUUUUGCCUCUAUCAAGGGAUGUCAAUUUAUAUUGGUACUAUAAUUUUGAUUAGUUGCACUACAUUUUAAUUGUAGUUCUCGUUAUAGCAAUCAUUUUCUUAAUUUUUUUCAUCAAAUUUUUAUCUUCAACUUUUCAUUAAUUAAUACAUUUUGUCAUUAAUGAUGAUUUACUUCAAAUAUUUUGUUCUAUGCUUUGAGAUGACGAAAAAUAUUUUUAGUACUUAUAUAUUUAUUUAAAAUAUGAUAAAAAAAAAAAGUCAUCGUACGCUAUUUAUUAUAAUAUAGAAUGACAUAUAUACCGGUUUGGAUCAAUAACGUUCACUUCAAUUUUCUACUUUUCAAAGUCUUCUAGCAUGAGCUGGAGAUUUUGCAGUCGACUGCAUCAAGCCUCAGGCCAUAGUCGUUAAAACAGUUCAAUUACGACAGGGCUACAUGCCACUCCAUAAAGAUCUGAACACUGGGCCAAGAUCUGGCACCGGUGCUCCCACCGCCACCGAGGCUCUUGUAGCAGCGGCGUUGCGACCUACACGACACACAAUCUUGAUCCCCCUUGGUCUCGGCGGACCAAGUACGACUCUUCGUGUUAGACUGAACACUGGGCCAAGAUCUAGCACUGGUGCUCCCACCGCCACCGAGGCUCCCGGAGCAGCUGCGUUGGACCUACAUGCCACUCGAUCUCGAUCCUCAUUGGUCUCGACUGACCAACCUGGGCCAAGAUCUGGCGCGGUGCUCCCACCGCCACCGAGGCUCCCGUAGCAGCGACGUUGCGGCCUACAUGCCACUCGAUCUUUAUCCCCCCUGGUCUCGGCAGACCAUGAAAUAAAUUGUAAAUUGGAGUAAUUUAUUGAAGUCAUAUAUUGUCCUUGAGAUGAUUGCUCUUUUUUGGUUGGCUUCAAUUUCUACAGGUUUCCAAUAUUUUUCCCAUUGAGAACGCCAGUUUGUGUGACACCAAAUACUCAUUUGGAGGUCCAUUUUUGGUGUUGUUGUGGUUCUACAAGGUAACUCGCUUAACUGGUGGGUUAGCAUAUUUUGUACGGGAAAAGCUAGGAAACCCAUAUUUGUGGGGUUUCUGUCACCGCCUCCCUGUUUUCCCCAGCUUUUCCAUUCUGUAUAGCAUCUAUUGAUCCUUGAUUGUGUACUGAAAAUGUUAAAAAGUGAUUGAAAAGUGACAAAAAGUUCAAAUUAAAUUUGCCCCUGUUUGAUCCCCAUUUUUAUCCAUAAUGCAUUUUUUCCAUCACAUCAACGUGGGACCAACACGCCAUUUUUUAUUGCAAAUUUGAAUUCAAAAGGCAUAAAAUUUCAACUUUACCCUUUGUAUCAAAACAAUUCAAAAAGUUACCAAAAAUCUGUUGAAAAGUCAAAGGACAGGUAAUGGAAAAGAAAAAGCCAUUUUCUCUGUGCAAGUUACAUAGGCUAUCAGAACAAUAAUUGGCAACGGUCCCAAAAUUAAUUUUUGACCGAAAUUAAUGGCCCCCAAACAGCCCCAGAGACCAAUAAUAAAAUAGAGUUGGUGCUAUUAACUGGUCAGAUAAUCAUCUCCACUUUGGAAUCCUAAAAUAUUAUCUGUUGCAAUGUAUUUGUGAUGUUUAAUUUAAAUAAUAUGAUAAUUAUCUAAAUAAAUUUUUAUGUUGGAUAGCCUCAAGUAAUGGAUAUACUGACAAUUUGUAUACUUGCUGCGGAAAAUGAUUAUUAUUAUUCUCUCACAAGUUUGAUACGAAAGGUGAGUAAUGUCUUCUAUGCACAACUCCAUUGGUCACUCACACUGGGUCGGGGUUAAGGGUUUUCUUGGCAAUGCUGUGGCAAAAGGAUCCAUUGCCAGAUGCGAGCUAGAGCAGAUGACCCAAAAUCUGUUGUAUACUGGUUAAAUUAAGAGUAUAAUUUUGAAUGCAGUUCUGGACAACCACUGAAUAAAGUGAGUAUGCAACUUCCCAUUUACCGGCUUCAUUGUUCAAACUAUAAAGCUUUACUGUCUUUUUUUCUGUUCCAAUUUUCGCUGUUCGUCCAAUUUGUGGAUAGUCUUUUUACUCAUUAUCAUGUUUGCCCUCUCACCAAUGCUGCCCUACUGCAUCACGGUGUAAUGCACUAUCCUUCGUUUCAAACCAUCCUUUUAACUCUACUCGUUGGGAAGAAAUUGAAUAUUGUUGAAGAUUACUUUUGUUUAUUUAUAGUCAAUGUGGCAAUCUCUCUCCGGGAGCCUGGAGGCUCCAUUUUUGUCACGAAGUUUGGAUAUGUUAUAUUAUAAAAUUAGAGAGUAAUUGAGUUUAUAUUAAAUCUUCUCAUAUAUAUAUAUAUAUAUAUAUAUAUAUAUGAGUUCUAUACAAGAUAUCAGACCUAUGAAUCUAUUUUAUUUGUGAUUAUUCACAGAUGGCAGAAGUAUUAGACAUUGGUUACUUGUCGAUAUAUAAAUACAUACCUUAAUAAAUAAGACGGUGCAACGUAAAAGUCGGGACUCAAUUCCUUUCUUUUAUUUCCUCUAAAAAUGUUCCUCUGUGGCACAUCACUACCAAAUCCAUUACAGAAGUGGACUUGCAAGUAUGCCUCCGUUAGCACAUUACUCAUCAAAAUCCGAGUAACAAUCUACUCCAUCAGAGUCAAAAUUAUGGGUCUCAUUCCCAAUCCUCGACUUCAACACAAAGCAUAGAAUAAAGAUAUACUAGGGCUCCCUUUGAGAGGAAUUUUGAGAAUUGAUUUUUUGACCGUUAGAAGAAAAAUGAGGUCCACCUGUGAAAAAAAAAAGUCAAAAAUUACGGUUCGAAUAGUGAAAUAACAAUCAAAAAAUCAAUUUUUUGGAGUAAAAAAUCCUUCCUAAACAGGCUCUAGAUGCCGUUAUAAUGGAAUUUAAUAUAAUAUACCAUUGCAAUGGUAGUUGGGAAACUACAUCACCUUAUCAAAAAAAAAUGAAACAGCAUGUGACCAUUACAAAUUUAAAGGAAACAACGGGUGACUAUUAAAUCACCUUAAAAACAAACUGAAGUUUAAAAGUACCUAAUAACAAAUCUACUAAUUUGAUAAUUCGAAAGAAUAACGAAUCUACGAAUUUCAUAAUUCUAAAGGAAAAAGAGAGAGAGAUACAAAAAAAGAAUAGAUAGAGUCAAGACUCAAGUUUGUAAGUUUGUUGCAGUAAUGGAUACAUAUUUAUAUAGUUUAAAAGGAGAGUUACAAUCUAAAUAAAAUAGACCCUUACAGAGUAAAUAAGAUUUAUCUAAGUAUCUUGAUAAGACUAAAUAGGCAUCAAUAAUUAUCUCAUAGUUUUACAAUAUUCUCUUCACUAAAAACCUAGUUUGACAAAAACUCAGUCGGGUCAAAACUACCAACACAAACAAAAAAAGUGUACAAAAAAUUACAACAAAAUUUGUAGUAAUAAAAUAUUGCCUCAUUAAUACCAUGUCAUGAAAAUCCAAUGAGACAAAACUUGAUUGAAAAAAAAAAAAGAAAAAAAGAGAAAAAAAAAGAGAGAGUAUAUCUACUCCUUUGAUUUCAAUAAAUAAAAAUUCUUGUAUUGAGUCAUCUAUGUCUUGUACGUCAUUAUUUUAAAUAUUUCAAUUCUGGUAAAAUAUGUUUCGUUUUGUCUUGUUAUAGCAUAAAAGUAAUAUUGUCUUCAUAGAAGAUUUUUAUAAAUCUUUGUUUGAUUUUAGACAACAUGAUGGCUUUUGAAAUGGCAAUAAUAAGCAAAAAUUAGACCUUAAUUUUUAUCAAUCUUAGAAACACGAGUCUUGAUUUUUAGACCUUCUUAAUUUGAAAUGGCUUUUAAGAACCGAACCAAGUAUGUUGCAUAAUACAAGGAUGACUUCUGGCUAAGGAUGGAAGGCCAACCAAAAUUAGAUACUUUGACUAAAAAAUUGCAAUAAUAAGCAAAAAUUAAGAACCUUAACUACAAUUAAAAUGUAGUGUAACCAAUAAAAAUUGUAAUACCAAUAUAACCGUCCUAAAAUAAAGCUUGGCAUCCCUUAGUAGAGACAAAAAAUAAAAAUAAAACCACCCGAAAGGGUUCUUUCAUCCUAUCUAAAACUUUAAGACAUGUUUUUUUAGCUCGAAUUACAUGGGCUAUAUGCUAAUACGAAAGAGGCAAAUAAUAGAAAUUUACUACUUUAGAACAUAAUUGUUCUUUCCAAAUACCUAUCUUUAAUUACCGGCAAAGGGCCAACUGAUUCAAAACUCCAGAUUUGCAUUUGGCCUAAAUUUGCUGAAUUUGUUCUAUCUCCUGCAAUUCUAAGUUUGGUUAAUCAUCAAUGUUUGUUGUUGUUGACAUAAAUAUGGUAAGAACAGGAAUUGUUGGUAGCAGAAGCUGAACACUCAGUUUAAAACUCCUCUACAUGCUAGAGAUACAAGCAAUGCAUAAGGAGAGCAACAUAAUUAUGGGGUAGAAAUACCAAAAGAUAUCUUGUACCAGUGAGGCCAAGAAACAAACCAAUAGGGAAACUGAGUAAUUCUUGACUUGAGUGCGUAUGUAACUCAUAUCAACUUGAGGUGUCAAUGAGAUUUCAAUGGAGAUGAAGGAGAAGAAAAAGAAAAAGCUAGUGAGAUGCCAAAACUUGAUCCAAGUGAAAUUUCACAGCACUCUCCCUUUCAGAAUGAAAGGGAAAAGGGACAAUAACAUUUUCUUAUGAAAAGGGAAAAAGGAGAAACAACAUUCUCCCUUUUCGUAUGAAAAGGGAAAAGGGAGAGUAACAUCUAAAGGUAGAAUCAUAGCACUCUCCCUCGCAGGGAUUCUCCUUUUUCAUAUGGUGCCUAGUGGCACCCCUGUUUCAACUGGGCAACCUCAGUCCGAUCCAAAUAAUAUAGCCCCCCCCCCUUUUUAGUUAUCCAAUUUGUGCUUCAAUACCGUAUCUGGCUUGACUUUAAUUAAGACUCAUGUUUCUAAGAUUUUCUCGAUCAAUCAUUCGCUAAGAAAGUUAAUUGGCGGACCAAAAUAAACUUAUAUUCUCAUCAUUCUUUAAUAUCUAUGUUUAAAACAAUAUUUUAUGGGAAUAUUAUAUUAAUACCUUUGAACAAUAUUUUAUUUUUUCUAAAAAAUCGCAAAUUUUUAUUUUGAAUAUUAUAUUAUUGAUCUCGAAAUAUCGUAAUGUUAUACAGUAAUAUUCUUUAACAAUAUUCUGUAGUUAUUCUUGGAUAAUUAUGAAUUUAUACACUUCAAUGUAAAAUAUUGUAUUGAUCUUGAAUUUUAACUAUACUGCAUUUAAAGAAGCAAAAAUUUAUUUAUAUUAAUAUUAAAGAAGAAUAUUGCUUUGAUACUCUAGAAGAGUCAAUAUUGCAUUAUGUGGGAGAAUAAACUUCCUGGAAAUAUGCUCAAUAUCAUUUGAUUGAAUAGUUGACCCACUCCUUGUUGUUUGAAGAAACCCUCCACUUCAAUACUAUUGAUAAUAACUUAGUACUAAAUUAGUAAGAAACCUACCAAGUUUCUAAAAUAUUUGUCAUGAUUGAUACUAUAUCGACAUUGGUAUAUUUGAAAUAAACAUUGCAUUGAACAAGAAGUUCAAUUAUUGAAUAUAUUAUUGCUUGACAUUAUUAUUUGGUUCAUCACUUGAUCAAUAAUAAUGCAAAAUUAAGAAUUCAAAUGAAUAUUCAGAAGAACUAUAAAUUCUUCAAUCUAAUGAAUUCCUAAAUAAUACUUUUUCCAUGUGUUACGAAUUGGUCUUGAUCAUCACUAGAUAAAGUUAGAACUAAAUAUCAAUAAUCUUGAAAUUAAAUAGGGCAUGUUGACCAUCUAGUUAUAAUUGUGUGUGAUAAAUAUAUUUACUAGAUGAUUGCAUUGUGUUUGCACCUGAACUUUGCAAAUUCUUUUAUUAAAUUUUAAAUUAUUAGCUUAAAUUUUAUAUUAUACCAUCAAGACAAUGUAUCAUGUCAAUGUUAGUAAAUCUACAUCCAAAUUAAUAUUUUGAUAAAUGUUGAUUGGGAUGACAAUAAAUUGUUUAACACAAUUGAUUGUUAAAUACCUCCAAUUAAUUUCUUAACUAUUAUUGUUAAAAACAAAGUACUUUCCAUUUAUGUUUAGAUAAUGACACAUUAUGCACCAAGCCAAUGUCAAAGUUAGAGCCUAACUUUUCAUUUAUGGUUAGAACCUAAUAUUUUUCAUCUAAUGAUUUUCUAAUGUGCAAUAUAUAUACCAUAGUGCAAUGGGAUAGUUAUUAAAGAAUGAUGAGAAUUUAAUUUUAUUUUGAACCCUUACAAAAUAUUCUAAACUCUCAAGGUUGAUAUUUUAUAACACAGUUUGCUCACGUCAAUUUAAUUAAAUAAUUCUCUCAAUAUUAAGGGAAGAAAUUGGUAGCUGAAAAUAUUACACAAUGCAUCAUAUUAUGCUGUCUAUAUCCUUGCACUUGAUAAUCUGAAAAAAUAAUUCAAUUGCAAAAUACAUUUCUGGCAUAUAAGAAAUUACUAAAAUCUCAUAUACCAACUAUAGACAUUCAAUGCCGUAUUGUUAUCUUAGAAAGACUAAACUAUUGCAACGCAUAAAUAAUAUGUUGAAACUUUGUGACAUUUGAUUCUUAAAAAAACAAAAAAGAAAAGAGAAAAAAGAAAAAAAGAAAAAAAAAACAAGAAGAAGAAAAGAGGUUUAUCCUAAUUAGGAAGCGUAUAUUCUUGGACGUCUCUCAUUAAAUUAUGUCAUUAUGAAAAAGAAAUAGAAUUGAAAAGAAAAGAAAAAGUUGUCGACAAUACUUUUGUACAUAAUAUACCACUUCAUAUUAUGAAUAGCAAAUAUAUCGAAAUAAAUUUGUUGAGCAUAUUGAUUGAAGAAAUGAUUAGCAAAAUUAAGAAUGCAAUCUUAUUAAAACUGAACUUAUUAGGGAAACCAAAAGCAUUUGGACCUAAAGUUCGAGGACCUAAAUGUAUAUACCCAUGCAAAAAGUAAAUAAGAAAAAUGAAGCGUAAUAUGUAAUGCACGACUUUUCAACAUAAUAAAUUUCGCCAUAGUGAAUGCAAUCACAAGUCAAUAUAUUGUUAUCAUCACGAUGCAUGAAAUUUGAAAUGUGAUUGGCAUCACUAUUAAUGUUAUCCUUGAAGAAUUUAAUAUGACUGAAACAUAUAAUUCAAGUAAUAUUAUUUUGAGGAGGAAUAAAUGUGUUGUACUUUUUUUUUUUUUUUUAAAUCAAGAUUUCGUCUCAUUGAAUUUCAUGAUGAGAUUUCUAAUGAGACAACUUUUUUAGUAUACUUUAAAGAAAAAUGUACUAUUUUUCCUUUAUUGGGAUUUUUUGCACAUGAUUUUUCUAGUAUGGUUUUAACGUGGCAUAUUCUUUGUGUAAUAGAUGUCUAAAACCCACUAGACAUUUACUCUCAAAAUAAUAUUCUUAUAUGUUACAAAUUGCCGAUGACUCUAGAAGAGAGCAAUAACACAAUCUAAUUUUCAUUGGAUCAUCAUGUUGUCUAAAAUCAAACAAAGAUUGAUAAAAAUCUUCUAUGAAAACAAUAUUACUUGUAUGCUUUAACAAGACAAAAUGAAACAUAUUUUACCAGAAUUGAAAUAUUUAAAACAGUGACGUACAAGACAUAGACGGUCGAUACAAGAAUUUUUAUUUAUUUAAAUCAAAGGAGUAGAUGUACACUUUUCUUUGUCAAUCAAGUUUUGUCCCAUUGGAUUUUCAUGACACAAUAUUAAUGAGGAAGUAUUUAUUAAUACAUAGUUUGUUAUAAUUAUUUGUACACUUCUUUCGUUUGUGUUCGUAGUUUUGUCCCACUGAGUUUUUGUCAAAUUAGGUUUUUAAUGAGGAGAAUAUUGUAUACAACUAUGAGAUAAUUAUUGAUGCCGAUUUAGUCUUAUCAAGAUACUUAGAUAAAUCUUAUUUACUUUGUAAGGGUCUAUUUUAUUCAGAUUGUAAUGCUUCUUUUAAACCUUAUAAAUAUGUGUCCAUUAUUGCAACAAACUUACAAACUUAGUCUUGACCCUAUCUAUUCAUUUUUUGUAUCUCUCUCUUUUUCCUUUAGAAUUAUGAAAUUAGUAGAUUUGUUAUCCUUUCAAAUUAUCAAACUAGUAGAUUUGUUAUUAGGUACUUUUAAACUUCAGUUUGUUUUUAAGGUGAUUUAAUAGUAACAUACUGCUUCUUUCUUUAUAAGGUGAUGUAGUUUCCCAACUACCAUUGCAAUGGUAUAUUAUAUUAAAUUCCAUUAUAACGGCAUCUAGUAUAUCUUUAUACUAUGCUUUGUGUUGAAGUCGAGAAUUGGGAAUGAGACCCAUAAUUCUCUCUGUUGGCGUAUUGUCACACGGAUUUUGAUGAGUAAUGUGCUAACGAAGGCAUACUUGCAAGUCCACUCCUGUAACGGAUUUGGUGGUGAUGUGCCAAAAGAGGUACAUUUUCAGAGGAUGUAAAAGAAAGGAAUUUGAGUCUUUCGUGUUGCACCGUCUUAUUUAGCUUCCAUUUCAGCCCCUUCUCAUUUUCUGCCAAUUGCUGAAGUCGUGUGUGCUACCUUGACCGUUGGAAAUACAUUUACAAUUUCACCCUUCUUCUCAACUUGCCGAUUCCUAAUUCAAAACUAUUAUAAGGGCAGUAUUGUAAUUGGUGUUGGCUAUGAUAGUAUUAUUUUAUUGUAAAUUCCACAUCCAAAUGACAAACUGGACGGUUCAAUGAAGUAAUAGACACGUUGAUCUAUCAAUAUCCAAUUGGACGAACGGUGUAAACUAGGAACAGAGAAAAAGACAGUAUAGCUUUAUAGUUUGAACAAUUGAGCUGGUAAAUGGGAAGUUGCAUACUCACUUUAUUCAGUGGUUGUCCAGAACUGCAUUCAAAAUUAUACUCUUAAUUUAACUAGUAUACAACAGAUUUUGGGUCAUCUGCUCCAGCUUGCAUCUGGCAAUGGAUCUUUUUGCCACAGCAUUGCCAAGAAAACCCUUGAGCCCGACCCAAUGUGAGUGAUCAUUGGAGUUGUGCAGAGAAGACGUCGCUCGCCUUUCGUAUCAAACCUGUGAUAAUUAAAUCAUAUGAAAUAAUAUCGGGUGCGACAUAGAGAGUUAAGUAAUUCCCAACCUAUAUUCUCUGUUUCUUGACCAGUAUUUUUCAGCGUAUCCUAGGACCAAAAGGACAUUCCAAAAUUAGAUGGAUCAAAACCACCAACCAAAAAACAAAUCUUGAUUCACUUUGUGCCCAUAGAGAUUAAUGAUAAUCUUCAGCAGCAAGUAUACAAAUUGCCAGUGUAUCCAUUACUUCAACGGAAAUUCUUCCUAAAAGAAGAGGAAGCUCGAUUGUCACAUACCACUAACAACUCACCAUCUUUAUUUAGACUUUCAAUGCCAGGGCAGAGCAUGAAGCAAAAUGGUAAUAACCAUAUACAUAAUGAAGGAAUGAUCCAUGUAAGAAGCCUAUGUACUUAAUAUGCUUCAAGUGUCAGGGUAAAGUAAAAAUAAAAAACUACUAGCGUCUACACCUCAGAAAAGUGUCAUCCUAGUACAACUAACAAUUGAAUAUUCACCAUCCCGAAAGACGUUGAACCGACCAUGCUAAUGAAUUUGCCACUCGCUUAAAUGUCCAUUUACCAGUAUAAUAUAAACAACACUGAAAGUUUAAAUGAGGUACAGGAAUUACCCUGAUGAGCCUGUAUUUUGGCUCGUAUUUCUUUGCACUCUCAACAGAAUCAUAGAUCAAGCCAAAACCAGUGGAAUUGCCUCCACCAAAGUGCGUCCUGAACUUAAAAACAAAUAUGGCAUUUGGAUCUUUCACUUCAUACAUCCUUGCCAAUUUCUNNNNNNNNNNNNNNNNNNNNNNNNNNNNNNNNNNNNNNNNNNNNNNNNNNNNNNNNNNNNNNNNNNNNNNNNNNNNNNNNNNNNNNNNNNNNNNNNNNNNNNNNNNNNNNNNNNNNNNNNNNNNNNNNNNNNNNNNNNNNNNNNNNNNNNNNNNNNNNNNNNNNNNNNNNNNNNNNNNNNNNNNNNNNNNNNNNNNNNNNNNNNNNNNNNNNNNNNNNNNNNNNNNNNNNNNNNNNNNNNNNNNNNNNNNNNNNNNNNNNNNNNNNNNNNNNNNNNNNNNNNNNNNNNNNNNNNNNNNNNNNNNNNNNNNNNNNNNNNNNNNNNNNNNNNNNNNNNNNNNNNNNNNNNNNNNNNNNNNNNNNNNNNNNNNNNNNNNNNNNNNNNNNNNNNNNNNNNNNNNNNNNNNNNNNNNNNNNNNNNNNNNNNNNNNNNNNNNNNNNNNNNNNNNNNNNNNNNNNNNNNNNNNNNNNNNNNNNNNNNNNNNNNNNNNNNNNNNNNNNNNNNNNNNNNNNNNNNNNNNNNNNNNNNNNNNNNNNNNNNNNNNNNNNNNNNNNNNNNNNNNNNNNNNNNNNNNNNNNNNNNNNNNNNNNNNNNNNNNNNNNNNNNNNNNNNNNNNNNNNNNNNNNNNNNNNNNNNNNNNNNNNNNNNNNNNNNNNNNNNNNNNNNNNNNNNNNNNNNNNNNNNNNNNNNNNNNNNNNNNNNNNNNNNNNNNNNNNNNNNNNNNNNNNNNNNNNNNNNNNNNNNNNNNNNNNNNNNNNNNNNNNNNNNNNNNNNNNNNNNNNNNNNNNNNNNNNNNNNNNNNNNNNNNNNNNNNNNNNNNNNNNNNNNNNNNNNNNNNNNNNNNNNNNNNNNNNNNNNNNNNNNNNNNNNNNNNNNNNNNNNNNNNNNNNNNNNNNNNNNNNNNNNNNNNNNNNNNNNNNNNNNNNNNNNNNNNNNNNNNNNNNNNNNNNNNNNNNNNNNNNNNNNNNNNNNNNNNNNNNNNNNNNNNNNNNNNNNNNNNNNNNNNNNNNNNNNNNNNNNNNNNNNNNNNNNNNNNNNNNNNNNNNNNNNNNNNNNNNNNNNNNNNNNNNNNNNNNNNNNNNNNNNNNNNNNNNNNNNNNNNNNNNNNNNNNNNNNNNNNNNNNNNNNNNNNNNNNNNNNNNNNNNNNNNNNNNNNNNNNNNNNNNNNNNNNNNNNNNNNNNNNNNNNNNNNNNNNNNNNNNNNNNNNNNNNNNNNNNNNNNNNNNNNNNNNNNNNNNNNNNNNNNNNNNNNNNNNNNNNNNNNNNNNNNNNNNNNNNNNNNNNNNNNNNNNNNNNNNNNNNNNNNNNNNNNNNNNNNNNNNNNNNNNNNNNNNNNNNNNNNNNNNNNNNNNNNNNNNNNNNNNNNNNNNNNNNNNNNNNNNNNNNNNNNNNNNNNNNNNNNNNNNNNNNNNNNNNNNNNNNNNNNNNNNNNNNNNNNNNNNNNNNNNNNNNNNNNNNNNNNNNNNNNNNNNNNNNNNNNNNNNNNNNNNNNNNNNNNNNNNNNNNNNNNNNNNNNNNNNNNNNNNNNNNNNNNNNNNNNNNNNNNNNNNNNNNNNNNNNNNNNNNNNNNNNNNNNNNNNNNNNNNNNNNNNNNNNNNNNNNNNNNNNNNNNNNNNNNNNNNNNNNNNNNNNNNNNNNNNNNNNNNNNNNNNNNNNNNNNNNNNNNNNNNNNNNNNNNNNNNNNNNNNNNNNNNNNNNNNNNNNNNNNNNNNNNNNNNNNNNNNNNNNNNNNNNNNNNNNNNNNNNNNNNNNNNNNNNNNNNNNNNNNNNNNNNNNNNNNNNNNNNNNNNNNNNNNNNNNNNNNNNNNNNNNNNNNNNNNNNNNNNNNNNNNNNNNNNNNNNNNNNNNNNNNNNNNNNNNNNNNNNNAUAUUGAUACAAGAUAUCACUUCAUAAGAGAAAGUAUUGCAAAGAAAGAAGUGCAGCUGAAAUAUGUAACCUCCCAGGAGCAGAUCGCUGACAUUCUCACUAAGCCACUCAAGCAUGAUGUGUUCCGCAAGUUAAGAACUCUACUUGGAGUGUCAAAAUCAAGUUUAAGGGGGGAUGUUGAGUAGUAAACUUGAUUUUUGGACUAAAUAAUAUGGGCUUAAGGAUUUUGCUUAUAGGCCCAAAUCAAUUAAAAGACCCAACAUGCAUAGCAUUUCUAGAAGCAUUAUCUAGAAAAAUCUAUAUAAAUAUCUACUAGAAAUAUCUAUAUAAAUAUCUAAGUAAGAUAUGUAGUUUUAUAAAGAAUAUCUAGAGAAUUCUAGGAAAAUAUCUUGAUAUGUGGUCUAGGUGUCUCUAGAAAAUAUGUGGACUAGAAUCUUCUUGUAAACACUAUAUAAAGGGGUAGUGCCCUCCAUUUUGUAACAAGCCAAAAAGUGUGUAAAGUCUUGAAUUUGAGAAAUACAAGUUUCCUCUUUUUUCACUUCCUUCUUCCUAUUAGUGUUGUCCUCUUAAAAGCCUUAGUCAAUCCAAGUUAGUAAACCCAUCUUUCCUCCAACAAGUUUUACUUCUAUAACCCACUGAUUUUACAGUUAACCUUUUCGGAAUCAGACAUGGACCCAGACGAGUACAAAAUAUAAGGACUUCUCGAUUCUCUGACAUAUAUACUUCAUUCCAUAUCUUACGUAAAACAACGAAGGUAGGAAAUAAAAAAAAAAGAAAAAAAGGGAAAUGAUGCAGAAAAAGCAUAAAACUAGCACUUAAAGGAAUAAUGCGAAUAAGUUGAAUUUUCCAUACAAAAUAGGCUAACCCACCAGUUAAGCGAGUUGCCUUGUAAAACCACAACAACGCCAAAAAUGGACCUCCAAAUGAGUACAUGGAGUCACACAAACUAGCGUCCUCAAUGGGAAAAAUAUUGGAAACCUGUAGAAAUUGAAGCCAACCAAAAGAAAGCAAUCAUCUCAAGGACAAUAUAUGACUUCAAUACAUCACUCCAAUGUACAAUUUCUUUCAUGGUCUGUAGAGAUCAAGGGAGAUCGAGAUUGAGUGGCAUGUAGGUCGCAUCGCCGCUGCUACAGGACCCUCAGUGGCAGUGGGAGCACCGGGGCCAAAUCUUGGCCCAGGUUGGUACGCCAAGACCAAGGGGCACCGAGGCCAGAUCUUGGCCCAGGUGGGUCCUCCGAGACCAAUGGGGGUCGGGAUCGAGUGGCGCGUAGGUCGCAACACCGCUGCUACCGAGGCCUUGGUGGUGGUGGGAGUACCGAGGCCAGAUUUUGGCCCAGUGUUCAGUCUAAAAUCGAGAUCAGGGGAGAUCGAGAUGGAGUGGCAUGUAGCUCCAUCAUAGCUGGAAUGUUUUAACGACUAUGGCUUGAGGCUUGAUGCAGUCGACUGCACGAUUUCUAGCUCAGGCUGGAAGAUUUUGAAAAGGAGAAAAUGGAAUUGAACGUUAUCGAAUCCAAACCGGUAUAUAUUUCAUUCUGUAUUUUAAUAAAUAGCGUACAACGAGAUAUUUUUUUUAUCAUAUUUUAAAUAAUAAAUAAUUAAUUACGAAAAGUAUUCUCUCCUCGUCUCAAAGCAUAGAACAAAAUAUUUGAAGUAAAUCAUCAUUAAUGAAGAGAUGUACUAAUUAAUGAAAAAUUGAAGAUAAGAAUUUAACUCCAAAAAAAUAAAAAAAAAUGAUUGCUAUAACGUGAAGUACAAUUAAAAUGUCAUGUAACGAAUAAAAAUUGGAGUACCAAUAUAAAUUGACAUCCUUUGAUAGAGACAAAAAAUAAAAAAUCUGAAACAUGUUUUUUUUGCUCGGAUUAUAUUAUAUUGGCUAUAUGCUAACAGAAAUGUAAUACAAAAGAGGUAAAUAACAGAAACUACUUCAAAACAUUAUUGUUCAUUUAAUUAUUGAUUCAAAGCUCCAAAUUUGCAUUUAGCCUAAACUUUCCGAAUUUGCUCCAUCUCUUGCGAUUCUAAGUCUGGUUCCUUGUCAAUAUUUAUUGUUGUAGUCAUAUAUAUGUUAAGAACAUGAAUUGUUGGCAGCAGAAGUUGAACACUCUGCUUAAAACUUCUUCACGUACUAGAGAUACAAGCAGUGCAUAAAGAGAGCAGCAUAAUUAUGGGGUAGAUAUACCAAAAGACAUCUUGAGGGAAGAAUAACGAGGCCAAGAAACAAACCAAUAGGGUAACUGAGUAAUUCUUGACUUGAAUGCGUAUGUAUCCCAUAUCAACUUGAGGUGUCAAUUGGAUUUCAAUGGAGAUGAAGGAGAAGAGAAAGAAAAAGCUAGCAAAACUUGAUCCAAGUGAAGUUCUCAAUUACUAUACCAAAUGGAUUCCAUUCCCAAGGCAUGGCUGUAUAUGGUUUCAAUAUGUUUACAACGAAUAGGAGUAAUUGGAAACUUCAGUUGGAUCCAUUUGGUAUAGUAAUUGGAAACUUUAGUUGGAUCAAGUUUUGGCUUCUCGCUAGCUUCUUCUUUCUCUCCUCCUUCAUUUCCAUUGACACCUCAAGUUGAUAUGGGAUACAUACGCAUUCAAGUCGAGAAUUACUCAGUUUCCCAAUUGGUUUGUUUCUUGGCCUCAGUAUUCUUCCCACAAGAUGUCUUUUGGUAUAUCUACCCAUAAUUAAGCUGCUCUCCUUAUGCACUGCUUGUAUCUCUAGCACGUGGAGGAGUUUUAAGUAGAGUGUUCAACUUCUACUGCCAACAAUUCUUAUACUUAACAUAUAUAUGACUACAACAAUAAAUAUUGACGAGGAACCAGACUUAGAAUCGCAGGAGAUAAAGCAAAUUGAGCAAGUUUAGGCCAAAUGCAAAUCUGGAGCUUUGAAUCAGUAAUUAAAUGAACAAUAAUGUUUUGAAGUAGUUUCUGUUAUUUGCCUCUUUUGUAUUACAUUUCUGUUAGCAUAUAGCCAAUGUAAUUCGAUCAAAAAAAAUGUGUUGCAGAUUUUUAGAUUUUUUAUUUUUAUUUUUUUGUCUCUACAAGAGAGAAACUUGGGUGGGGCGGUCGCACCAUCCACGUGGUACGAUUGCCCAACCCCGAGGCGCCAGCUCUGUAGAUGGCCCACAUACCCCCGGCCACCGCACCGCCACGUGGUGCAACCGCCCUACCUAAAUUUUUUUCCUCUAUCAAAGGAUGUCAAUUUAGAUUGGUACUACAAAUUUUAUUCGUUUCACUACAUUUUAAUUGUACUUCGCAUUAUAGCAAUCAUUUUUAAAUUUUUUUUGUCAAAUUCUUAUCUUCAAUUUUAAUACAUCGUGUCAUUAAUGACGAUUUACCUCAAAUAUUUUUUUGGGCGACUUUUGCGACAAUUUUCCCAUCGAAUCCCUUGGAGUUACGGGGAGAUGUUGGGUGUAAUUGAAGAGAAUAUUGUCGACUUUCCAACGUUAUCAAAAUUUGACGAUAAUCCAUGGUCAAAAGUGGCCGAAAUGUUGCAACAAAAGCAGCCCAAAAAAUUGAAAAUGUGGUUUUAAACUUCAGUGACCGUUUCUGUAAAUUUUUAAACUUCAAUGACCAUUUCUGAAAGUUUUUAACUUCAAUGACCAUCUCUAAAAGCGCCCUGAAACUUAAGUGACCGUUACUGAAAGUUUUAAACUUUAGUGACCGUUUUGUAAUUUUUGCAUAAGUUCAGUGACCGUUUUUGAAAUUAAUCCAAAAAAGUUUGCAUGUAGAGUUUCAUGUUUCUUAAAAUGUACAAACGAAUCUCACGAAAAACAAUUUAAAACAUUCUAAUUAAAGAAAAAUAUUUUAUAUUCUUAAUUAACCCACCAACUCCUACACCCAUCCCCUACAUUCCACCACCACUACAAAAUUAAUCAAAGAUAUAAUUAAAAGUAUAAUAAAAGCAAAAUAAUAAUAAUAAUAAUAAUAAUUAACAUAGAAAAAUAAAAAUAAAAAAAUUUAUGGCCCCAUUCGACCCCAUUAAUUUUAAUUGUAAUGGGGGAAAUAGAGUUUUUUUGAAAAAUGAAUGGUUGUAAAAGAAUAAAAAGUUUUCGAUUUACUUCCAAUAUUAUUUUAUUGAAAAUUGUGUGAUUUAAAAUAAGAAAGAAAAAUUUAAUUUAAUUUGAUGAGAUGUAAUGGGGGGCAAACGAGGGCAAUAUAAAAACGAAUGGCGCUUAUUCCUCAUCAAAUAAUUUUUAAACUUUUAAUUCUUUUUUUUAAUUAUUUGAUGGUGGUGUUGAUGGAGGAGGAUAUGCAUAGGGGUUGAGAUAGGGAUAGGUGGUUAAUUGGAAAAAUAAUUUUUUUACUAGAAUGUUUUAAAUUGUUUUGCAUAAAAUUCAUUUGUAAUUUUAAAAAAAAUUAUAAAAUCUAGAUACAACAUUAUAUAUAUAUGUCUAUCUAAAGACGAUGAUAAAUUAGUCAUUUUAUAAUGUUAUAAUAGAAAAAAUGGAUGGUAAGGAUCUUUUAAGCAAAGAAAUGUUGAUCUAAGUGUUCAAAUGUCAAAAUUGAAAUGAUAAGAACUAUUCACGCAAUUAAAGCAAACGAUAGGCACGUUUUUGCUCCAAAUUACACAUAUUUAACUGAAAGAUUUAAUGAAAUAUGAUGGAAAGCACCGAUUCUGCAAGAAACGUUUGAAAUAAGAGUGUAAAUGGCAAGUUUGAAACAAUAUGGACCAUUUUCACAAUGAGUACAAACGAUUGGAAUGCCUUUUGCUAAUUACCCUAAAGUAUAUUUACUCUCUAGAUAUCAAGGGAAUUUAGCCGUUGUCUAACACCAAUUAAAAUUUUAAUAUAUUUUUCUCUUUUCUUUUCAAUCAUGUAUUCAUCAAUAAAAUAAUAUUACAAGUAAAUCAAAAAAUUUCCUUCUUUUUUAACCACAAAUUCUUCCAAAAAAUACUAUUCCAUAAUACAGAUUACCAAAAUUUCUCAUUAUAAUGGAUGUAAAACAAAGGCUUAAUAUAAACUAAUUUACACUUUACUUUUAUAAUAAAUAAUGUUAUUCAUAGUGAAAAUUAUUGAUAGUCAUCCUUCAUAACAUACACAUGACAAUGUGUUAUUUGAAUUUUGAUGCAUAGGACGAUAAAAAAUUAUCAUAUUAAUGUAUCAAAUAAUGUCAUGUGUACGUCACGUAAGAUAGCUAUCGAUAGUCCUCACUAUGAUUAUCAUUACUCUUUUAUAAAUAUAACAUGUCCAAACGUGGCGACAAAAAUGGAGCCUCCGAGCUCCUAUAGAGAGAUUGCCGCAUUGACUAUAAAUAAACAAAAGCAAUGAAACUAUUGUGAAACAAUAAAAAUUUUCAAAAAUAAUCAAUUCUUCUCGACGAGUAGAGUUAAAAGGCUAGUUUGAAACGAAAGAUAGUGCAUUGCACCGUGAUGCAGCAGGGCAGCAUUGGUGAAAGGGCAAACAGGGCAACAUCUGUGAAAGGUAGUAAAAUAAAGGGAACCACCAUAAGAGAGGAGAAUUUGAUUUCAGAAUUUAAAAAUCCCAGCCUCUUAAUAAGUAUAACGAAAGGAGGGCAAGAGUAAAAAUGCUUAAACGAGAAACUUAGCUUGAACUAAACUGCUCUAUAUAGUAGAAAAUGAUGGAGUUAAAUGUUUCAUUGACCACCAAACUUUACACUAGUCACGAUUUAUUCACCGAACUUCAUUAAUUGUCUCAUUGGCCACUGAACUUUGCUCCGUUCAACUCCAUCACUCACCCGUUCAAAACCGUUAAUAGACGUGCUGAUGUGGCGAAUGGAAAAAUGACGUGGCCGGUUAACUCCUUCCAAGUAGUAAGUGAUUUGCCAACUAAGCUUCCACGUUAGUAAUGGAGCAUCCAAACACGGCAUUACCAAUUUCAUUUCACACGACUUUACAGAAUUAUAACCCAAUUAGUGUGAAAUCUCUCUCAAAUUACUUCCUCCCAUUCGCGAAGAACCCUAAGUAUCUGAACCAAGAUUCUCCAAAAAUCUCUCAAAUCCUAUCAUCCUGAAAUCCAUUUCUAUAAAAUCUCACAUGAAGUCUCUGUAUUCUGAAAAUCCAUUCAAUUCAUUCGGGUAAUUUCCCAUGAUAUGGUAGGACACGAAUUGAUGAUUUUUGAAUGGAAAAUUGGUUUUGUUCAUAACUCAUUUUAUUUUUGGUUUGCAUCUUCGUCUUUCCGAUAAUGGUCAAGAACACACUACUUUCUAGUCGUUAAUGGAGGAAAAACAUGUUUAUACCAUUCCUCUCCAUAAUCCAAUUAACACUCAUUUUGGGUAUUCUGCCAAUGUGAAUGUUGGGUAUUUUGUGUUUGGCUCUAAUAAAGAUAGCUCAUUGUUGAAACAGGUGACUGGAAAAAAGGCCCUGUUGAUGAAACUACUUUGACCGUUGAAGGAUUUGAAUCCUGAUGGAACUACUUUGCUUGUUGAUGAAAUGAAUAACACUAAAUUAAAAUUUGGUAGUAGGUGUGUUUUAGGUACUGAAUUUCAGAAAAAGCCUCCUAUUUAAACUCUCGAAUGAGAUGAAGGGAUUAAAGAUUGUUAAUUUUGCAGUGUUGCUGAGAAGAGUAAAAAAUUUGGCAGCAAUUCAUCUGUCUGUCACUGCCAAUAACAUAUUCAUGUUUGCAAUCAAUGGAAGGGGGGUAUCCGUUGCCUUUGUCCACCAUUUAUGGUAAUAGGAACUGGGACUGGUUGUGCUUGGAAACAGCUACAAUUUGCUUCAUUAAAAAUUCUGGUAAUUUGUUCUAUUUUACUGUAUUAUUUUUUAUUGCAUUCCCAGUUCUAUCAUUAUUUGUUUAUUUAAUUAAUGUUUAAUGACACAUCUUUAUGCUUUUUGUCCUUCAUUUAUCUCAGUUAAGUAGAGCCAUAUACCACACCAACAAUUUGAAGCAGAUCAAGGAUGGAACAAUUGUGAAGCACCUCUAUACUAAAGUUUUCAACCGAUUUCGUAUUUUGUAAUGUCCAAAGUUUUGUUUUUGGCAUGUAAAUUGAAGUCAGAUUGGGAUGGUACAAUGUUGUUGUUGAGAUAGAACAUAUUCACAUUUAUGAAAUCAGUGGGUUGCUGCUUCCAUAACUAUUUUAAGCACUAGACGUUGAGAUGAAUUAUGUUUAAAGCACUACAUGAAAUCAGUAUGUUGCUGUUGCCAUAACUAUAUUAGCUUUCGACUAGUUGAAGAAUGAGGUAUUAGAACAUCGUGGAACUUGUACGAAAGCAAGUCUUCGAAGUCUUAACUGCAGCAGUAAUGUAAUUAGACUACAAAUAUUAUAGUACUGUAACUAUCUUCAAAUGAUUCUAUAAUAUCUUGAUGAAUGAAACUAACAACAUCAACAAGCAUACCUACACAUGGUAAAAUAUCAAAUCAAAUCAAUUCAAUUUCCCGAAUAAUGGUAAGAUCCCAGGUGAACAAAAUCAAUUCAAGCUUUAUAAGAAGUGCAUACAACGGCAUAACUAAAAACACAUUACGAAUACAAUAACAUUGGUCCAACUUGAUGAAUAUUCUAACAUUUUUUAAAUCAACAACAUAGGCAGUCUAAUUUCACGGAGUUCUUCCCUUCUAUUUCCCGUUCUUUUCUACAUGACCUUUACCCUUGCGGAUAGUAACAUUGAAUGAGAUUUCCACUUCCUCUUGUUCGAUUAUGUGAAUCCUUCAAUACCCAAGACAAAUCUUCAAUUGGAAUGUCGGGCUGAGAGUUACCCGAACAAACACAUCGGUUUUCACCACUGGACUCACCCUCAAAUUGCACAUAUUCUUCCAUGCCAUGGAAACCUGCCAUUGCAGCCACGAACAGUAAGACAGUCAUAUGGUUAUCGUAAUGAAUUGGCAAUACACACACCAACAUUUAUGCUUACUACUCAUAAUUAACAUCUAGGAACUUGAAGGUAUGAGGGCAAUAUUUAAUGGAUGAGCUGUUUGUUUAUACUCUAGCACAAAAUUUCCAAACGAAAAUCAACAACGUGCUUAAUCCAACUUUGUGAAUAGCAUUAAGUUGUAAGCAUGGCAUUAAGAGUUCAUCAAGCUUAGAAACAUCUAAUCUCGUUCGGCAUAGUUAAUUCUGUCAUAAAAUUACAACUCAUUAACAUUUGGACAGUAACAUAUGAAGAAGAAAAUAUUCAACUUUAACAUUCAAAAUGUACUGCAAUUUCACCGUCUCACAUUUAAGGUGCUAAAUGUGAAAAUUGUUAAUAAGAGACUCAACUUUAUCAAAAACGCAAAACCAAAAAUCAUGCAUUUUCUAUUAAAGUUUGACAGACUCAACGUUAAGUGCUUGGUUUCACAUCAAUUAAACAUUGCAGAAACUUUUCCAAUUGAGUUAUCGCACAACUUCAAUUUUUUUCGGGUCGUGUCAUUAUAAUAAAAAAAAGCACAGAAAUAAGAACCAAGAAAUCCAUUAUUAAAUAAAGCCAAAAAUGAGUUAUUUAUCUAAAUUUCCAAAACAGAGGCAGAAAAAAAUUAUUCCACUAAGCCCACUAAAAUGGCGGAAUUACCUUCAUCAGAACCGUCCAUGUGUAUGCCUUCAAGUGUGUAGAACAAUUGCGGAUUUUUAGCUCACAUACUUCGCAAUUUGAUCGGGGCUAGGAUUCUUGAGCUGAAUUUGGGGAUCACGACAUAGAAGAGUGGCCUAUUGUUUGUUCACAUACUUUCGAUUCAAUCUUGCAGGUUGGGUGCUUGAGUUGCAGUUGGGAUUGCAACCUAGAAUAAUGGUCUAUUCUUUGUUCCCAUACUUCACGAAUCCAUUUUGAGGGUUAGGGUUCUUCAGGUGAACGUUGGGGAUCAAUUGAUUUGAGGAAGAAGCUUAGUUGAGAUGAAAUUAGGAUUCUUCGUGAAUGGGAGAGGAGCAAUUGAUUUUGAAGGAGAAUCUGAUUUGGCAUUUAGCCCCUGUUUGAUCUCCAUUAAAUUAAAUUACAUUACAUUACAUUUUUCUCUCUCCUAUUUUCAACCACACAAUCUUCCAUAAAAUAAUAUUACACGUAAAACGAAAACUUUUCUUCUUUUUCAACCGUUCAUUUUUCUAAAAAAAUACUAUUUUUCCCAUUUUCAUUUUCAGGUAAUGGGGGUCAAACAGGGGCUUAAUANNNNNNNNNNNNNNNNNNNNNNNNNNNNNNNNNNNNNNNNNNNNNNNNNNNNNNNNNNNNNNNNNNNNNNNNNNNNNNNNNNNNNNNNNNNNNNNNNNNNNNNNNNNNNNNNNNNNNNNNNNNNNNNNNNNNNNNNNNNNNNNNNNNNNNNNNNNNNNNNNNNNNNNNNNNNNNNGAGUUCAUCAAGCUUAGAAACAUCUAAUCUCGUCCGGCAUAGUUAAUUCUGUCAUAAAAUUACAACUCAUUAACAUUUGGACAGUAACAUAUGAAGAAGAAAAUAUUCAACUUUAACAUUCAAAAUGUACUGCUAUUUCACCGUCUCACAUUUAAGGUGCUAAAUGUGAAAAUUGUUAAUAAGAGACUCAACUUUAUCAAAAACGCAAAACCAAAAAUCAUGCAUUUUCUAUUAAAGUUUGACAGACUCAACGUUAAGUGCUUGGUUUCACAUCAAUUAAACAUUGCAGAAACUUUUCCAAUUGAGUUAUCGCACAACUUCAAUUUUUUUCGGGUCGUGUCAUUACGUAAUAAAAAAAAAAGCACAGAAAUAUGAACCUAGAAAUCCAUUAUUAAAUAAAGCCAAAAAUGAGUUAUUUAUCUAAAUUUCCAAAACUGAGGCAGAAAAAAAUUAUUCCACUAAGCCCACUAAAAUGGCGGAAUUACCUUCAUCAGAACCGUCCAUGUGUAUGCCUUCAAGUGUGUAGAACAAUUGCGGAUUUUUAGCUCACAUACUUCGCAAUUUGAUCGGGGUUAGGAUUCUUGAGCUGAAUUUGGGGAUCACGACAUAGAAGAGUGGUCGAUUGUUUGUUCAAAUACUUUCGAUUCAAUUUUGCAGGUUGGGUGCUUGAGUUGCAGUUGGGAUUGCAACCUAGAAUAAUGGUCUAUUCUUUGUUCCCAUACUUCACGAAUCCAUUUUGAGGGUUAGGGCUCUUCAGGUGAACGUUGGGGAUCAAUUGAUUUGAGGAAGAAGCUUAGAUGAGAUGAAAUUAGGGUUCUUCGUGAAUGGGAGAGGAGCAAUUGAUUUUGAAGGAGAAUCUGAUUUGGCAUUUAGCCCCUGUUUGAUCUCCAUUAAAUUAAAUUACAUUACAUUACAUUUUUCUCUCUCCUAUUUUCAACCACACAAUCUUCCAUAAAAUAAUAUUACACGUAAAACGAAAACUUUUCUUCUUUUUCAACCGUUCAUUUUUCUAAAAAAUACUAUUUUUCCCAUUUUCAUUUUCAGGUAAUGGGGGUCAAACAGGGGCUUAAUAAAAAGAUUUUGUUAAAUCGUGUUUGACGAAAAUUGCAAGUCGUGUUGGUAAGGUUUAAGGCUUUUUUGCUGUCGUGGGAGCUGAUUUGGUGAAAGAGUUAUUAUUUGUAGUGAUUUAACUGGCCAACUCAUUUUGCCGUCUUCCACAUAGGCACGUCUAUUAACGGUUUUCAUCGGGUGAGUGAUGAAGUUGGAUGGAUCAAAGUUCAGUGAUCAAUGGGACAAUUAAUAAAGUUCGGUGACCAACGAAACAUUUAACUCAAAAAGAUGUUACAGAUUUAAAAACUACGAUAACGAGUAAAGAGUCUAUAAACCAGAGUAAAACACUUUGAUCUAUCAAAUAUCCAAUUGGAUGAACAGUGAAAACUGGAACCGAGAAAAAGAUAGUAAAGCUUUAUAAUUUGAAUAAUGGAGCCGAUAAAUGGGAAGUUGCAGACUCACUUCAUUCAGUGGUUGUCCAGAACUGCAUUGAGAAGUAUACUCUUAAUUCAGUUGGUGUACCACGUUUUCUUCCGAAAUUUUCAAGAUUUUAUACUUUCUUAUUUUGUAGGUUUUUAGUUAAUUUCCUUAUUUCAAAAUCAUACUUUUAAUUAUCUGUGUUUAUUUUUAUUGUUAAAAUUAAAUUAAUUAAGGUUGUGUAAUCUAAAGAAUACAUUCCUCGAGGGAUCGACAGCUUGGACUCAAAAGAUCCACUUUAUUACUUGAACGCGAUCCGUGUACUUGCAGUGUACAAUUUUAGGGAAACAGUAACAAGUAAUCAAAAUUACAGGGAUGUUACAAGUAAAACUUGACAAUAAUACCGUAAUCAAGGAAUAGAAAGUCUUUCAAGCUAACGUUCAAGCUGAGCCACCAUAGCUUGGCAAUCCUAAAACAGACAUAAAUUUAGAUAAGAGUAGUUCUUAUUAUAUAAUUCAUCAGCAGCAAUCUUAAAACGGACAUAAAUUUAGUUAAUAGUAGGUCUUAUUAUAUUAAUUCUUCAGCUAAUAUAUAAUCAGUCCUUCCUAUAGCUUACUAGUUGAGUGUGAAAGGGGAUAGCAAAACAAAAAUAAAUUACUUUACAUUAUUAUUAUACAAAAUGGCUACAUUUUUGGCAGAAGGGAGAAAAAUACUAGGCAACCCUUUCAUUUCUGAUUAAACAGAUAUACCAUAAAAGAAUAAUUGACAUUCCUUCCCCUUUCAUCAUCCAACUGAACUUUCUUUAAGAAAAAAAAUAUCUUAAGUUAAAAAUCCAUGAGUAACAAAGAAUUUUUUCUGUUGUUUUUUCUCCUCUUUGCCCACUGUUUUUCCCGUCUUGGAUUUUCAAGUAAAUUUUGUGCUCUUGUUAUCAUUUUAUAUUGUCAAUUCUUGCUUUUUCGUAAUAUGUAAUUUGGAAAAAAAAAAUAGCCUUGUAAAAUAGGUAGUCCUGGUAAAGUUAGCAGUGAACAAAUAUAAUAUGAAUGUGAAAAACCAAGUGACAUCAAGCCAAAAAGCAGCUCGAUGAACUAUGUAAAUUUAUUAUUAUUAUGAUUAUGGUUAGUAGAUCUGUAGUAUGCUACAAAUACCUAGAUAUAUAAUUACUAAAGUCCAAGGUAAACCCAAUUUAUUUUCACUUGCAAUUCAACUUACAUAGUGAAUAAUUAUUCAUUAUCAACAACUUCUACAUCAUUAUAGAAAAAAUGAGAUAUCUAGGAACUAGGUAUUUGAUCAAUAAAAAUAGGGAACAUGGCUCAAGGGACUAACAAAAUUAUUAAUAAGAUGAGGCAAAUUAAAGAAACAAACAAAUGUAGGAAGUUGAAAUCUACUUAAGAAACAAAAUGUACUUCCCUAUCUGUCGGAAGGGACAAUAUGACAGAUACCAAAACAAGGCAAUAGCUUAAGAGAUUCAAAGAUUACAUAAUUAUAAGCCAGAAAAAAAAAAUAUUGAUGAUUUAUUGGAGUUGAUAAUGGGGGUUGACUAACAAACCUUAUGUAGAAACUAUACCAUUCGCAGUCAAACCAUGAUCCCUGAAUUUGAAACGGGCAUAUAACGAUUUGCAAAAGAGAUAAUGGUGUUGGAUUCCCAGUGGAUAAUGCACAAGUAGAAUCUGAUUCCCUGCGCACCGGGAUUGAACAUAGCUGCUUUAAAUGUCCCAUUACGAGAGAACAAAAACUCCCAGAAGCAUCUACAGAUUUGAAAUUUGAAGGAGUCAAAUUAGGGUAUGCGAAUUCUUUAAUGGAAAUACCAUAUGCGAGAACCAAUAAUAAGGCUAAAACACACAGAUCUAACCCCGAUUUUGCCCUAGUCGGCAUGGGCAACUAGCUGUGACGAUUGACAUUGCAGAUUUGACGGCGAGAGUAGAGGAAGAAGAGAUAUUACCUUUGUCUUAAGAGAUUAAGGCUUCCACUACCCCUUUCCUCUUGUUUUCAAAUUUCUACUUUUGAUUUGUACUUUUUUUUAUCUAAUUGACAAAUUAAUUAUAAGUAUGUUUAUAGAUAGCGUGUAGAAUAAUUUAAUUUAUAAUUUGUAAUUAGUUAAAAUUUGUAUGUUUUAUUCGAAAGAAUCAUUCUAUUAACUUUUAGGGUCAGUUUGAUUGUAAAGAUGAAAUUUGGAUAGAAAGAAAAUGAAUUUCAAGAAAUUGAAUUGUCUAGAAAUUAUUUUACUNNNNNNNNNNNNNNNNNNNNNNNNNNNNNNNNNNNNNNNNNNNNNNNNNNNNNNNNNNNNNNNNNNNNNNNNNNNNNNNNNNNNNNNNNNNNNNNNNNNNNNNNNNNNNNNNNNNNNNNNNNNNNNNNNNNNNNNNNNNNNNNNNNNNNNNNNNNNNNNNNNNNNNNNNNNNNNNNNNNNNNNNNNNNNNNNNNNNNNNNNNNNNNNNNNNNNNNNNNNNNNNNNNNNNNNNNNNNNNNNNNNNNNNNNNNNNNNNNNNNNNNNNNNNNNNNNNNNNNNNNNNNNNNNNNNNNNNNNNNNNNNNNNNNNNNNNNNNNNNNNNNNNNNNNNNNNNNNNNNNNNNNNNNNNNNNNNNNNNNNNNNNNNNNNNNNNNNNNNNNNNNNNNNNNNNNNNNNNNNNNNNNNNNNNNNNNNNNNNNNNNNNAAAAAAAAAACCAAGCAAAUGAAUUACAUGGAAAAUAUUUGCUAUCAAACAAAAGGUGGAAAAUAGACAAAAUUUUCCAUUUUCUAGGGAAAAGAUGCCCAAUCAAACAGGGCCUUAAUAUAUUUUUCCGACAGAAAUUGUGUAGUUUUAGGUCGAAAAAUUUUAAUAUAGUUUUAGUAUAUUAUUUUCAUAUUACCAAUAGAAUUUUAUCAUUAAAAUUUCUUAAUUUAGUUUUUAGGAUUUUGGUUUUUUUGUAUAUUAAAAAUUAAAAAUAAUCUUUAAUUAAUAGGUAGGAUUGAUUGAAAUUAAACGUAUACUGAAUUUUUAUUUUUAUUUUUGUUCUUUUUUUACAACAAGCAAUAAAUAUAGCAAAUCCUUGUUGCAAAACACACUUUCUCGCAACAUUUAAUAAUUGUUGCAAAAUGUUAUAUAGUAUGAAUUUUAACAAUAUGUACUGAGCAUUGCUAUAGAACAAAAUUUUUACAGUUCAAUAAACAUUGCAAAAAAAAAAAACGAAGAAUUAAAACUUUUGCAACAUUCAAAGAACAUUACAAAAAGCUAUAUAUCAAGAGUUUCAAAAACGUUUAUUGAACGUUGCUAUAGAACUUUAUUUUUACAACAUGCAUUAAACAUUGUGAAAAAUAAAACUUCUUACAACAUUCAAGAAACGUUGAAAAUGGUAAUAUUGACAACAUGCAAUUAAAAAAAAAAUAUUGCCAAUGCUUAAUUAAAUUAAUCAAUGGCAACAUUUUUCACUUUUUAAAAUGUUGCAAUAAACCCAUUUAGCAACAUACAAUUCACGAAUGUUGCCUUUCGAGUAUUGCAAAAGGCUAUUUUAAUUGUAGUGAAAAUUCUUGAUAUGUAUAUAAAAAUUCAUAUGUCAUUAAAUUAAUUUCGGUAUAUGUGAUAAAUGAUCAUGCUUAAAAAAAUUAUUACCUUCACUAAACUUUGAAAAAUUGAACUUUCGGACUGAUAACGUAUUAUGAAAAGAGAUAGAAAGAGCAGGGAGAAUAAAAGUCAAUAGACUUGUAUGUAUUAUAAUAAGAACUAGAGUCAUGUAUUCAUAAAGAAGGAUUAUGGAUACAAUGAUAAUAAUUUCUAGAUUUACAGGGGUACAAUUGUCAUUCACAAAUAAAACUUACUAUUUACAACAAAAUGGUCUUUUUUUAUUUUUAUUUUUCUUCAAUUUGCUCCUAAAAAGGUUUUUAUUGAUAGCAACAAGGUAAGUCGGACGUUCUCUUUUUUGAAUUUUAAGAGGCGCGUAGGACAUUUUGAUCUUCAUUUUUCGUCCCAUUUAUUUAUGUAUUUACUUAUUUAUAUAUUAUUAUGUGUUUGAAUUUAAAUUUUAUUCAAAAAAAAAUUUAAAAAAAAUAUUAUGAAUCAUGGAUGGGUUUGUGAUAGCGAUCAUGUUUCCUAACCAAAUGCCUAAUAAGGAUUAUAGAAUUCCCGACCUUCAAUCCACGUGGUGCGUUUCGUCCCACAUUGUCCUACCUUGAAUAGUAAACGAGGUGGGAUGCAGAACCUAUAGUCCCUAGUUUCGAAUUUUUAGUACUAGCUCUGAAUCAUUUUUUCAUUAUUAUAUUUUAUUUUAUUGUUAUGUUCUUCAUUUAAAUCAUAUUUAAAAAAAUUUAAUUAAAUAAAUAAAAUGAUGGAUGAUGGUUUUUUAUGUCUCAACCUACCCUACAUUCUAAAAAAUUGGAACGAAACAAGAAAGAUAUGAUGGCUACUAUCCAUUGUCAUCCUUAAUUUCAAAUUUUUGUUGGGUGAAGUAACUUGUGGCCAGAGGCGGUCUUGAGGGCGCGCGAGUUGAGUGACCGCACAGAGCCUCAAAUUUGUAGGGGCAUCAAAAAAAAUUUUGUUAUAAUUGUAUAUUUAUUUAUAAUUAAAUAUUUAAAAUAUAAAAUUUUUAUUAUUAUGCAAAAGAUAUUAAAAUUAAGAAUAAUGUGACUAACUAGUUAUAAUUUCCUUAAAUAUAAUAUUCUUAAAUAGUGUUUCUACCUUAAAUAAUGUGAGAGAAAAGAAAAAAGUCAAAAAGAGAUUAGGCCGACUAGAGAACUGAGAGAAGAGAGAAAAAUUGAGCAAUUGCCUUUUCCAAUUGUUUUUUAAAGAGAAGAAUUAAAGAAAACAACCAUCUUUUCCAAUUGCCUCAAAGAUAAUUGAGGCAGAGAAGAUAGAAACCAACCGUUUUUUUUUUUUUUUUUUUUAAAAAAUUUGAGAAGAAAAAACACCGUUUUUUUUUUUUUUUUUUUGAAGAAAUCAUCUUUUUUUCCAAUUAUCUUUAAUCUGGCUCCAAAAAAUUCUCUCUUUUCUUUAAGCAACGACUAACGAUUCAUAUUUUUCACUGAACUCUCACUAAAAAUUUGAAUUACAUGAUAUCUUUUCUUUAUUAUCUUUUCAUCAAUCUUAUUCUAUGAUUUCACUGAUUUGAAUUCUUUUUGCAAGAACUUGUUAAAAUUUGAAUUCGCUUUGCCUGAACGUGGGGACUGAGGAUUGAGAAAGCACGACAUAAUUUUCCUCCGGAGAAGUCGAACACUUACAAGUGAGUUUUUGUUUCUUUAUCAUAUUUUUCUUCAAUAAUUUCUUUGAAUAUUUAAGAAAAUAUAAAUUCUUUUUUAAUAUUUUUUUUCAACGUUCUGAAGAUGGAUUCAUCGUUUAUAAUUUAUAAUUACUAAUUUAAUAAGUGAAAUCAAUUAAUUGUGAAGAGAUUUACUGUUAAGUGAAAUCAAUUAAUUGUGAAAAUGGGUUCACUGAUCAUAAUUUAUAAUUACUAAUUUGAUAAGUGAAAUCUACUAAUGAAAUUGAUUCAUUGAAUGUUUAUUACUCUCUAACUCUCUUUUCAUUAAUUGGUGAUACACGGGUUUUCGAAGAAUCAAGAUUGAUUUAAUUCCUGUUGCUGUUGCAUCUGCUGAAAGAAAAUUUUCGAAAUUGAAGUUAUUAAAAUCUUAUUUAUGAUCAACCAUGUUACAAGAACGAUUGAAUGGAUUAGUUUGAUAUCUAUUGAGCAAGACUUUCUAAAAAAUAUAGAUCACGAAAGUUUAAUUAGUGAAUUUGCUUUUAAAAAUGCGAGAAAAAUUAUUUUUACAUAAUUUGUAUCAUUUCAAGCUUUACACUUGACUUGAUUUAUAUAUUUGUUUCAAGGUUUGCUUAUAUGGAAUUGCACGAAGAGGUUAGUGGUUUGGAUGGUUCUUUGUUGAUGACAUAUGAAUUUUGAUGAAGUUCGAGAGAUGCUUUUGAGUUUUAUUUAUGUUUUUCUUGUUUGUGUAUGUUAAAAAACAAAUAUUUAAAUAUCAUAUUUUUGCAAUGAAAUAAUAGUAUUGAAAUAUUUUUUUUUACUAUAUGUUUUAAUCACUUGAAGAGGGUACCAUUUUAAAAUUUCGCACAGGGCAUCCAAAAUCUUAGGGCCGGCUCUGCUUGAGGCUGGCGUUUUGUUAAAGAUUUCCUCAAAUAAUUUAGUAGAAAAUAAAAGCAAUGAAAAAUAAAUCCACUUGAAAAUAGGGUCAUCUCUAAAAGAUAAAUGUAUUAUCCAUUGAUUCCCAUUUUUCAGUUGAAACUCAUCUCUGUAGCAAGGCUAUGAUCCAAUCCAACCUUAAAAUUNNNNNNNNNNNNNNNNNNNNNNNNNNNNNNNNNNNNNNNNNNNNNNNNNNNNNNNNNNNNNNNNNNNNNNNNNNNNNNNNNNNNNNNNNNNNNNNNNNNNNNNNNNNNNNNNNNNNNNNNNNNNNNNNNNNNNNNNNNNNNNNNNNNNNNNNNNNNNNNNNNNNNNNNNNNNNNNNNNNNNNNNNNNNNNNNNNNNNNNNNNNNNNNNNNNNNNNNNNNNNNNNNNNNNNNNNNNNNNNNNNNNNNNNNNNNNNNNNNNNNNNNNNNNNNNNNNNNNNNNNNNNNNNNNNNNNNNNNNNNNNNNNNNNNNNNNNNNNNNNNNNNNNNNNNNNNNNNNNNNNNNNNNNNNNNNNNNNNNNNNNNNNNNNNNNNNNNNNNNNNNNNNNNNNNNNNNNNNNNNNNNNNNNNNNNNNNNNNNNNNNNNNNNNNNNNNNNNNNNNNNNNNNNNNNNNNNNNNNNNNNNNNNNNNNNNNNNNNNNNNNNNNNNNNNNNNNNNNNNNNNNNNNNNNNNNNNNNNNNNNNNNNNNNNNNNNNNNNNNNNNNNNNNNNNNNNNNNNNNNNNNNNNNNNNNNNNNNNNNNNNNNNNNNNNNNNNNNNNNNNNNNNNNNNNNNNNNNNNNNNNNNNNNNNNNNNNNNNNNNNNNNNNNNNNNNNNNNNNNNNNNNNNNNNNNNNNNNNNNNNNNNNNNNNNNNNNNNNNNNNNNNNNNNNNNNNNNNNNNNNNNNNNNNNNNNNNNNNNNNNNNNNNNNNNNNNNNNNNNNNNNNNNNNNNNNNNNNNNNNNNNNNNNNNNNNNNNNNNNNNNNNNNNNNNNNNNNNNNNNNNNNNNNNNNNNNNNNNNNNNNNNNNNNNNNNNNNNNNNNNNNNNNNNNNNNNNNNNNNNNNNNNNNNNNNNNNNNNNNNNNNNNNNNNNNNNNNNNNNNNNNNNNNNNNNNNNNNNNNNNNNNNNNNNNNNNNNNNNNNNNNNNNNNNNNNNNNNNNNNNNNNNNNNNNNNNNNNNNNNNNNNNNNNNNNNNNNNNNNNNNNNNNNNNNNNNNNNNNNNNNNNNNNNNNNNNNNNNNNNNNNNNNNNNNNNNNNNNNNNNNNNNNNNNNNNNNNNNNNNNNNNNNNNNNNNNNNNNNNNNNNNNNNNNNNNNNNNNNNNNNNNNNNNNNNNNNNNNNNNNNNNNNNNNNNNNNNNNNNNNNNNNNNNNNNNNNNNNNNNNNNNNNNNNNNNNNNNNNNNNNNNNNNNNNNNNNNNNNNNNNNNNNNNNNNNNNNNNNNNNNNNNNNNNNNNNNNNNNNNNNNNNNNNNNNNNNNNNNNNNNNNNNNNNNNNNNNNNNNNNNNNNNNNNNNNNNNNNNNNNNNNNNNNNNNNNNNNNNNNNNNNNNNNNNNNNNNNNNNNNNNNNNNNNNNNNNNNNNNNNNNNNNNNNNNNNNNNNNNNNNNNNNNNNNNNNNNNNNNNNNNNNNNNNNNNNNNNNNNNNNNNNNNNNNNNNNNNNNNNNNNNNNNNNNNNNNNNNNNNNNNNNNNNNNNNNNNNNNNNNNNNNNNNNNNNNNNNNNNNNNNNNNNNNNNNNNNNNNNNNNNNNNNNNNNNNNNNNNNNNNNNNNNNNNNNNNNNNNNNNNNNNNNNNNNNNNNNNNNNNNNNNNNNNNNNNNNNNNNNNNNNNNNNNNNNNNNNNNNNNNNNNNNNNNNNNNNNNNNNNNNNNNNNNNNNNNNNNNNNNNNNNNNNNNNNNNNNNNNNNNNNNNNNNNNNNNNNNNNNNNNNNNNNNNNNNNNNNNNNNNNNNNNNNNNNNNNNNNNNNNNNNNNNNNNNNNNNNNNNNNNNNNNNNNNNNNNNNNNNNNNNNNNNNNNNNNNNNNNNNNNNNNNNNNNNNNNNNNNNNNNNNNNNNNNNNNNNNNNNNNNNNNNNNNNNNNNNNNNNNNNNNNNNNNNNNNNNNNNNNNNNNNNNNNNNNNNNNNNNNNNNNNNNNNNNNNNNNNNNNNNNNNNNNNNNNNNNNNNNNNNNNNNNNNNNNNNNNNNNNNNNNNNNNNNNNNNNNNNNNNNNNNNNNNNNNNNNNNNNNNNNNNNNNNNNNNNNNNNNNNNNNNNNNNNNNNNNNNNNNNNNNNNNNNNNNNNNNNNNNNNNNNNNNNNNNNNNNNNNNNNNNNNNNNNNNNNNNNNNNNNNNNNNNNNNNNNNNNNNNNNNNNNNNNNNNNNNNNNNNNNNNNNNNNNNNNNNNNNNNNNNNNNNNNNNNNNNNNNNNNNNNNNNNNNNNNNNNNNNNNNNNNNNNNNNNNNNNNNNNNNNNNNNNNNNNNNNNNNNNNNNNNNNNNNNNNNNNNNNNNNNNNNNNNNNNNNNNNNNNNNNNNNNNNNNNNNNNNNNNNNNNNNNNNNNNNNNNNNNNNNNNNNNNNNNNNNNNNNNNNNNNNNNNNNNNNNNNNNNNNNNNNNNNNNNNNNNNNNNNNNNNNNNNNNNNNNNNNNNNNNNNNNNNNNNNNNNNNNNNNNNNNNNNNNNNNNNNNNNNNNNNNNNNNNNNNNNNNNNNNNNNNNNNNNNNNNNNNNNNNNNNNNNNNNNNNNNNNNNNNNNNNNNNNNNNNNNNNNNNNNNNNNNNNNNNNNNNNNNNNNNNNNNNNNNNNNNNNNNNNNNNNNNNNNNNNNNNNNNNNNNNNNNNNNNNNNNNNNNNNNNNNNNNNNNNNNNNNNNNNNNNNNNNNNNNNNNNNNNNNNNNNNNNNNNNNNNNNNNNNNNNNNNNNNNNNNNNNNNNNNNNNNNNNNNNNNNNNNNNNNNNNNNNNNNNNNNNNNNNNNNNNNNNNNNNNNNNNNNNNNNNNNNNNNNNNNNNNNNNNNNNNNNNNNNNNNNNNNNNNNNNNNNNNNNNNNNNNNNNNNNNNNNNNNNNNNNNNNNNNNNNNNNNNNNNNNNNNNNNNNNNNNNNNNNNNNNNNNNNNNNNNNNNNNNNNNNNNNNNNNNNNNNNNNNNNNNNNNNNNNNNNNNNNNNNNNNNNNNNNNNNNNNNNNNNNNNNNNNNNNNNNNNNNNNNNNNNNNNNNNNNNNNNNNNNNNNNNNNNNNNNNNNNNNNNNNNNNNNNNNNNNNNNNNNNNNNNNNNNNNNNNNNNNNNNNNNNNNNNNNNNNNNNNNNNNNNNNNNNNNNNNNNNNNNNNNNNNNNNNNNNNNNNNNNNNNNNNNNNNNNNNNNNNNNNNNNNNNNNNNNNNNNNNNNNNNNNNNNNNNNNNNNNNNNNNNNNNNNNNNNNNNNNNNNNNNNNNNNNNNNNNNNNNNNNNNNNNNNNNNNNNNNNNNNNNNNNNNNNNNNNNNNNNNNNNNNNNNNNNNNNNNNNNNNNNNNNNNNNNNNNNNNNNNNNNNNNNNNNNNNNNNNNNNNNNNNNNNNNNNNNNNNNNNNNNNNNNNNNNNNNNNNNNNNNNNNNNNNNNNNNNNNNNNNNNNNNNNNNNNNNNNNNNNNNNNNNNNNNNNNNNNNNNNNNNNNNNNNNNNNNNNNNNNNNNNNNNNNNNNNNNNNNNNNNNNNNNNNNNNNNNNNNNNNNNNNNNNNNNNNNNNNNNNNNNNNNNNNNNNNNNNNNNNNNNNNNNNNNNNNNNNNNNNNNNNNNNNNNNNNNNNNNNNNNNNNNNNNNNNNNNNNNNNNNNNNNNNNNNNNNNNNNNNNNNNNNNNNNNNNNNNNNNNNNNNNNNNNNNNNNNNNNNNNNNNNNNNNNNNNNNNNNNNNNNNNNNNNNNNNNNNNNNNNNNNNNNNNNNNNNNNNNNNNNNNNNNNNNNNNNNNNNNNNNNNNNNNNNNNNNNNNNNNNNNNNNNNNNNNNNNNNNNNNNNNNNNNNNNNNNNNNNNNNNNNNNNNNNNNNNNNNNNNNNNNNNNNNNNNNNNNNNNNNNNNNNNNNNNNNNNNNNNNNNNNNNNNNNNNNNNNNNNNNNNNNNNNNNNNNNNNNNNNNNNNNNNNNNNNNNNNNNNNNNNNNNNNNNNNNNNNNNNNNNNNNNNNNNNNNNNNNNNNNNNNNNNNNNNNNNNNNNNNNNNNNNNNNNNNNNNNNNNNNNNNNNNNNNNNNNNNNNNNNNNNNNNNNNNNNNNNNNNNNNNNNNNNNNNNNNNNNNNNNNNNNNNNNNNNNNNNNNNNNNNNNNNNNNNNNNNNNNNNNNNNNNNNNNNNNNNNNNNNNNNNNNNNNNNNNNNNNNNNNNNNNNNNNNNNNNNNNNNNNNNNNNNNNNNNNNNNNNNNNNNNNNNNNNNNNNNNNNNNNNNNNNNNNNNNNNNNNNNNNNNNNNNNNNNNNNNNNNNNNNNNNNNNNNNNNNNNNNNNNNNNNNNNNNNNNNNNNNNNNNNNNNNNNNNNNNNNNNNNNNNNNNNNNNNNNNNNNNNNNNNNNNNNNNNNNNNNNNNNNNNNNNNNNNNNNNNNNNNNNNNNNNNNNNNNNNNNNNNNNNNNNNNNNNNNNNNNNNNNNNNNNNNNNNNNNNNNNNNNNNNNNNNNNNNNNNNNNNNNNNNNNNNNNNNNNNNNNNNNNNNNNNNNNNNNNNNNNNNNNNNNNNNNNNNNNNNNNNNNNNNNNNNNNNNNNNNNNNNNNNNNNNNNNNNNNNNNNNNNNNNNNNNNNNNNNNNNNNNNNNNNNNNNNNNNNNNNNNNNNNNNNNNNNNNNNNNNNNNNNNNNNNNNNNNNNNNNNNNNNNNNNNNNNNNNNNNNNNNNNNNNNNNNNNNNNNNNNNNNNNNNNNNNNNNNNNNNNNNNNNNNNNNNNNNNNNNNNNNNNNNNNNNNNNNNNNNNNNNNNNNNNNNNNNNNNNNNNNNNNNNNNNNNNNNNNNNNNNNNNNNNNNNNNNNNNNNNNNNNNNNNNNNNNNNNNNNNNNNNNNNNNNNNNNNNNNNNNNNNNNNNNNNNNNNNNNNNNNNNNNNNNNNNNNNNNNNNNNNNNNNNNNNNNNNNNNNNNNNNNNNNNNNNNNNNNNNNNNNNNNNNNNNNNNNNNNNNNNNNNNNNNNNNNNNNNNNNNNNNNNNNNNNNNNNNNNNUUUUUUGUGUAUUAUAAUUUUAAAAUUUAAUUUUUUUUAUUAAAGGGACCAUGUUUUAAAAAUAUCACACAGUACACCCAAAAUAUUAAGGUCAACCCUACAUCUAAGUACUACUGUGCAACUUCUCCAUUUCCUAGGUAUCAAAAAAUCUUCACCUCUAGUCCUCUACAACCACGUAUUAUGUUAAUUGCUGAAGAUUAUAUUUACGGUCUGUUUAAGCCACAUUAUUUCAAAAAAACAAAUUUUUAAAUAAUGAUUUGACAUUAUUUCAAUCACACAUUUUUCAAUAAAAUAAUAUUACACGUAAAUAAAAAAAAUUCUUUAUUUCUUAACCACACAUUUCCCAUCAAUACAUUAUUCAAGAAUGCAUUAUUACCAAAAUAAUGUGGCUCAAACACCCCCUCAGUAGCAAAUAUAAUAGAAUAAAAUUCUAUGACAUACUUAGAUGAAAAUUAAUUCAAUACAGCCUGGCGCUCAAGUCAUGCGAUAAAGUAUAUUGGGUGUGGAAGAGAUAUAGAUACGGUUUACAAAAACUUUCCUUCAAAGGAAAGGGCAGAGUAUUUAUAGGUGGAAGAAGCUCUAUCUGAAUGCUUAACACGUGACUUUAUUUUAAUACCUCAUUUGUCAUGCUUAAUUAUGUCAAUUUAUAGCCAUCAUAGGUAUGGCUUUCCAUAGUCAGAGUAUAAGCUAAAAACGAAGUAUCGUUGUUGUAGAGUUGUUACAUCAAUUAUUUUGUACGGUGUACUUUGGGCAACUUUGUCAAAGCGAGGCUUGUAGUAGAUGUUCAUCACCUAGAUAUAUACUGCAGUGGAGAGGUGAUGCAUCGCCUCGAAUAACAAUAACAUUCUAAACAAUGCAUCUAAAAGUAUCUCAUGAUCGUAUCAAAAAAGGCAUGAAGAGGAGACGAUGGGAAUUUGAGUGUUUCCCUUGUAUAGCCUCUUCUUAUUUGGCUGUCAUGUGGCCCACAUUGUAGAAAAAUAUGUAACAAUAUCACUUUUAACAAAAUCUAUUCUCAAACAAUGGAGCUUAAAUAGGGUUACCAGUUUUAUGUUACUGAAAUUUUUUUCAAAAGCUUUGUUGAAAAUUAAUUUUUUUUCUUUUUAUUAUUUUUUUAUUUUUAGGAGAGUUAGCGGCUAGAGAAUAAAUGUAUGUAAAACAAAGUUGUCAGAAUCAAAUGCUAAGAGAGCAAAUCUCUUUGCAAGAAAGAAGGAAAGGAUAAGGCUGCCAAAAUUAUGGUGAUGAUGGAAAUGGAAGCAAGAAUAUUCAUAAUAUAAGUGAAUUUCUUGGUCAUCCAUGCGGGAUUAAAGCUAUUUUGAACACACGGCCUUCGUGAAGUUAUCAAUCCCUCAAUUCUAUUGUUUACUGGUGCAAAUUCAUUUUUUCCCGUGUUAAAAAUUUUCCUUUUUGUUAAAGUUGAAUCUCAUCGUCUAAUAACAUUAGCUUAUGGGGAUAGGACAAAUUUAUUUACGGAAUUUCUGAAGAUCCUUGAGUAACUUGGAUUCAUUUUUCAAUUUAUGAGAUGUGCGUAAUUUUGCUCAUCAAACCACAUCAUCUAAAAGCUUAAGCUAGCAAUUAGGACACAAAUUUAUUUAUUUAUUUAAAUCUUCUUCGACAUUUUGGACAUGAAAUGUGAUUCCUACAACAAAUGUGCACACCUCCAAUUUAUUAAAUGAUAGACUACGAAACUGUAUUUUGAGUGGCAAUUGGUACGCAAGAGUGGUUAACUAAUGGAUUUGUAAUUUCGACAUCUAAGUUCUGCAAGGCCAAUACAAACCGAUAGAUAGAACAUUUAUUUUUGUCUGCAUUAAGCAUCACAGGCUCAAUAACCGAGAAUUGCAUCCACUUUACACCUGUUACAAUGUGGAAGCGGAAUUGUCCAGAAAUUAAAUAAAAAAAAUUUAAUUAAAUAAACAAGAUCGUUUAUGUAACAUCCCUAAAAUAUUUUUAGGGAAAAAAAUUAUUAUCUAUUCUAUAUAUUAUAUUUGAUUAUUUUGAAAAUGACGGACUUGGAUGAAGUAUAUUUUAAAUUAUUAUAUUCUUGAGGCAAAUAGUUGGAUUUUGAUAGAGUGAUGAUAAGUAUAUCAAAUUACACUCGUUGGAGAGCCCGUAUUUAAUUAUGUAUUUUAGGCUCGAGAAAAAGUUAAUUCUAAUAAGUUUGGCUCAAGAUAUUGAAGGUUGUAGAAGUUGUUAUUUAAUUGGAAUUAGAAUUUACCAACUUUUAAAAGGGGUAGCCACGUGUGCUCUUCUAUAGAGAUAAGGUGGUGGAUAUGAGAUUGUAGUUAAUUGUUAUUUUAUCACAUUUUGAUGACGAUUAAUGUAAAUUGAUAAUUAUAAUCCGAUUUUGAUAUAAUUCAACUCCGGAUAUUGUUACUAAAUUAAAUUAAAAUAUUAGUCCUUACGUUUAUUUUACCUGCACUACAUGAGUGGAUAAGGUGAUUGGGAUACUUCUAAUUAAGCAAAAUCCAAAUUAAAACUAAUCUAGAACUUAUCAUAUGAAUUAGAUAAAUUUUCCAUCUCCUGCUUGGCCAUGCGUUUAAAGAUUUAUUGGUUUUAAAAAUUAUUUUCACCAACUAGAGAUUUUACAGAGAUGAGAUAAAAUUUUAUGAAGUCAUUUUUAUCCUAUAUUUUGAUAAAGGAUAAAGGUUUAAAUGUAAUCUUAUAUGUGAGAUAUUCAAGUACUAUCAUACAUGUGUCAUAUCAUGGUUUGGGUUAUCAAAUUUUAAAGUUUAUCCAAGUGGUACACGUUUUCCCCACCGUCAAAAUUGUACCAUGACUCAACUACCAUUUUUUUACUAUAAAUAAUGUGCAUUUGUACCUUGAUUUUCCACCAAGAAAUUUUUACAUAUCAGACAAUAGAGAGAGAGAGAGAGAGAGAGAGAGAGAAUAAUUUCGAAGAUUCAGUCACCAAAAUUUUGAUGCAAUCGAGAAAGUAGAAUAUGGGGGUGUUUGAUAGACAUUUUUAUGUAAAAAUACAUUUUAGAAUAGCAAAUUGAUGUGAAAUGUGUGGUUGAAAAAUGAAGAAAAGUUUUUGAUUUACGUGUAAUAUUAUUUUAAUAAAGAAUGUGUAGUUGAAAAGAAGAGAGAGAAAAAUACAUUUUAAAUAAAAUAUGAAUGAAUUACCUGCAGACAUUCGUUUUUUAAAAGAAAUAUGAAAUCCUACAGGAUUAUAAGAAGGCCUAAGAUGGGUGUCACUUGGUCACGAAAUUACUCCAUAAGAUCAAAGUGGUAUGAAAUGCAUAAUUUUUAUUGUUAUAUAUUUGUAUAUGAAAAUUGCACGUAUCUUAUUGGGUGUUUUUGAAUACUCACUCUUACAAAUUUUUAAAGGUUAGUUCAAUUUAAUUGAAGUUGUGACGAAUUGGUGACGCAGACAGCCAAGUGACUCGAAGAAAGGAAAAAGAAAUUAAAUAUUUAGUUUCCUUUUUUUUCUGUAAUUCUAAAUUAUUUGCUAGUUUUAUUUGCUCAAAGACUCUUUUGGUUAUUUUAAAUUGAUAUUUAUCGUUGAAAAUAAAGAAUUUCCUUUUAUUUAAAUCGUUCCACAAUUAUUAUAAAAGAAAACAGCGUUUUUCUUAACAUCCCGGCGUUUUUGGAAAUUUGGGACGUUGCAGUUUAGAUGUCCACGUAUAUGUUAAAUCAAGGAUAAAGAAUUUGAAUUUUUACCUAAAUUGAUGACUAAUUAUUUAAUUAAUUCAAAUCACGAAAUUCCACCUUUUUGGAUCAUAGACUUCUAGCUUUUAAUUGCAAGAACUUGAUACAUCAAAUCUCCAAGUCUUCUAUUGUAUUCUCCAAAAUCAAAACUACACCAAUGAGUGGACGUUUUUUUUAAUUAUAUCAAGAAACUAAUUUUUAAACUGACAAUUGAAUAAAAGCAAGAAAAAUAAUAUUUUCUCUCUUUUUUCCUCUCUUCAAUUUGAACACUAUGGAUUUAUGUAAAAUGAUUAGAAAUUCUAGGUUCUAUAUAAUCUCUAAUUAUAGAGACAGAAUAGUUCUAAUUCUUGUACAAUAAUAAUUUCACAUUCAAAUAAGAGUUCUAAUUAAAAUCUAAGUAGGAGUUUUACCUAAAGUCCAAAUUCAAUUAGUACACAUUUAAUUACAUGUGUAGUCCUAAAACUUUAUAAUUAAGUUUACAAAUUUCAUAAUAAUUAUAACUAAGUACAAAAUUUUAUUGUAAUUACAGUUAAUCUCAAAAUUAUUACAUUUACUAUAAUUCAAUUCCAAUAAUUUAUGGAGCUGACAUAGGGACCUGAUAUAACAUAUAUUAUCCAAACUCCAAUAAUUAGAUAUGUCUAGUAGACUUUAGACCACACAAUCUAAUUAUUAGUCUUUGCUUUUUCCACCAAAGACACAGAAACCAAUAAAUUUGUAAUGAUUUCCUCUAACCUGUUGUAUAUGUAUUUUAUCCUCGUCCGAGAUUUAAUAAUUAGGUACGAGCAUAAAUGACUGUUUUGCCCUUUUAUUUAUUAUCACUAGCUUAAGUAUCAUUUUCUUCAACGAUUAUGUAAACUAAUCACAGAUGUCGAAGUUUAACCGUCGCUAAACACUUAGCUCAAAUUUUAAUCAUUCAACAGUAAAUACUUAAGUAAUCACUCUACCCAUUUUUCAAGGUGACGAUUCUCGACACGAAUUCAUGUUCUCUACCUUGCUUAUUUUCAAAUUCUUAGCUCAUCAAGAUAUUUAACCAAUCAAAUUAAUAUCACCCAUUGAUGAUCAAAGAACCACUAAAAUCACGAAAAAAUAUACAUAACACUAUUAAGGGAUUUAUAUGAAAUACACAGCGAUCAAGUGAAAUUUAAUUCUUUGCACGGUUAUGCUGUAGGAAUUAAAUUUGACACGUGAUCCGUUCAAUAGACUACAAGUGUACUAGUACCACCUUUAACUAUUUUUGUAAUAAGGACAAAUCACAAACGUGAAUAGUGAAUCGAUCAAUAUUACAACCUUCCAGUACAAGGUGUCAACCCUUAUACAUUGAUUAUGAACAAAUUAUUUAUGAUCAAAAUAUAAGUUGUGUCACCCUAUAUUUCUCAACGCAAGUAUCCAAUUUAUAUUAUCACAAGUGAUUAUAGGCACUUUAAUUCACAUGCUUAAUAAUAAAUAAAUGUAAUAAAUAAAAUAAACACAUUUUUAUUUAAUAUAACAAUAUUGUUAUUUUUACAUCAGCAAAACUAUACUUGAUAUAUUUGAUAGGUUGAUAGGAUUCAAACCUUAGCAUGCCAUUUAGAAAUCCAUUCGUUAAUAGGAUUCAAUUAAGUUACCGUUGCCAAUUAUGAGUUGAUGCAUGGUCAAAUGAUAGCCUCUGUAGCUUCACACACUUGAUAUAUUUGAUAACUUGUUAAACUAUUAAUAUGGGUUGCAGUGAGGGUUCCGAAGUAGUAGAAUGGUAGAAUGACCACUUUUCAGGUAUUAUUGGCAUUAAUAUUUUUCUUAAUUUCAAUGAAUUUAAAUGAAUUAAUCUAGAGACCGUAGCAAAUAUGAGGCUUAAGGAGAAUCUGCAAUGAUUUCAAUGAUGUUUGAAAAGUCUGUAUCAUCAUGGACGGUUAAUAUCUGGGAGAUUCAAGUAUAAAAGUUUUGCAUAAUUUCAUUGAAUAUGCCUCUAGCUUUCAUACCUAGAAUAUUAUGCUUGAAUGCUUAAAAGAUUUAUCCAACUUUAGGGUUUCAUUGUAUUGUAUAGAGUAGCCGCUUAAAUACUUCUCUCUUGUACUCAUAUUUGAUAUAGAAAAAAUUAUUUUCUUACAUUUUUGUGAAUUACAAGUACCAGAGAGUGCAAAUGAAGUAAACCCAAUUUUACUUGUGGGUCAUUUGGCAUUCACAUAUUAUAACUAUUUUACUUGUGGACUAAAUUACGUAUACUGAACUAGAGAAAAAAAUCGAUUUGAAUAUACGGAGACCAAGAUCGAUCUAUCCUAAGAUAUCAGGACUUAUUAUUAAUUAUUAAGAUAUUUUUCCCAAAAUCAAUAUUGCUAGAUUGAGUUUUAACUAUAUAGGGAUUUAAUUCCCAAAAUAAAUUACACACAUCUACAUUGAAUUCCCAAAAUAAAUUACAUUGAACAAGUAAUCACACUCCAAUAAUUUCCUGAAACCAUCAGUCUUCAUAAUUUCCUGAAACUAACUCAAAUCUCCACGCAUUAAAGAUUGGGUCAAUAUGUUAAAUAUUGUAAAUAAAUAUGAUUAAAUAGUUAAAAUUAAACAUAUCUGAUUUGUUUACCCUACAACGUAAAUGGAUAUAAAGACUUCAAAGGGGUAUAACAUAUUCAAAGUCUCCAACUAAAUCUAGUCCUCGUAUCCUCAACUUAUCAAAAAGUCAAUACCUUUAAGGUAUGUGCCAAAGAAAGGCACGAGUGUUGACAACCCCACCAUCUAUACAUUUGACACUUGCCUUAAUGAUUAAGAAAAUGCCUGAUCAUCAUUUACUAAAACUCAUAAAUAUGUUUAUAUCAUCUACUAAACUCAUUUUUUCAAAAUUUAUUUUCAAUCAUACAUUACAUUUCGUAGGAUUCACAACUUUUACCAAUUUUCCCAUCAAAUCUUACCAAUUAGGCAACGGCCUAAGGCCUUAGAUAUUUGAGGGACCUCAAAAAUAAACCAUUUGUUCUCUGGUUCUUGUAGACAGUGGGAACAUAUCUUGUUAUUGCAAAUUAUUGCAUGACAGGAAUGACCUUUAUGAUUUGCUAAAGAAAUGAAGGUACUGUCCUUGGUUUCUUCAUUUUGCUUUAUUUCCACUCGUCAUUCAUUUACCAAUAUGGGUUGAUUCCCUUUCCUAGAAAAUAUGCUCAUGCCAAUUUCCUAAAUUUGUGGAUUUAAUUGAAACUCAAAAAAGUUUAACCAUAUUUUCUUACCUUCGUUUCAGUCCAUGAUAAUCUUUGUCAAAUUUUUAAUUUGUGGAAUCACACACAUUUAAAGAACAUUUUAGUCCAACCUAUCCUUUCCAUCCAAUCUCAUCUUUGCAUUGACAUACGUUAUGUGUUAGUUGGACAAUAAAAGAAAAUAUUAGACAGCAUUAAAAAAUAAACAACCAUCACAAAUUCACGACAUAUUUAUAGAAUACUGCCAAAGAAAUCCAUUUUGAGGAACUUUUAAUCAUUUUCAAACAAGCUCUUAGCUCUCAACAUUUUUCAUGAGCUCGAUUUAUAGUACUAAUUAAACAAUAAAAAGAUAUUAAAACUUUUUCCAUAGUAAUCUACAUAUUUGUCCAGCACUAAGCAUGGCUCCUAAAUAUGUGAUAUGACAGUAAACAUGUGGGCCUUUCCUGUUUUAAUAGGAAUCCUCAUCUUUGAGAAUUAUGUUAGUUGUUAUUAUGUCCUCUGAGCAUGUUUCCUCAAGAAUCAAUAGAAAAUAGCUAUUUAUUUUUUUUUUAUUUUUUCAUUUUACUCAAACUCGUGUAUUUCUGCCUAGUAUAGAAAUUAAAGAAGAUUAAGUUAUGAGAAAAAAGUUAUGUUUAAGUUCUUCAAGGAUCAAAAGGUGAAAAUAUCAUACCUGAGGGCCUCAUCAUAAUUAUUUGAUAGCCCCGAGAAACCGACCCCAAUAGUCCCUUUUCUAGGAACCACCUUGGUGAGCCUUUCUUCGUCAACGAAUUUAGUUCACAGAUUCGCCUCACUUUCUCCACCAACAAGCCUAGUUUGCAGCUCUGCCUCACCGAGUGACUCCAACAAGAUACAUCAAGGUUAACAAAAUGUAGCUCACAUGUAGCAUCCAAGUUGGAUGAGGUUCAAUCAUUUUGAGCCACUUUCAACGAGCCUGGAAGGUUGUUACUACGUAGAUGAAUAUGUGGAUCGCUAGAUUCUGACAUUUGCUCAGCAGAUUAGCACCUUGAGGACGACAGGAUUCAACCAACCCAGUUUGACACAGAACAACUUAUUAAGCAACAGGAAAUCUCUUUCAAUGUGGAUGAGGAAUUUUAUUCAGCAACAUAGGUGGUGUGCUCUAAACUGACUGCAAGGAGCCACGUUCUUAAUUUCUAGAAACAAUCUCGAAACCAAUACUAAUCUCGGCAAGUUUAAUAAAUAUUUUGGUUUUCCUUCCGAAUCCCAUGGCCACUCCGUUGUGGCACAACUCUGGUGCCUAUCCCGCACCAAGUGUGCCUCAACAGCCGAAGCUGGAGGUGAGGGUCCGCUGGAGCUGCCUCGACAACAGUUGCCGGAGGUUGGAGGUUGCGGUGUACCCAGAAACGUCAAAAGUCAUAGUUGGAGGUUGAAUUUUGGUUUAGAUAUUUUAUCGAUCGCCUGAUGGACGAAGUAGUGCUGAGA